rnacentral:lncRNA from 1 species
AAAACCGUGGUUACGGCAACAGGUGCAGGUGCAGGCGCAGGCGCUAGUGCUUCGUUGCCCGGUGGUGAUGGUGCUGGCAGCCGCACCAUGACAGGUCCAUCAAAGAAGGAAUAGGUCUGGUACCGGAAGCUGCACCUGACCUGAAAAGCUCGGGCCCCUGUGCUGUCCACGAACCACUUCGGCAACAGCACCAUCAUCUUGUCGAGGCACCGCCGGCACUGCAGCGCGGUCAGGUCCGGCGUGCACUGCGCCCAGCUGUAGAUCUUGGGGAAUUCCCGGUCGAAGUCGGCCUCCCCGGAGGCGUACCGGCGGGUGGAGUUGUACGCGGCGUAGUUCACGGUGGCGUUCACGAGCCGGGCGACGAGGCGGUUGAACUGGCCCUUCUCCGACGUGACAUUCGUGAAGUCCCAGUACCUAUACGUCAGCGCCGCCACCGGCGCGGGGUCGCUGGAGGCGUUGGAGUAGUGGAGCGUGCACGAGUCGUAGUACAUGGUGGCCACCUGGCUGUAGUCGCACACGUUGGGCAGGUCGCGGAAGGCCUGCGCGAGGCAGCUGAGGCAGGACGUGGCGUUGGCGUCGCCGCGGCAGAGCGCGAGGGCCCAGACCUUGUCCGGGGCGGCGCCGGCCUCGGCGGUGGCGAAGAGGUCCGGGGACGCCGAGGCGUUCCCCGGGAGCGAGGCGGCGAGGAGGUUGAUGUUGGCCAGGUACUUGCUGGUGCCGGCUGCGAAUUUGCCGUCGCCGCAAACCUGCCACGGGUAUCCCGCGGUGCCGGGCGCGAGCAUGGCGGCGGCGACGGCGGCGACGGCGGCGACGGCCGCGGACAGGACGAGCCGGUGAUGCAUCAUCGUCCCUGGCCUUGUGGUGGGCAUGGUACGGUGGAACGAGCAAGAUGUUGGAACGUUCGUACGUUUUGCACACGGGGGGUUAAAGUUAAACUUGCUGGUGCCUGGUGUGCCUAAUGCAUAGUGAACGUCCUUGUCGACGACCAUCUGGCAAAGCAAGUCCUUGUCCAUUUUCUGCAACUGGUAGUUCACGUCCCGAUCGCCCAUGACUGACGUACACGGAGUAGCAAACUUCCGUUUCAUUCAACUUUCUCCAUUUCGUUGAAUGUGGUCGCAAAAGGUGGCUUGGACUCAACAUGGAAAGCCAUGGAAUGGAAUGAUGCUUCAAGCGGACCAAUCUUGUGCGCAAUCCUGGUGCCCUCAUGGUCAUGGAUACCACACAGCCAAAAUCGCGGCUGUGCGGGCGGCCGGUCAUGAUCAACUUUAACACCAUUGGAUUGCGACUUGAUGCGCACCCACUCGUGGAGAAAAAAUGACAAAUGAUGCGUCGCCCUCGCCGCCGGCGCCGGAACCAAAAACGAGCCGGUCCACCUCCACCAGUCUCCCCCCACGCACUUCCAUGGCGAUGUCAGCCGGCUAUGCUGCUCUAGCCAUCAGUGGCGGAUCUAGGGAUGGACAGGGUGGUCCAUGGACCAUCCUCAGAUUUUCACAUAGGCUAUAUAUAUCACAGAAAAAUAAUUAAAAUGAUAUUUUUUUAUGAAAAAUUACACCGUUAGACCAUCCUAUAAUGUUGAGCUCGAUAUGCCACUGCUAGCCAGUACCGAGCAGUCGCUAAGGCCGUCGUCGAGUGUUCCUGGCCUCGAUAGCUUCUCCAGGAGUUGCAUCACCGUGUCGCCAAGGCCACGGUCGUCUUCUAUGACAAUGUUUCUGCUGUGUAUCUUUCCGCCAACCCAGUUCAUCAACGUCGGACUAACCAUCAACAAUUGAUGCUCCUUUUUUAUUUCUACUUUUGCGGUGUCCAGGGACGGAGCCAACAUUCAUGCAUAGAGGGGGCAAGUUUGCUCAUGGAAGGGGCAACGUUCAUAUAAAAUGAAUUUUUUUGCCUACAACAAUCACAACAUAGUAGAAGAAUCAAUUUGUUAGGGGGUCUAGUCCCCCCUCAUCCCCCCCUAAAUUCGUCCCUGACGGUGUCAAACACCGCGAAUAGCUCAAGUAUCAUCUUCUCUAUCCCUUAUAUGUUAUAGUUCAUCACGAAGCUCUAGUAGCUUGGUGGCAGUGAUUUUGAAGAACCAUCACUAUCUCAUCUGGAAGAUUAACUCCCACUCGAUUCAAGCGAUUGUAGCACUCAGACAAUCUGAGCACAUGCUCAACGAUUGAGUUUUUCUCCCUUACUUUGUAGACAACGAUUGAGUUUCUCUCAACAAGGGCACAAACAUGAAAUCCUAAUUUCAUCUCUUGGAACAUCUCAUAUGUUCCGUUACGUUCAAAACAUCUUCGGCGCCUCAAUUCUAAGCCGUUAAGCAUUACGCACUGAACUAUUACGUAGUCAUCAAAAACGUGUAUGUCAGAUGUUCGCAACAUCCACAGACGACGCUCGAGGUUCAGCACACCGAGCGGUGCAUUAAGGACAUAAGUCUUCUGCGCAGCAAUAAGGACAAUCCUCAGUUUACGGACCCAGUCCGCAUAAUUGCUACUAUCAACUUUCAACUAAAUUUUCUCUAGGAACAUAUCUAAAAUAGUAAAGCUACAGUGCAAGCUACAACAUAAUUUGCAAAGACCUUUUGACUAUGUUCAUGAUAAUAAGUUCAAUUAAUCAUAUUACUUAAGAACUCUCACUCAAAUAGACAUCCCUCUAGUCAUUCGAGUGGCGCAUGAUCCAAAUCCACUAACUCAAGUCCGAUCAUCACGUGAGUUGAGAUUAGUUUCAAUGGUGAACAUCUCCAUGUUGAUCAUAUUAACUAUAUGAUUCAUGCUCGACCUUUCGGUCUCUUGUGUUCCGAGGCCAUGUCUGUACAUGAUAUGCUCGUCAAGUUUAACCCGAGUAUUCCGCGUGUGCAACUGUUUUCCACCCGUUGUAUAUCAAUGUUGAGUCUAUCACACCCGAUCAUCACAUGGUGUCUCGAAACGAUGAACUGUCGCAACGGUGCACAAUCGGGGAGAACACAAUUUUAUCUUAAAAUUUUAGUGAAGGAUCACCUUAUAAUGCUACCGUCCUCUAAGCAAAAUAAGGUGCAUAAAAAGAUUAACAUCACAUGCAAAUCAAAAGUGACAUGAUAUGGCCAUAAACUUGUGCUUCUUGAUCUCCAUCACCAAAGCACCGGCAAUGAUCUCUCUCGUCACCGACGCCGCACCAUGAUCUCCAUCAUCGUGCUGCCAUCGAGGUUGUCGCGCUAUCUAUGUUGUUAAUACUAAAGCUACUGCCCAGCGAUAUAGCAAGAGCAUCUGCAAGCGCAAAAUAAAUUUAAAGACAACCCUAUGGCUCCUGCCGGUCAGGGCCGGCCCUAAGGGGGGCGGGAGGGGCGGCCGCCCCUGGCCCCCGAAAACAAGGGGCCUCCGCUCACGUAUGUGCGAGCAGCAGGGGCGAGCACUUUUAGAUCGGCAACUGUUUGUUCAAGUCACCAUUAAAUCUCUAGAAGCUGUGUUUCAGGGAGAAGGCUGAACCGUCAUCCUUUAGCAUACUGGACUUGGGCCUUUUUGUUCCUUUGGCAUGUAUCGAUGUAUAUAUGAUGGUAGGCCUGUUCUAAAUAAAUGAAGAAAAACGGCGGGCUGUUGCGGCACCGAUUCAGCAAAAUUUGCGUAUCCCUAAAAAAAGCCUGACUUUGCCUAAGAAAAGCAGAAUUACCGAUCAGUUGAUCCCAAUUUUUCGAUAUUCAAGAAUAGCGGACAUGACGACACUAUCUAUACUGGUCUACCCUAGUUUAUCAGUACUAAUUUAUACCAUAUUUUAGGUGCUCUUUAGAGAGCACACAUUAAACGGUAAAUUAUGCUGAAAAAUCAUAUAUUUUGAGAAGUUGAUUUGAGUUUAUAAAUUGAUGGCCAAGUGUUGUAUAUUUUAAAUAACACAAUGCAUCCAUAAUUUACAGAUAAACAUUCCAAUGCAACAAUAGUUCAAAUAUGAAUAUUACAAUCGAAACAUAAAGUUCCGAAAUAAAAAGUUCAAACUUGAAUUCAAUUUAUUUGGACACAUGUUCUAAUUAUCCAUAUGCAACGUCCACAAAUGCUCAUCAUCUUUUCUAGCACCUUCUUGUCUUACCAAAGUGAUGGUUUUUGUAUACUCAUAGCGAGUGACUGUCAGGGGGUAAUCAAUGACAUCAAAAACUGCACAGAGGGAGUCUACACCAGCGUCUCGAGGGAGAUCAAGGAUACCUCAGAUAGUUUUGAAUCUUGCACCUUCAUCUCCGAAGGUAGAACUACCAAUAUUGAGGCACAUAGCCUUGCUAAGCAUGCUUUUGGUUUGGACUUUGGACGCCAUGUGUGGCUGUUAAAUCCUCCAAACAUUACUUGUAUCCCUAUGAACAUCUAUGAGUUUUAAAUAAAGUAUGUGUAGAUUCAAAAAAAAGUAAUCAAAGGGGAAUCAAACAAACACCAAGAAAAUAUCCAAGAACGGGUCGGGCAAACGAGAUUACGACGAUCAUUCCCAACGCCAAUCUCUCCCUAAUAAUAAAGCAAAUACGGUUUCUGGUCGUCCCUCAUUUAAAUUACCCCCAUAGUUGGCUAAAAUUACCCACCAAUGCCACUCGUAAGUGAAAAAAAGGUUCGUUUUUCAUAUUUAAGAAGUCGGCGCCGUUCUUUGUUGUUAUAUCGUCCGAUACAUUAGCAGUACAAGAACCGACGAGUAGCGCAAUGGCUAAUGCUUCAAACAUCCACACUUGAGACCAGGGUUCGAUCCCAGGUCGGGGCACCCUUGUUUUGUAUUUUUUUUCUUUUUUUUCCUUCUCUAAAUUAAUUCAGAUUUUAAAAGAACAAAGUAUCAAAAAUUUAUGAGUAUAAAAAAUGUACGAAAAAGCAAAAACUGAUUGUGUAUUUGAAAAAUAUAUUCAAAAAGUCAUAAAAUAUUAAUGAGUUUGAAAAUAUUCAUUUCUUUUUCUCCUCUAAAUAAAUUCCAGAUUUCAAAAGAACAAAGUAUCAAAAAAUUAUGAGUAUAAAAAAUGUAGGAAAAACCAAAAACUGUUUGUUUAUUCGAAAAAUAUAUUCAAAAAGUCAUAAAAUAUUCAUGAGUUCGAAAAUUGCUCACAUAUUAUAAAACAAAUCACGAUUUCAAAUAAAUUGUAAUGGAAUACUAAAUGAUCAUGAUUUUUGUAUAAAAUUAUCCAGUAAUCAAAACAUAUUCAUGAAUUUGAAUAGCUUGUCCAUCAUCUUUUAGAAAAUCUUCAUAAAAAUUAAUACACAUCCAUAAAUAAUGAACAAAACGAAUUGUCGCUUACAUAAAGGUUUUAUUAGGAGAUCUGUAAAGGUCAUUUUAUGAUUUUAUUUAGACCUUUGCAUAUCAAAAAGUUGUGAGUUUGAAAAAAAAGUAGGAAAAUGAUAAACCAUUUGUGAAUUCAGAAAAAUAUUCGGAAAACCAUAAAAAGUUCAUGAGUUCAGAAAUUGCUCACACAUUGUAAAAAAUCACAAUUUCAAAUAAUUUUUCAUGAAGUAAGAAAUGUUCAAAAAUUUAAAAAUGAUCAGGUAUUCAAAGCAUAUUCAGGAAUUUGAAAAACAUCUCCAUCUAUUUUUAGAAAAUGUUCGCAAAAAUUAAAACACAUCCAUAAAUAAUGAACAAAACUAAAUGUCGCUUACAUACAGGUUUUAUUACGAGAUCUCUGGAGGUCGUUUUAUGAUUUUUUUAGUCCCUCGCGUUAGGCAAAAAUAGGUUUUCAUUUUGUACAACGCUGAGCCCAACCAAAUUGACACAACUUUUUGUGGGUUAGUUUUGUACACAAUUAAGUCGAGGCACAUCAUUCUUCAGUAUAGCUCAGGCAGGGUCCGUAAAUGCAGUUUGCUCAGCCACAAAAUAUUAUGUUGUGACGCCUUAAGAAAUCAAGUCGCGAUGAGGAUCAAAUUUUUUGUUUAUGAAAUCAUACUUUUUUAUAUCUACCACACAUGCAUAAUCUAAUAGUUUUUUCCGUUGCAACGCACGGGCAUAUUUGCUAGUUAAAAAAAACAGAAGGACGGCAUUGAUCGUCCGGGUAUUGGCGGUUUUGCAAAAAAGUCCUUCUAUUUUCGGCUAUUCAACCCGUGGUCCUUUUAUGAGAUAAAUAACGUUUCUUUUUACGUGAACCCCCUCGCAAUCACCCUCGUCAGUCCGUCCGUAGUAGUACCCCGUCCCGCAUGCAUCUUUGGUCUUGCUGAGAGACUCAGAGCCAGAGCGCGCCGGCGUCCUUGAGUAUGGGCACGAGCUCGCCGGAGAUGUGGACGGCCAUGAGCCGGUCGAGCCCGCCGAGGAGCCGCCCGCCCACGAACACCGCGGGCAGAGCGACGACGGCCUCGUCCCCGGUGACCGCGGCGGCGAGCUCGGCCUCGUCGGCGACCUCGUGCACGGCGGGGUUCACUCCGAGCCCCUGCAGCAGCCGCUUCACCACGUGGCUGAGGCAGCACCCGCGCCUCCCCACCACCAGCACCGGGCUCUCCGCGACCGCCUGCCUCACCGCCUCCCUGCCGUCGCCCCUCGCCGGUGCGCUCUCCUGGCCGCCCGCGCCCUCGGCCUCGGCCUGCUCGGACCGCCGCGGCCACGCCGGCAGCCGGCCCACUCUGUACGGGAUCGCUGCCCUGCUCUGUUGUAGAGAAAGCCACAGGCUUGUCGCCCGGAGCCCCAUACACAGUCGUCAUCCACCAGAGAGAGAGAGGCUCCACCACCACGUGACAGGAUCUCCGUCACCGUUGUAGGCCGGGCCGAGGGAGGUGGGUUGCGGCUGGACGAGGCGCUUACCCUCGCAGUCAAAGCGACCCGCGAGUGGAGGAAGCGGCGCGGGAUCGGCCGGACCUGGGGCCUGGUGGAGGUUGUGGACCUCUGGUGGCCGGUUCUGGAACAUGAGGUGGAUUGAGAAGAAGGGAGAGAGCAUCGAGUGGAUGGAGAAGAGGAAUAAUGGCGAUGUGUUGUGGAUAAGGGGCACGUAGUGGGCGGUGGGCAGGGGGUGUUGGACCAGAAGCUGCUGGAUAGUGGACACCAACGGAGCUACGCAUUAGCCUGAAAUGUGCACGAGACAGUUCUGCUCUGGUUAGGACCUCCGUGUGAAUGAAUUAAUAUUGCAUCGCGUCAGUGACAUGCAUUGGUUUGUUUUUUCAACAACUUAUUACAAAUAAUCCAAUUUCUUUAGAAUUAGUGCAAGGAGUAUGGUUCUCUUCCGUUGCAACACACGGGUUCUAUUUAUAUACUCAUUAGGAUAUUAUGUUCAUGAGGAAUUAAUUUGAAUGCAUAUAAUUUUAUGAUCCCGUUACAACGCACGGGUCCUUGUGCUAGUGAUCUCUAAAAGAUGAUCCAAUACUGCUGUCGAGAUUUCACAUGAAUCAGAACAUGGCUGAUCGAUCUGUGCAUUAACCCAAGAAACUAUUCUGGCGCCUUGAACUGGCGGAGGAAACCGUAACGAGCGAUCUUCUCCGACGGUGGGCGUCGGUCAUGGUCUUCACCUGCCGGUGCGCCUUGUUGACGAUGCCCUCCGCCUUGCUCCGGCGCCGCUCCAGCUUGCUCUUCAUGCGGGAGCACUUGAGCUCCAGCAGCAGCUUCCUCACCAGGCUCCGCCUCUCGCCCUGGUGGGCCACGAUGAGCCCCUGCAGCCGGAGGUGCCGGUCCUCGACGUCGUCCAGCGCCGCCUCGGCCUCCCGGAGCUCCGCGGCCAGGCCGCCCAGCAGCCGACGGUCGGCGUCGUGGAGGAGAACGGCCUCCGUGGCCAGCAUCUUGCCGAGCUUCACCAGCCUCUUGGAUGCGGUUUCGUCGAGGAAGGGGCGGCCGAUGAGCCUGGAGAUCACGGCCAGCACGUCCGCGGUGGUCUCCUUGCCGCCGGCACCGUCGUUAGUCGCCACCGGCGCCUUCUUCGUCGUCGACGUCUUCGCCAUGGCGGCCGGCGAUUGCUUCCCUGCACGCUCACGCUCUCCGGUGAAGCAGUAGCCAUAGAUGCGUCUGGCUCCGCCUCUUCCCAGCAGCCGACGGUGAAGCAGUACAGAUUAGAUGCACCACCCAGGAAGAAGAUUGGUCUCUCUUUUUUUUAACCCGGUAGACUCCUAAACGAUCAUAUAAACGCACAUAUACACCUAUCUAUAUGAACACAUAUACGCAUACUCUGUCCUUAUGAACACAUUUAAAAUACUGAACCGACAUAUUAUCAUGAUAUUUAUAAAGUCACCUCAACGCCUCUUCGUCGAUGAAACGUCCCUUUCCAUUGAAUAUGCAUCGUCAAAAUUUUUAAGAAAAAAUUAAUGCAAGCACCAAGAUUUUUCAAGUACAAUUCAGUUACUCUAAUCUCAUUAUACCAAAUACAUACAUGUAUAGAUACGAUCUUUGUUUAUACCAAACACAUACAGGUACAGGUACAGGUACGAUCUUUGUUACAACAACAACAACAACAACAACCAAGCCUUUCAGUCCCAAACAAGUUGGGGUAGGCUAGAGUUGAAACCCAUAAGAUCUCGAAGCCAAGUCAUGGCUUUGCAACGUGGAUAGCUAACUUCCACGCACCCUGUCCAUGGCUAAGUCUUUGUCGAUAUUCCAAACCUUCAGGUCUCUCUUAACGGACUCCUCCCAUGUCAAGUUUGAUCUACCACGGCCCCUCUUAACAUUCUCAGCACGCUUUAUCCGUCCGCUAUGUACCGUCGCUUCCGGUGGCCUCCGUUGAAUAUGUCCAAACCAUAUGAGACGAUGCUGGACCAGCUUCUCUUUAAUCGGUGCUACCCCAAGUCUCUCUCGUAUAUCGUCAUUCCGUACCCGAUCCUUUCUUGUGUGGCCACAUAUCCAUUUCAACAUGCGCAUCUCUGCUACACCUAACUGUUGGAUAUGUCAUCUCUCGGUUGUCCAACACUCUGUGCCAUACAACAUCGCAGGUCGGAUAGCUGUCCUAUAAAACCUGCCUUUUAGCUUUUGUGGCACUCUCUUGUCACAAAGUGCGCCAGAAGCUUGGCGCCACUUCAUCCACCCAGCCUUGAUUCGGUGGCCCGCGUCUUCAUCGAUAUCGCCAUCCUUCUGCAACAUGGACCCCAAAUAUCGAAACGUGUCUCUCUCCGGUACCACCUGCCCAUCAAGGCUAACCUCUCCAUCCUCGUGCCUAGUAGCACUAAAACUGCACCUCAUGUAUUCUGUUUUAGUUCUACUAAGCCUAAAACCUUUCGAUUCUAGAGUCCGCCUCCAUAACUCUAACUUUCUAUUAACCCCUGUUCGGCUAUCAUCGACUAGCACCGCAUCAUACGCAAAGAGCAUACACCAUGGGAUAUCUCCUUGUAUAUCCCUUGUGACCUCAUCCAUCACCAAAUCAAAAAAGAUAAGGGCUCAAAGCUGACCCUUGAUGUAGCCCUAUUCUAAUCGAAAAGUCAUCGGUGUCGCCAUCACUUGUUCGAACACUUGUCACAACAUUAUCAUACAUAUCCUUGAUGAGGGUAAUGUACUUUAUUGGGACUUUGUGUUUCUCCAAGGCCCACCACAUGACAUUCCGAGGUAUCUUAUCAUAGGCCUUCUCCAAAUCAAUGAACACCAUAUGAAGGUCCUUCUUUUGCUCCCUGUAUCUCUCCAUCAGCUGUCGUACCAAGAAGAUGGCUUCCAUGGUAGACCUCCCAGGCAUGAAACCAAAUUGGUUUUUGGUCACGCUUGUCAACCUUCUUAAGUGGUGUUCAAUGACUCUCUCCCGUAGCUUCAUAGUAUGGCUCAUCAGCUUGAUUCCGCGGUAAUUAGUACAACUUUGAACAUCCCCCUUGUUCUUAAAGAUUGAUACUAAAAUACUCCGCCUCCAUUCUUCGGGCAUCUUGUUUGACCGAAAAAUGAGGUUGAAAAGCUUAGUUAGCCAUACUAUCGCUAUGUCUCCAAGGCCUCUCCACACCUCGAUGGGGAUACCAUCAGGACCCAUCGCCUUGCCUACUUUCAUCCUUUUUAACGCCUCCUUAACCUCACGCUCCUGGAUACGUCGCACAAAAGCACAUGCUGGUAUCAUCAAAGGAGUCGUCUAGUUCAAUGGUAGAGCUGUCAACCUCUCCAUUGUAAAGGUUGUCAAAGUACUCCCGCCAUCUACGCUUGAUCGCCUCAUCCUUCACAAGAAGCUGAUCAUCUCCGUCCUUGAUGCAUUUAACUUCGCCGACAUCCCUCGUCUUCCUCUCCCUAAUCUUGGCCAUCUUAUAGAUGUCCCUUUCACCUUCCUUAGUGUUUAAACGUUGGUAGAGGUCCUCAUACGCCCGACCUCUCGCUUCACUCACUGCCCGCUUUGCAGCCUUCUUCACCACCUUAUACUUCUCCAUGUUAGCUGCACUCCUGUCCAGAUAUAGGCAUCUGAAACAGUCCUUCUUCUCCCUAAUAAUCUUCUGGACCUCAUCGUUCCACCACCAGGUGUCCUUAGCUUCCCUUCUACUUCCCUUGGUCACCCUAAACUCCUCUACAGUGACCUUCCGCAAGAAGGUCGCCAUACUCGUCCACAUCAAGUUUGCAUCGCCUCCUUCCUCCCAAGGGCCCUCCUUAAUGACCCUCUCCCUGAAAGCCUGGGAUGCCUCCCCUUGAGCUUCCACCACUUCGUUCUAGCUACUUUGACGCGCUUAUCCCGUUGAACACGAAUCCUAAAACGGAAGUCAGCAACCACAAGCUUAUGUUGAGGGACAACACUCUCUUCACGUAUCGCUUUACAAUCAAUGCAAGCGUGUCUGUCUUUUCUUCUAAAGAGGACAAAAUCAAUCUGGGUAGAGUGUGGACCACUACUGAACGUCACUAGAUGGGAUUCUCUCUUCCUAAAGAGGGUGUUAGCUACAACCAUGUCAUAGGCUAGAGCGAAGCUCAGGACAUCUUCUCCUUCUUGGUUCCUGAUGCCAUAGCCAAAGCCCCCAUGCACCUUUCAAAACCUGUGUUAGAUGUACCCACAUGGACAUUGAGGUCUCCUCCUAUGAAGAGCUUCUCACCAAUAGGUACCCUCCUAACCAAGUCCUCCAGGCCUUCCCAGAACUCCCUCUUGGUGCUCUCAUUGUGGCCUACUUGCGGGGCAUACGCGCUGAUAACAUUGAGGACUAAGUCCCCAACUACCAGCUUGACAAGGAUCAUCCGGUCCCCUUGCCUCUUAACGUCCACAACUCCAUCCCUAAGGCUCUUGUUGACCAAGAUGCCUACUCCAUUCUUGUUUGAAGUUGUCCCGUGUACCACAACUUGAAGCAUGUAUCCUCCACCUCCUUCGCCUUUUGUCCCUUCCAUUUGGUCUCUCGGACACAUAGGACAUCAGCACGCCUCCUCACCGCCGUAUCAACUAGCUCUCGUAACUUACCCGUCAGGGACCCUACGUUCCAGCUACCUAAGCGUAUCCUCCUAGGCUCGGCUAACUUCCUUACCCUCCGCACUCGUCGAGUCAAAUGCAAAGACCCUUGCUCAUUUUUCACUACACCGGGGCGUCACUAAGGAUGCGGCGACCCGACCCUUGCUCAUUUAUCACCGUAUCCAGAUCAAGAUACGGCGCGCCACCAAGGGGGUGACGGCCCGGCCCUUGCCCAUUUGACAUCACACCCGGGUUUCGAUGUGGCACCGGGUUUCGAUGUGGCGCGUCGUUAAGAGGGUUACGCCCCCAACGAGUUUCCUUUGGGUUUAUCUCCAUAAGAGUGGCUGGGUUUUUCACGUUGGCUCGCCACGCCUAUCACAACCCUCCUCCUUUACCCGGGCUUGGGACCGGCUAUGCUGAGACAACAUAGACAGAGUUAGGUACGAUCUUUGUUAAAAGAAAAGAAAAAGGUACAGGUACAAUCUUUGUUAAAAGAAAAAAGGAAGGUACAGGUAUGAUUCGGCUUCAGGUCAGCUGACGAUCGGCAUUGGCGUCUGUUUUCAUUCCUUCUGAAUGAGAUUUCCUAGAAUAUUCAGCAACGACGCUUCAACAAACAUCAAGCUUUUAAACACGCAUAAUAUCAGCAUUGUUGCUUGCUGCUAACAACCAGGAACCGAUCAACUCGUCCAUCCAUUCAUUCAUUCAUCAUCAUGCGGGGUUGUGUAUAAGUUGGGUGUGACCAAAAGGCGAAUUUACAAACGCUAGCAGUGUGCCCGCAGCUAUCCUGCGCCACAACGAAAACGGAACCAAAAAAAAAGGCUGUACCAAUAUCUCCCUCGCUCUCUUUGCAACCAGCAUUAUGUAUAUGGAAACCCUAGUGGCGAAAAAAAAGUGUCAAGCACAAAACCGGCGUACUGUAUGGCAUGACCAUCCUAUCCAUGCUACUAGUUGCUAACUACUCGUAUUCACACUGCCCAGCGCCGCCACCAUCUAAACCGGCAUGCCAAGAACCAGUGGCACUCUUAUUUACAGCGAAACGGAUCGACACGAAAAAUAACACCGUCCGAAAGGAUCAGUCCAGGGCGGAGAACUCAUGCUUGUCUUCGUGCCACUUCCUCACUGUACCGUCCAGCUCUGGGAACGCGGCUAGGACGAGGAGCUCCACGAGUUCGAACGCUAGCUGCUUUAAACAAACCGGGGACUGCACGGAAAACAAAUCGUUAGAUAUCAGUGGAGAAUCACACAGUUGUUAAUUCUAAUGUUACGUUUAUCCUAGAGUAAAGUUUACAGCGUAAGCAUAUGACUAGUAUGGUCUUCCGAACAAACUAAUAUUAAACAGGUAAAUUCAAAAUACUGGAACUAUGUGCACGCUGAAUGCGGAAAUGAGGCGAAGAUGAGUGAAUCUAUAAUCUUAAGUGUGUCUAUAUACAUUCGUAUGUAGUCCAUAGUGGAACCUCUAAAAAGACUUAUAUUUAGGAAGGGGGGGAGUAAUGGUGAUGUUUCAAGAGGGUUCCCUUGGAGACAACUAGGAGCUUUCAUGCUAGCUAAUACAAAUGCCAAUGUGCAAACUUUUGAUGAAAUGGCAGAUUUUCAUUCAAUAUGAACUGAAUCCACCAAUAAUGUUUUACCUGAAGAAAGAAGUACAUAUCCUGUGCACAUCUUUCGUACUCCUUUCGACCAACCAGACUCACUAGCGCUGAUGGUGCUUUAUCUGUGCACAUCAAACAGUAAAAAAACUGAAAGCAAAUAGAAGAGCUGAAAAACUAGAUAGAAAUCAGAGGCGACGAGUCUGAUAGCAGAGGAUCAUUACGCCUCUAGAAAUGCAUCAGCAAACCAACGGGAAAGGAAGUACAAAGUUCACCUAUUAUCAGUUCACGAACAAAGUCUGCACGAUGAGCAUCUUCUAAUCGUUGUUCUUCAAUCAGAUAGUUUGUCUUGCUAUCAUUCUGGGAACUAGGAGAAGGAGCAGCUGGUUUUCUGUUGGGAUGCUUUGUCAUGAAAAUUCCAUCUGGCCAGAGUAUCUGUACAUUGAGAAAAUAGCCUAAAUUAGGGAAGCGGUCAUGACUUACGACUUGACAGGAGAAUAGGUCUAACUGGCUAAUUGCAUUAAACAGAUCCCUUUGCAAAUUAUUGGUUGUUCGCACUUGGCACCUGCUUCGCUAAAGAUGUCAUAUGAGACUUACUUGUUCAACACGCUUAACUGCAAAAGCAAUUAUCCUCCCCUUCCUAAGUAACUGGAUUUUCUCAACAAGCCAGUCAUCAAAUGUGUCUCCCAUUCCCAAUUGCAGUAUUUGCUUCGCUACCCAAAAUGCUUGACGCCUACAAAAACAAAAGGUCAAGGUCAAACGGGUUCAAUAAAAAAAAGUGCAAAUCCAAAGGUCAAUAUUACAGCUCCUAAAUAUUAGAAUCCAUAAUCAUGGGUGUAGAAUCAACUCACCUGAUCCAGCCUCCAUCUUGGAGCUGAAAAACCACAUCGACAAGAUGAAAUAUGGGGGCACUAAGAUUUGGGGCCAUCCACUGCAUUAAAGUAGGUAUGAAGUUGUCGGUCAGGCAGCUAUCACAUACAGUGCGAAUAAAGCAAGACAAAAGAAAUAUAGCUCGAGAAGACAUACAGAACUGAUGGUAAGGAUGUGCAGCAACAAUCAGAACUUACUUCAUUAGGAGUCACUGAGUAUCCAUCAGAUUCAAAAAAUUGAGGUGUAUAAUCAGUUUGAGCUGACGGCUUUUUCUUAUCAUUUCCUGAAUUUAUCAAAAACGAGUGAUCGUUCUGUUCAGGAUCACUUCCUGAGUGGUCUUCAUAAAUAUUGGCACUUGUGUUGCUAACACUAGUUCCUGAAUUCUGUUCCUUAUUUCCUUUCCUCAAUCUCAAACCAUCAUGAACAGCAGUGAAGUCCUUAUCCUUCUGAUCAUUAUCAUUUUGGCAUUCACUUAAAGAUUGUCUCGGAGAGGCAAAAUUUCCAUUCAAAACUUUGGCAGAAUUCAACGGUUUUGCACCCCUCUCAUUCGAUCUUACAUCUAAAUUGACUGCAUGACAUCAGGAUGUGGCUUAAAAUUGUGCAUAAAGAAUUAGAAAGAGCAACCGGCUACUCAACAAAAAGGAGAUUGCUCACCUGAGAGUGCCUGGAUAACUGAUAGAGAAUCUGUGAAAAUGUAUGUCUGCAAUGAGAAAAAAUCACACAGUUAUAUACAUAAAGUUUGGAAAAUGUCGGGCAUGAAUCAUGAUAUGAUUUAGAAUAAACUAACCUGUGAAUCAACACUUAGAAAAUCCCAGACUUCAAUACAGCUUGAAACAGUGGGAAUCUGAAGAAGAUUCUGUAGAAUUAACAGGCAGAGUUAUUAUAUAUUCAGAAUUUAUCAUGAGCAGAUAACAGAGCAGACUAUGGAAAGCAAACAUGACAAAAGAUAAAAUGUCUAUUUUAAGGCUUACAGACCACAUAGCAAUCAUAGAACUGAAAAAAAAAAAGUUGACUGAUGUUAUAAGCCAGUAAAGUAACAUAGGUCACACGUAAUGAGCAUUCAUGCUUGCAGAGAUUAUUUGCAUCAUUUUAGCCUCUAGUCAAGCUGAUACUGAACCAUGUCUUGAACUAAGUACAUUCCAAGAAGUUAUUUCUAAUUAGACAUCUCAAUGCCAAUACCCAAACUUAUGGAGCAAGUGAAAAAUAACUUAGGCAUAUCUUCAGAUAGCACAAGAAAUGCACCUUCAAAUAUAUGUCAAGCAAAUUGCAUCUCUCUCGAACAACAGAAACCUCUAACCCUGAUGAGAGGAAAUGCUUCGGAGGCAAGUGAAGACUGUACUGAGGAUAUUCUUUCAGACGCCGAUGCAGCUCUUCAAAAUGACGAAACCUGAUUAAAGUACAUAGCAAACCAGAGGGGGAUUUAGAAUGCAAUUAACGUACUUGAAUAAUCAUCAUAGGCUAGGCAGCGUCUUUUUGGUCUUUGUUUCAAGGUAUUGGCAUCAUAUUUGUUGUGGGCUUGUAGCUGACAUAAUCAAGUGACAAAAUAUAGCAUAAUCACCUCCUCUUGAUGGACCAACUAUUACCGUUGGCAUCAGUUACGGAAACAGAAUACACAGCAAACAUGCCAGAACCACUUUUUACGAUGCUGGCUCCUACCACCUGAAUAAGGAAAUCUAAUAAGGAUAUGCACGACCAGUAGUCACAAGCAUCAAAGAAUAUUCAACAGAAAGUUUGUUACCUCACAUCUUAACUUCAAAUACGAGUCUUCCAACACAUUGGUGCUAGAUGAAUAGGAAGAGUCACUUGAUGCCAACGACAAUGAUGAGGCAUUUGCACCACUAAGCAUCCUAGUCAUACUUUCCACCUCAGUAUCAUCAUAUAGUCCAUCCGUCCUUGAAUCAUUCGCUGAUGUAUUUAGUAUGCCAAAAUCACCACCCGCCAAAAAAGAUCUAUCUGCCUCUUGCCACAAUGGAACCUUUUGAACAUUUGACCUUGACCUUUUCCUUCCUGACGAAUUCCUCACCAUUUUCAACUUGCUCACAUGACUUCUAUUUGUCCUUGAUUUAUGGAAACCAGACAUUUCAAGUGGAUGAUGUAUAUGAGAUGAUGUCCCAUUUCCUUUACUUUUACUGUCCCAAACUCUGGUUACAGGAGAGUCCAAGCCAGUUACAUUGUUAUUUUCGUCCUCCUCGGUGCAAUAUGAACUCUCACUGUCCAAUGCAGAAUCUUCUUGGCUGGCAUGACCUGCCAUUUCUCCAGCUAAACUUUUUGGCAGGUGGUUAGUGCCAUUUGAAUAUGCUGGAGUAGCUGAGUGUUUUAUCAAAUGAUGAUUCUCAGAAUUAGACAAGGCUGUUUGCCUUUGUGGAACAGGAGGAGGAUGACGAAUUGAAGUGCUGAAGGGAACUGACUCCUGCACUGAAGAAUGGGUGACCAAAGAAGAUCUAACAGGUGCUUUAGCAACAUGAUUUGCAUUUUCUGAUUUGUAAUUCUUCCCUUUGGUCCACAUAUUCUCAAGGUGCUCAGGUGCCACGACUCGAAUUUUUCGGUGGGAGCUGACAUCCAAUAUUUGUGCUGACUCUCCUUCAUAACUCUCUGCAGUUAUCUUGCUACAAGCUUGGGGAGAAAUACCAGUAUCCGGAUAGAUGUGAGAAUUGGACGGUAAACUGCCUGACUCAAGUGGAUGUGAAUCAUUGAUCAUACGAGAAUUAAGGGGUUUUGGUUUGAUACUAGAUGUACUUUUAGUUUUGCUUAGUUGCGUAUCUGAAGCAGUUUUGGACUGGCCCUGACUGAAUCUAACAAGUUCAACCCCAGGACUUGAGUGGUCUGCUAGUGCAGAAAGUUCAUCCACAGAUGGCAUAGGAGGCUCCCUUUGCUUCACCAAUGUAGCAUCCUCCAAGGAUCCUUCAACUCCUUUAUCUGCCUUGUUGGCGCGAGAAAGAACCAAAGAUUCAAUCCUUUCAUUAAUAAACCUGCAAAUUUUACAUCUCAAUAUGAUGGCACUACAAAAUACCAUGUGCAGUAGACCAUAUACGGUAUGUUACUACCUUGGAUUUGCCAAGUUUAUGACAGGCCUCAAAACUGUGCAUGCAAGAAGUUCUCGUGCAGUAGAAUGGAAGAACGAGCAUUGUAGAUUCUCAGGCUUGACUGUGAUUGAGAGCAAACCAUCAGCAAGACUUUGCAAGACCUGGAAAUAAAAAUAAACAUAUAGUAUGCAUCAGAUAAUCAGAUAAACUUUGAUCCUUGCACAGAUACAGAGACAUGUUGCCAAGAUGCUCAACUCACCAAUAAUCAUAUGCAACUGCUAAAUGAGCGCAUGAACUAUGAGGUAGUGUGUGUUGUCAAAGUUUUAAAUACACCAGGAACAAAAAAUAUGUGAAUGCCAUAUCUCACAAAGAGUUUAUGCAGGAAGUAUUUAACAUUCAGAUAUGCAUGUUUAAAUAUGUGUUGACCUAGCAGGCUGGCAAUAGCAGCACCAAAUUAUCCUCCAUAAGUAAUGCAUGAAACUUAUGAUGCACAGAAAAGCGAGAAGAUGUGCCGGGGAAAGGAGCCAAGGUACUUAUAAAACAUAAUCUAAUUCCAGUUCAAAACCCAAGUGUUCAUCAAGGUGCCAACCUUAUCUUGGAUAUUUUGCGGCUAAGCAGCUUACUAUAAGCAAUAACUUAAAGCUUCAACAUCAACAAAGUCUUACCUUGUAUUCAGCAGUGGCUGAAAAUAAAGCCGGAUGCAACUUGCUUUGAGCUAUAAGGGCGAGUUUCAGUUCAGCAUCACGACGCUCCGUCGGGAGUCUAACAAACUUCUCUUUUCCAAUCUUAGCUUCACAGGAAUGAUAAAGCUCCAAAUUAUUGCAUAUGAGAUCAACCAGGUCCCUGCAUAAGGUAGAUAAAGUCUUCGUAAGACACCCAACGUUCUGAAAAGAUAAAGAUACAACUGUUUGUGCAUUUCAUGAGAUAAAAGAAGCUUUCUAACCUGGUUAGCAGAGUGAUGAUGUUAAUGUUUCUUGCUCGUUUAGAAAUUUCUCCAAGGACGGAAUUAACUAUGCUGAUGAGUUCCUCCGGUCCAUCCUUAUCAGGUGUUAUACGGGAGUACCAAAGAUCUGUUACCCACUCUGUGACAAGAUGCCUUGUGAACUGUUCAAAUGCUGCUUCAACUGGAGGCGAAUUCACCUUGCUCCUCCAACCAGUACUUCCACUCUUCUUGUCAGGGGAGGGUUUGCUUAGUUCAAUACUUUUUGUUUUGGCAAGUGGGCGACUGGUACCAUGGUCUGUGGCAGUUGUGCUCUUUCUACGGAAGUCGUAGUCAAGUGAUAGGUAGCGAAACAGAACUAUCAAAGAUAUGGCGAAUGGGAAGUUAAUCCAAACUGAAGAGCUUGUCACUGCAAUGGAGAAAAUCAGGCAUUCAGCACAGCCAUGAGGGAGCAAUAAUAUUUAAACAGAGUUAAAAAAAUUGUGUGACUGCAAUAUAAAUCUGCCUUGAUAUGUACAGCCUUUCGUUUUUGGCAACUUUCAGAAAGACUUCAUUAAAUUGCUAGUCAUAUUUCAAUUUAACAUGGAACCUACAUGUCUAGCUCGUAUGUUCCUAGUCUUUAGACUACACCGUGUAUUCCAUGGUAUAAUCCGGCUACAACUAUCGGCAAAUAUACUCUAACUUAUACAAUUUCAUCGCAAGCUUGAAUCAUCCUGAGGUAGCAGUAAAAAUUACGAUGCCCCGAAGAAUUCACCAAUCAUGUACUAGAAUGGAAAGCAAACAGACUACUCGGAGCUAAGUCCAGUCUACAAAUUCCCAAUGCAACAUCUAGAACUCACUACAGAUUCCAGCCAUCUUGAAAUAGCAGUAAAAUUUCCGACGACGGCCCAGAGAACUCACACCAAUCAUCUAGAAUGGAAGCAAGCAAGCUAAGUCGAGCCUACCGAUUCCCAAUGCAACAAAUCACAGCACCAAUUGAACAAACCGAUACUGCUACUCCGCGGAUGCGCCUGAAAUGAUGCCUCCCCAAAUCAGCGCCCGCGCAUCAGGGGCAACAGGCAUAAAACCUAGCCGCGGCACCGACGACGACGACCGACCGACCAACCGAAAUCAAGGGCGCGCGCCCCGACGUGAGGCCGAGACCGCCGGUGGGGGCGUAGGUAGCCUAGGGUUUGGGGGGUGGGGGAGGGGGCUCACGGGACAUGAGGAAGGCGAGCCCGAAGGCGAAGACGAGGAGCAGCACGGCCCGCUUCUUCCCCUCCUCCGCCAGGUCGCGCACCGUGUGCGCCGCCCUCGGCGCGCCGCCCGGCGUCGCCAUCCUCCCGCGCGGCGGCGGGUGGGGACGAGGCGGCCGGAAAGGGGACGGCAGUUGUGGCUUUUUCCGGGCGACUGGAAUUUCUCUUUUGUUUUCUGUUGCGGUAUUCUUGUUUGCGCCAGGUCACUGUAACGUGGGCCCCGCUCGAUGUGAGUUGGACCAGUUGGCAAGGAAAUUAUAUACUCCAGCUUUAUUUAUUAUACUCCUACUAGUAACUAAUUAAUUACAAAUUGGCUUCUUAUCUUUAAAAAAGAGCUCUUUUACGGUACCCUGGGUGAAAUAUCAGCCGUCAAAUCUUACUUAACGAACGGUGACGAGUGAGUUAUACUGCCCCAGUUCGAGAGAUGGAAUCGUGAACUCUAUAGCCUGCACUGUGCGGCUCGAGUCCUCCAGUAUAGACGUGGCGAGGGCAUUUUGGGAAGAAAAAAAAACAGCCGCCCGCGAGGCCAUUCCACCCCAUCCUGUCCCUCCCAGUUCGUUCCCCACCACGCUCACACUCGAUAGGGUUCCGGCUGUCGCCGUUGUGUGUUGCCCUUCCGCCCCCUACUCAUCGUAGCCGCCGACACCUCCCCCUCCUGCUCCCGCUCCUCGUCGUCGUCGCCACACUGCGGAGAGCGGCGCCAGCCGCGGGCGUCGCGGAGUCGUGCGCUCACUAGGGUUUUGGCCACCACCGGCGUGUGUUGCCCUCCCUCCGCCGCACAGAUAGGGACCCAUGGCUCCUUCGCCUCGUCGCCGCUGGCACCUACCCCUCCUACUCCCGCUCCUCCUCCUCGUCGCCGCGCUGCGGGGAGCGGCGCCGCGGAGUCCUUCCGAAAAGAGAAAGAGUGCAUGGUGGACACUCGUCGUAGUUCCGCGGACGGCAGCGGACAGGGAAAGGGCGGCGGGAAGCGCGCGCCGUCGUCGCCGCUGCAGCACCCGUCCUCCGCCUCUCCCAACAAGCGCUCCAAGGUGACCCUGGCCGGGCUGGGCCCCCUGUCCAACAAGCGCUCCGAGGUGACCCUGGCCGGGGUGACCCCAGGAGAAGCCGCCCGUCGCCGCGGCGGCGGAGGCGGAGCAGGGGCCGAGGACCUCGAGGUCAAGGCCUGCUAAGGCGGCGGGGAAGACGCUCGCGCCAUCGACCGCGCGGAAAGCGCUGCCUGCGGCGGCGAGGACGGGGUCGCAAGCGAGGCAGUCGCCGCACUAGGGGCCGUGGGCGAGGCUGCUGUCACACUACUUGCAGUGAUUCAUUUCACCACCAUCCCAUCGGACCAGCGACUGCUUGGAUCGUGGCCGGGACUUGCAGUGAUUACAUUUCAAACAGUAACUGGAAGUUCAGUACACUUUAGAGGACUACAUGUUGUUAUCACAGUUUGCAGGGAGUUGCCUGGAUAUUCCUGGGGCUGGGGGAGUUCAGAAACAGUUUCAGGAAGAGAUGAUGGAUUGUGCAGUAGUAUUUGAUUGUGAUGCGUACCUGUCAAAUGGUUUGCGGCCAGUCAGGAGCUCUAACAUGACGACUCUGAAGCUAUAUACAUCGCUCUUUAGUGAGUAUUGGCACAUGGCUGCCUCAGGUGCCCUAUAUCCUGAGUUUUCUUCUGAUUCCUGGAAUUGAUGCUACGCAAGUAAGUAAUUGUUGAUAUAAAUGUUUGCUCCUAAAUUAUGAUCAUUAGCAUUUGCAUUGUGAAAUGUGCAGAACACCAAACUCAGUAUCAUCUCACUUGUUUGAUCCGAUACUAUCUAGCCUUGCAUCCAACAAACAAGAAGUAAUAGUUAUACGAUCCUAGCUAACUUUAUUAUGUUACUUGAACAACAACUCAUGCUUGAUUCACUAAAAUUAUCCUUGAUUAAAUUGACGUCGUGCUAUUUGAAUAUUUAACUUUGGAUAUAAUAGCAUAAAUAAAAUAGUAAUAUGCAGCAUUUUCGGCUGCAAAAUGACAAAUAAUUCCAGCAUUUUCCUUUGAUGAUGUUAAUCUUAAAUUAUGUGAUAUUCCUGCAGGUUGUCAGGAAGACUGAGGAUAUUGUGCAUGACAUUACCUGGAAUUCCUGGUUUGGAAUAAAAUCUCCAUAUCCAGAAUCUGAAAGGUGGGGGUUCAGCUCACUAUCCAGUAAAACAUUUGAUGACUUAAAAUUCUUGUGGACCAUAGAUGGCGAACAUGUUUCAUGUAGGUACCUGCAGAAUUCACAUGAUUGUUUCUGAUAUGAAUUUUAUUUCUAGAUUAACACGAAGGAUUAACGCUGGUGUCUACUGCUCGGCCUUGAAACCGACGUCUACUGCUCGUCCACUACGUAGGCUGGUCGUUUUUGGCAGAGGAGGCCACGAUGGCUGGCCGCCCUGCCUACCCUGUAGGAUUCCAGUCGACGCCAACAUUCAUGGCGUCUUGAUUUCCAUGUAAGUAGCUUCUCCCUAAUCCAUGCUGGUAAAGUCCCAGAGAACUGAUUAUUGUUUAAGUCGUGUACAUUUCUGCAGCAGCAAAGGAAAUGCACCCGAGAGGUUGUUGUUUCUUAAGCUUAGAUUAGUGAUACUAAGACCUGCCAUGCUUGUGCUGGACUCGUUGACUAGGCAAUCACUAAUUGACCCAUUAAGUUUAGAAGUGUUUAAAUCUUGGUGCUCCAAAGUCUAAUGGUAGUGGGCCAACUGAAUUGUUCUGACUGAAUUAUUAUUAUCACCCUGUGUUACUUCUACUGGAUUUUUUAAUUACACACGCACUCUCCUGAUGGUGGGCCAUGACCAACACACCGGACACACACACUCUCCAACACAUGGAACUUCGUCGUUGCGAAUUCAGGGUUCUGAAACUGAACCUGAACGUGCAUUUCUUCAAUCCGAGGCUAGACAAACAGUUGUAUUGUAACCUCAGUAAUGGAAGCACCAGCUUUCUGCAGGAACAUGUCACACAACUCACAAGUACACAACUUGCAGCCUACCGGGCAGAACAACAUGCCAUAGUUACACAAGGCAGAAAAAAAUGUUAAAUUAUGCUACACCUAAUCUGUUGUUCUGCCUCUUGAGUCUUUUCCUCUUCCUUUUUUACAUUGUGAAGGAACAGCUACAAUCGUUUCGGAAAUUGGAUUCAUACGGAUAAUUCUCGUUUGCAUGGACCUAACUUCUGGGCUACAAAACAAGUGUCCUGGGAAGUGGCUGUAAUUACAUGCUGAUGCUGAUGCGUGGUCGUGGCUUGCCGUUGUCCCUUGUCUCUUAUCAGGUUGAUGGCAAUAGCUGCAGCGAAGAAGAUGUAGCACAGAGUCAUGCAGUUCGCUGGAAGCGUGUUGAAGCCAUCCACACCCAAUAUCGCCAUGUUUCGGUACACAAUGGCAUACGAUGCUGGGUAUUCGGUGCCGCUUGUACCGAUGUUAUGUAUAUCGAAUCUGAUUAGUUAUUAUGGACGAACAAUGCAUAUUAGAGCCAAUGUAAAUUCAGUAAAAGCAAGUAGAUUAUAAGUACAAUGAAAUUUGUCACAUGCUCAUGCAAUCAAAUGGCAGAGCAACAACUAGUCCAGUAAUCACAAGUAAUUGACAUAACUUAUUUAAAAAGGUUGCAACUUAUUAACUAGUACUCCUUCCGUUUCAUCAUGUACUGCAUAUAUAUUUUCUUAAAAGUCAUACCUGUUAAGCAUACUAAAUGUGUUGUCACACAAUGCAACCAAAAAAAGUUCCAGGAGAUGCAUCACUUGUGCUAAACAUUUUUUUCUUUCCAAAUCUCGGCUUCCACCUCUUGUUGGAUGUCUUGGAUGGAGCUCCUUUCGAUUUUAUUUUAUUUUGGAUUCCAGACAUUUCCUCGACAUGCUUGGUUUGACCCUGAAAAAUAUGCUGGAAGAGGGCCCAGUGAUGCCGCCUCAUUUUUCCCACUGUCUUCCUCGCCUUCAGCUAUAAUACCCUUGAGAAAAGCCAUCACCUUCUGUGACAUCUCCGUGCUGUUUGAAGCUUUUAAUAAAUACAUACUACAAAUGUUGCGGAGUUCAUGGUAUCGAUCCAUCCGCUCAGACCAAUCGUGCAUAUUACCAUUCCUCUCUGAGUCAAAUGCGGACUUGCCGACCAUCGUCCAUCUUGUCGAGACACAACACCUAGGAAUGUUGACUAAGCCAAGGUAUUUUAGAACAGAAAAAGUGUGUGCACACGGGAUCUCCUCCGAGUACAUCUUCAGACAACGGCAAUUCACACUCUGACGCAACGGGCCUGCCAUGUCAAACCUCACAUCAUACGUCACAUGCAUACUCUCUUUGCGAGCGACUGUAUACAGAACAACAUCGUCAUUCUUAGUCACUUCUGCUACUUCCCAUUUUGACAAUUGCUCGAUUUGUUGUUUUACCUUCUUGAACAUCACUGGAGUAUAAAUGAGAACAACACUUUUCUCAAGCGGUUCAGCUGCUAAUUCAGUAAAUGGUAUUGUGUCCGAAGCUGUAGCAUCCAACUCAGCCUCAUUCUUGCGGAUACGCGAUAAACAGUUAUCCGAGUGCUCUAGCAAAUCAACAAGUGACAUUCUCCUAUCCAGAUUCUUAUGAAGCCUACAGUUUAGGCUUUCGCUACGCUGAUUGCUCUGCAUGCCAAGGAAAUAUCUACCUUUCGUAUAGGCCCUAGACCACUUCUUCCUCAGCUCGUACAUCCUCAUAAUCCAAGCAUCUUUUUCAGAGAUAUCAUAAUCCACCAUAAACUCAACCCAACGUUUCUCAAACUCAUCGACAUCCCAGAUGUGAUAAACAAAUUCCCUAAAGUCCUUGAGCUUUUGCUUCCGUAGGUUUCGUAUCAUGUUUUGCUCGAUGUGCCAACUGCACAACCGAUGAUCUGUGUUUGGCAAAACCGCCGCUAUUGCCUUCGCCAUCGCAUGGUCACCAUCGGUGAUUACUGAUCUAGGAUGUUUCUGCUUCGUUGACUCCAAAAAUGCUUCAAGCAACCACACAAAAGAUGCCUCGGUCUCAUCCGAGACAAUACCGAAGCCAAACACGGUUGUGCUGCGAUGGUGAUUCACUCCUAUGAAGGGGACAAAUGGCAGGUUGUGUAUUUGUUUACACAGUAAGUGCUAUCAAAGAUCACGAUGCCACCAAAGGCAUCAUAGUCAAUCCGAGACUGUGCGUCUGCCCAAAAGAUGUUCAGCAGAUGCCCUUCACUAUCAGUGGUGUACUUGGAAAAAAUUCGCCAUCCGUGUCUUUUCGGGCUGCCAUAUAACGGAGUACAAAUUCGGCAUCACGACCUUCUAUCCUUUCCUUCUUGUACUUGGCAACAAAAUUAUACAGGUCCCGAGAAAUAAAGCCUACCUUGCUGUAACCACCACUAUCCUUCUCCAUUACUUCCAUUAUUUGAUGUGUCCGAAGGCCACCAAUUUCAUACUCAAUGACAUCAGCCUUUUGCACAUCACUCAGUCCGCGAUGUGAUCUUAUGAAAGCUGUCUGGUCAGGCUUAGCGAGUGGAUGGUUAUGUUCGUCCACAAAAUCUUUUACAAACCAUUCACCAUUAUCCAUACGAAGCUCGAUCUCCAUCCGGCGCCACAUCUACAACGUGACAGCGGCCUAGGAGUUCGCACUCGUUCAAUUUUUUCGAAGUGCUUCCUCGCCCGAUAUCCUUCUUUACAACAGACAUAAAGGCGACGAAAAGCUAUGUUCGUGCCCGACUUCCUGGUCAGUUCUUCCUUCCUAACACCAAAACCCUUUGACCGAGCAUAUGCAUUAUAGUAAUUGUAACCUUCUUCCUCGCUGCCAAAAAUUUGACUGAUCACCAUGUCAUAUUAUGCAAUGUUCUCGAGGGUGGCACUCCCAUAUUCCAUGUCAAACCCUGCAAUUAAAAAAGAAUCAAAUCUAAGUUAUUUGAAUUCCACCCAUGAAACUAAAACACGUAUCAGUAACAAUGCUUGUGUACAUAAUCAAAUAGAAACAUUAGAUAUACUCCAGUAAGCACUUCCCGAUUUGCACCAACAGAACCAGCACCAUAGAAGAGUGAUUUAAGCAGAAACAAUUUAGUACUACCCGCAGACUAAUAGGAAUAUGCAUAUUUGUCCAAAGGCCAAACUAGUAGGAAUAUGCAGAUUUGUCCAAAGGUCAAACUAGAAGAGUGAUUUAACCAAAACCCAUAGGGGAGUAACACGCAGAUUAUGAUGAUCUCUGUUCAGAAGGGAUGUUAUCACUGAAGAUUGAAGAACGCAAUUGCAAUGAACUGACAGAGAAGUGGACAGUGUGUUUGUGUUGCCUGAAAGCUGCAACUUUUCUUACUGCAGUUCUAUUCCUCUUAUUCUGAAUUACAAAAGCAAGAGUAGACCUCACGAUUCGCUACAGUACAGUUUGAGAAAACUAGCUAUCUAAUAGAGGAAGAUGCACUAGGAUUUAUUCAACACGGGAUUCGAACAGAACAGAGACCUUACCAGGUUGAGGACGCGCCGCGGAGGUCCAAGAUGGCGGGGCCAACUAUGUCGAGUGGCGGUGGCGGCCGUGGCGGCGACAGUGAGAACAACGCGUGCGGCGGUGGCCACGGCGGCGGCGGCGACGCCAGGGAGAAGGAGCAGGGAGCCGCGACGACAGGGAGAACGACGCGAGCGGCAGUGGCCACGGCGGCGAGUGGCGGCGGCGACGACGGCAGGGAGAAGGAGCAGGGAGCCGCAGAGGUCCACGAGGGCGGGGCUAGAGCGACGGGCGGCGGCGGCGGCGACGGGUGGCGGCGGCGGCGACGGCAGGGAGAAGGAGCAGGAGCCGCGGCAAGGAUAAGGACGCGAAGGACCAGGGCACCGCUUCGUGGGCGUGAAGUCUGCUCCAUAGUUAGUAAUAAAUUAACUAACAUAUUUUUCUACCCAUCGUACCCUUAGGAAAAUUGACGGUUUGAUUAUGUUAUACUGCUGCCUCCCCUCUGAACAGUAUAGGGUACGGUAAAAAAGCUAUUAAAAAAUCAGUUUUAGUUAUUUACUUUUUGCGAGAAGUUCAGGUCGAGUUCACUUUGAGCGCGCCGGCUUGACCUUGUCAACGGCAACCAAAAUGUCACUAAGGACCAAUGCCACGGAGUAAAAGUUGUCGUCAUUGAACCUUUAGAUCGAUCUGAGGUGACUGACACCAAAUCUUAUUGUAGUCAGUGCUCUGCGAUAAACCAUGACCUCGUCGUCCUAAGAAGACGACAAGAAUCUAUGUCAAAGCUUCGUCGAUUCCGUCGUAAUGGGAGAACUUGAGGAGGAUUAGAGUCCAAAAGACCAACUCAAAGAUAAAGUGUCACCAUCCGCCCAAAAGAUGUCCUUUCGAGAAAAAGACCGUACCUUAAAGCUGAAGCACUGGGAUCCCACCUCACCGCCACUGAUUGCAUGAGCGGUUGGCUGGGGGGAGGUGGAUCUUCAGGCUCAUCGUCGAAGCUUGAAGGGAACAAGUGUCCUAAAUGCCGUAGUCGCGAAGAAAAAGAGAAAACCCAAGUAGUGUCCUGAAGUGACUUUUUUAUUUGUGCCUUUUGGAUGAAACUACUUCAUAUACUAGGCUUGGUUGUGUGAUCCUUAUUUAAAAGCAUUAUAGCAUUAAUUGUCGCCGGUGAGUGGCGCAAGUCACCCGCGAUGAGAAUUCUCAUUGAAACUGACAAUUGAUUGCCUCCUUCAAUCCUGGCAUAUCCGUUUCACUAAACAGUCUACCACCGCUUUGUCUUAUCACCUCUACCUGCGUAGGAUGCUCGAACCUGCUUGGUCGCAUGGUUCGCUGCGGUGACGGCCAAGGCCGCAUGAUCGCAUUGCCUAGCCCGGCUCGCGGUCUCUAUGGGGGUCGUCACUCAUGUCCACCGUCCGUCGCCAUGUCAGGGUUGCGGCCAAGCGAGAGGAAGAAGGAUUGUGUAGAGGCUUGUUCUUUUCCUUUUUUUCAAGCAAAGCCCACAACCUAUUCUUUUUUUUUUUUUGAGGCAAGCCAGUUCUUUUCCUCUCACUGCACGGAUGAUGGAAACUGAUGUAAGCCCAGUAGGCCCAAACUAAGAUCACGGGCUCAAAAGUGUCACCCGAGCAGCGGCCCAGCACGGACAGCGGUCCAGGGGGGAUUAAAAAUCAGCUGGACAGCUGAAAAUGUGUACUACCUCCGUCCGGAAAUACUUAUCCUAGAAAUGUAUAAAAUGGAUGUAUCUAUAACUAAAAUAAGUCUAGAUACAUCUACUUCUAAGACAAGUAUUUCCGAACGGAGGGAGUACAGCUGAUGAUCCAACGGUUUCAAAUGCAAAUGGCCUGAGAUGGCUGGAAUAAUGUUUCUAAAAAUGGUUUCGCAUGGAUUCACUUCAAGCUGGCAUCAUCUGCUCCAGCAUAGUUGUCUGCCUGCCAGCACACUCCUUUUUUUCCUACGAUAUGACUGUCCUCUAUGGCCUAUGGCCAACGGGCGGUGGUUCUGGUUGCUUGAUUUACUUCUGGAUUUAUUUAAAACUGGGAUAAUAUGUUUCUUGAUUUGUCCCACGGCAACCUUUUCUCUGUCGGGUGAGGAUCUCACAUCACUUCUGAAUUUCUGAUCAAUGAUUCGGACUAGUAAGCUUAAUUAUGUUUGAUCUAAAAAGAUCGGAAGAUUCUUAUUUUUCAUAAUGUUUUGACUGUGUGAUGAUUAAGGCAUUAUAAUUUUUCCUGCUCUACUUGGCAUAUACAUCAACUUCUUCUCCAAUUCACGAUUUUCUGGAUGGGGAGUAUGAUAUCAUGGACAAGGCUAUAUUUUGUCGUACUAAUUCCAGUCGAGAUUUGAUUAUUAUUACAGGGUGUUGGAUUCAAUGGCUCAAAAGUUCUUACUGUUUUCUUCGGAUCUUCUAUUUGCCAGGAGCCUGUCAGCCAUGAGAUCAACUGCGGAUGGUUUCAGUUUAUGAAAAUUCACGUUUGUGCGGAAAAAAGAAGAGCAUGGAAACUUUCAUUGCUGUUGAAGGAGAGAAUAGGGAUUGGUGGAAUAGUUAAUUAUUGUAUUGCUGGAGCCUCGUGGGUAUAUAUAUAGAAGUACAUGAUCAUCUUGGAGUACAAGUCAAGGCAGGAACAAAUCCUAGUCUAUCUAUACUUUCCUAAACAACCACAUUACUCAACAUCCCCCCGCAGUCACAACGGUAACGGCGCAGACGGUGAGACUGAAGAAGAAUCCGAAGGUAAGCCGACGAUCAUCCCCCCACAGUCGUAACGGUCGAUGCAUCGUGGAAGUUGUGGCUGGAGUGGAAACCGACAAGGUUGCUCAAGCAAGGCGGUAGCCUUUUGUGCGUUGGUCGAGGUAGCCGAGAGCGUAGGGUGGUGUAGCCGUGGUCGAGGUAGCUGUGCGAAGAACACCGUGGUCGAUGUCGAGUCGGGGUAGCCGGUGUCGAGGAAGUCGUCAUGGAGCCGCGGGCGCAAGGAGGCGCCGAGUUAGUCAUGGGCGCAAAGGUGUCGAAGCAGUGGUGCGCCGGGAAGAAGACGUAGUUGAGACGCGUCGCGCCGAGUUUGUCAAGCCCGGGGACACAUCAUGGACGAAGGCACGCAUCGGUGUUGCCAGCACCGUGCAUGCAUAGACGGACGAAGCCAAUGUUGACGAUGCGUUGCUCCAGGUUUGCCAGGCCUAGGAACACACCGGGAUGAAGGCACACGUCGGUGUUGCCAGCACCGGGCAUGCGAAGACGGGGACCUGCACACAACCUGUACGUCAUGUUGAGGAGGCUAGCAGAGAAGGACUCGACGACGAUUGCGGCGCAAAUCGGCGGGGGCCUGAUGUUGCCCGCGGUGGUCGAAGUAGAUGAAGCGGUCGGGGAAGACGACGGUGACGCUGACGAUGGGCUGGUGCUGGACGAAGAUGAAUGAGGUGGAUGGGCGGUGCGACUCGGGUGAGCGUGUUGGGUAACGUAGCGUAAAUUCAAAAUUUUCCUACGCAUAUUCAGAUCUUCCUAUGGAGAGACCAGCAACGAGAGAGGGGUAAGAGCAUCUUCAUACCUUUGAAGAUCGCUAAGCGGAAGCGUUGCUAGAACGCGGUUGAUGGAGUCGUACUCGCAGCGAUUCCGAUCUAGUGCCGAACAACGGCACCUCCGCGUUCAACACACGUGCAGCCCGGUGACGUCUCCCGCACCUUGAUCCAGCAAGGAGGAGGGAGAGGUUGGNNNNNNNNNNNNNNNNNNNNNNNNNNNNNNNNNNNNNNNNNNNNNNNNNNNNNNNNNNNNNNNNNNNNNNNNNNNNNNNNNNNNNNNNNNNNNNNNNNNNGUACUAGAUCGUGGGACUAAUCGCGGGAUUGUUCGCGGGGCGGAUCGAGGGACGUGAGGACAUUCCACUACAUCAACCGCGUUCUCUAACGCUUCUGCUGUACGAUCUACAAGGGUACGUAGAUCACUCAUCCCCUCUCGUAGAUGGACAUCACCAUGAUAGGUCUUCGUGCGUGUAGGAAAUUUUUUGUUUCCCAUGCGACGUUCCCCAACACUCGGCCUAUUGUAUUGACCUGAAAUAAGCUAACCCGAAUGAGACUCCGACUCUUUAUUUUUGACUCCGAACGAUAAGGCGAGAAUCCUCCGCGUGCCGAACUUGUGCGUUUGCUGCUCCCGGAUCCCAAGGACACCAUCGGGACCAAGGGAGCCCUCGCGGUGGCCGGCGGCGGAAUGCAGUGGUGCUACGCGGUGCGCUCCUGUCGGUGACACCAUGUCUUCUCCCCGCCGGCUGAUUGUCGAUGUCACAGACUUGGAGGUCGUUGCCCGUGGGAAAAAACAGCAUGCCCGCCGCCCGUGGGGAAACCGCAUGCCCAAGAUCCCCCACGCAGUGGACGAGAUCGAGGUCCGUUGCACCGCGAAGCGCAACUUGGAGGAGUUGUAGCUACAAAUCACGCAUCUCCCGCACAUGUCGACGCGCUAGGAGGCCGCGUGCAGCAGCCUACAGCCUCACCGCCGCCGACACGUGGUGGGUAGCGAUCCAAGCCGGAAGCGGUGCCGGCGACGGCUGGAACUUGAUCUGUUGGAUGGGAUUGUCCUGGGACGGCGGUGGCGCUGCUGGGAACGAGGUCGCCACAGUCCCGUCGUAGGGCAUCCCAUGCUGGAACAUGAUGACCGGCGCCAUGGUCGCAGUCGAGAGCGGCGGGGGUCGGCGCCGGUGCUGUGUGACCAUGGAGGACCUCUCGUGGAAUGGCGCACCGUCAGGACCGGCGAAGCGGGAGGGCCCGCCGUACUGUUAGGGUGGCACCGGUGCUGACUGGAUGUACGGCGGCGCCCAGGCCGCCGUAUAGAUCGGCCCGAAGACAGGGAGCGGCAGCGGCGGCUGCAGCAGCCUGGCGUCGAGUGGCGGCGACGACAGCAGCAGCAUCGGCUGUCGCGGCCCGGCGAUCGUGGCGGAGGCCGCCUGGCGCGGCAGCCGCACUGGCCCGUAGGCGGCGACUGAUGGCGCGGUCAGCGGCGGUCCGUAGGGACCGGCCAGGAAGAGGCUGUGCGACCCAUACCGCACCUCCCUCGCCNNNNNNNNNNNNNNNNNNNNNNNNNNNNNNNNNNNNNNNNNNNNNNNNNNNNNNNNNNNNNNNNNNNNNNNNNNNNNNNNNNNNNNNNNNNNNNNNNNNNNNNNNNNNNNNNNNNNNNNNNNNNNNNNNNNNNNNNNNNNNNNNNNNNNNNNNNNNNNNNNNNNNNNNNNNNNNNNNNNNNNNNNNNNNNNNNNNNNNNNNNNNNNNNNNNNNNNNNNNNNNNNNNNNNNNNNNNNNNNNNNNNNNNNNNNNNNNNNNNNNNNNNNNNNNNNNNNNNNNNNNNNNNNNNNNNNNNNNNNNNNNNNNNNNNNNNNNNNNNNNNNNNNNNNNNNNNNNNNNNNNNNNNNNNNNNNNNNNNNNNNNNNNNNNNNNNNNNNNNNNNNNNNNNNNNNNNNNNNACCCCGAGCCCCUCCAUUAUCAUCUGCGGCACCACCCCCUCCAGCUCCGCCAUCCGCGCCGCCGCGCCGUGCACGGUCUUGCUGCCGUCGGCGCGCCAGGGCAAGAGUCAAAAUAACAAGUCGAUCGAUCUGGCUGUCAUUUUCCGACCGGCGAGCCUUCUAACUAACUACUCUAAUUGACACCGCCGGGGGUGACAUGUACGUACCAGAAGGCGGUGUUGUCGGCGGCGGCAAACAAGAGGUUGGCGAAGGCCUGGACGGCGCCCAGCUCGGGCCCAUCGACUCCAUAUAUAGAGAGGUUUACUUGACUCCCAAGUAAGGCUUACUUGACCCCUAAGCAAACCCUAAGACUAACGGGCCAGGCCCAUUACGUACUCUAACACUACACCCCACCUGGACACUACACCCCAAGCGAAAUCAUUGAAGUACUGCUUGCACAUACUGCUUUAUAAUUUAUACAUAUAAUUUUUUAAUUUCUAGAUCUAAGGAAACAAGAAAUCCUGCUAUUAUAGACUUAUAAAGAUCAUAAUCAAAGAUGACACCAUUCAAAUAUAUUCAAACAGUUUUUUAAAGAAUAUGUUCAAACAACAGCAAACAUCAAUAACGAUCUCUUACUACUCCCUCCGAUCCAUAAUAAGUGUAGUGGUUUUACUUCAAAUUUGAAUUAAAUCACGACACAUAAUAUGGAUCGAAGGGAGUAUUAAUAUUUAAAAUAACUUGCAUAAUUUCCACUUACAUCGAAAAACUAAAAACAGGUCUAUGCCUAUAUGGUUGGCUUACAAUCCAUGCAUGACUCAACUCAAUUGUUUGAUGCUUCUUCCAUCUCUAACUCUUCUUUAUAACAAGACAUACCUUGUACCACCCUUCGCAUCUUCUCAUUGAUGACAGAAGUAUGACUAUCAUCGCAACUACGCCACCGCUUCGUAUCCAUAUGCAAGAUGAAACGAAUGGAGAUGGGAAGUAUGUGUCAGCGUCUCCCUUAAUCCCAAGAUUAUGCUUCAUCUCUCUUUCUUCCCUUCUCACGGUUCUUUUCAUCAAACGAACAACAUCAAGGGGAAAAUGAACCAAGAAAACCAAUGAAGAGAAACAAAGCUAAAAAAACAUGAAUAAACCUUACCUCGCUUCAAUGCAAAUCUGGGAUGCUUGUGGGCACCGAGUCGCUGAUUAUGUUGCUACUUGUUGAACAUCUCAAUGCAAAUUAUCUACAGAUUCUAUAGAAUAAACGAUUUAAAACAAUUUGAUACUUAAAGGAUACUCUGCCGAUCCUUUUGGAAUACAACCCAGCCAGUUAAGAGAACACUCAGCCCAGUCAAGAGGCAACCAGCAACCCUAGUACCCCGAUGCCCCCCAUCAUUUCCCUCCCAGCUUCUUUCAUCCCUCCUGAGCUCACAUCAGGUGGCGGCUGUGUACACAGCGGCUGCUCACCCAACGCUAGCGGCGGCGACAGCUAGCUGGCGAUGAGCUACUCCUCAUUCCUAAGCAAUGUCCCCUCUCACACAGCAGCCAGUUAUGCACAUUUCUCUUCUCCUCUUCUCCUACCCAGCCAAGCUCAUCUCCUCUUCUUUCUCCUAUGAAGAUCUCCUAUUCUCAUCUGACAUCUCCUCCAGAUGGCUCCUCCUGCUGUACCUACGAAUCUAAGGGCACCGUUGUGGAGCCAAGUUACAAUUAUAGAGAAAUCGGGCCAAUAGCUCAUGUACGACGUCUUUCCUGCGAAUUGGAAGCAGUGCGACAUCUUUCGAUGAAAUAGCUCUCAUGCGACGGUUUGCUGGGAGAAAAUAGCUCACGGCCACACAUGCGAUAAAACCUUAGUCAACUAGUCCAAUUGGCGUUAAGUCAUGUGUUACCUAAUUUGGGCCGAAAUUAAUUAGCACCGCAUCUCGUGAAACUGCCCGACUAGAGUUGUCCGAAACUGCCCGACAUCUUCAGCUCCGGCGGCGGCUAAGGCGGAGGAGCCCUCUUUCUCGGCGUAGCCCCCUUUCGGCGGCGGCGGCGGCCAUGGUGGUGAGUGAAUUCGAUACUCUAGUCCCAAUCCCCUCCGCCUUGUAGAUCUGAGCUCUCUGUUUUGCUUGGUGAAAUCGAUAGAAGGUGAGAGGGGGCGGCGCGGUGAGAGAAGCCCGUGGUCAGGUCGAGAAGGAGCCGCCAGAUUCAGCUUCGAACAGGUAAUGCGCCUCCCUUCCGCCCAUUUUGUGAGUGCGAUUGAAGGCAAUCUUUGCUCUGUCUGACGCUGCCCGCCCGCCUAUAACAAAGGGAAUGCUGCUGAAACAUUUGAAUUUGCAAUCAAUUUCUUUCCAUCGACGGCAAAAUUAGUUGAUGGUAGCAUUGAGAACAUCCAGAGAGACACAAUUGUGAAAUGGGAGGUUGAUUGUGUAGAAAUUGAUCCCAUUGAGAUACAGUCGAUGGAAGAGAAGGCAGUGAGGAAAUUGGUGGAGAAAAUUGGGGAAACUGUGCUUUGGGGUCCAGAGCAAGAGGUUUCACUAUUGCGGUAUGAUGAUUUCAAAGGAGAGUAUGUCAGAAUUGAAGAUGGUGAAGAUAUUGUUGUUGAAAUCGAUAGGCAAGAGGGCUGGGCAAGCCUCGGGGCUGAAUUUUUAGCUGAGCUCGUUGAUCUGAAUAUUGACUCGAAGGUAGGUUAUGUGCCGUCACACUUGGCUAUGCAGAAGGCAGAUGAUGAUUGGGCUUCGCAGAGGCAUAUCGUUCCCAUUAUUACGGAUCUAACAGUAAUAGCCGAUGGAGCUAAUGCACAUGCAGAAGAGGGAAAUGUUAAUGUUGUUGAUUGGAAUGCAGUUGAGUUGGAGGAGCCUACUGAUUUGGUCAUUGCACCAAUUGCUGAUACUGAGAUGGCCAAACUAUUUGGCAUUCCAGUUGAUGACAGAGAUGAGGAGGAGAGGGAUGAAGCUAAUACAAGUGAUAAUGAUGACAGAGAAUUGAGUGAUGUAGAUGAACAGUUGAUGAAAGAUGCUGCAGAUGAUGUAGAUGAUGCACAUGAUAAAGAGCUAGUGCAUUGUAUGACAAGGAAAACCCUGUCAUUCGAGUGGGGAAGUUGUGGCCAAACAUGGAUGAGUUCAGGUUGUCUUUCAAGACUUAUGCAGUCAGACAUCAGUUUGAUGCCAAGACAGUUUGGACCGAUAGAAAGAAGUUUUAUGCUAAGUGCAGAGGUUUUGAUGGUAGUGGUAGGAGGGCUUGCAAGUGGUACAUAUCUGCUAGACUGCAGCCUGAUGGAAGUACUGUCAGGGUUAACCAAAUCCCUAAUAAACAUACUUGUCUCACAAGUUCACAGAAAAAAUCAAGCAUGAAUGUCGUGGGUAUAAGCCUGACAGUAGAUGUAUAGGGUACGAAAAGGAUGGGCAGAGUCCUAGCUACAGCGAGGAUGUAUGAGUUCAGACCCCUCUGCGGUGGAGGUAACAGCCCUACGUCUCAGUGCUCAGGGAGCUUGUUGUCGAGUGGAAUAGGGAAUACAAUGAGUUGCUAACCCCUCUACCAGUGGGGGAGGAUGGCUUAUAUAGAGUACGCUACCCUCCACAACGGUUCUGAUACAGGGGUGGAGUAGUGGCGAUUGAAUGUGUACGUUACAGGUAAUGUAUGCCCUAAAUGCUAAUAAAUGCACCUGGAAACGUACGACCGUUUCCCUCCAGGGGGGUUACGAUGUACCGAGUGGUAUCCAGUCGGUUAGCCUGAUAUGCUCCGAAUGCUAGUCUCCGACUGGAUGAUCGAGGGUAUGUUACCGACUGGAUGACACGGACUCCUUAAUUCAGUCGGAGCUGACUAAGGGUCUAGUCCUUUGCGAGGGGUAGUCCUUGGGUAGGACAUAUAGGGCAGGCCUAUGACCCUACCCUAGGACUAUAACCCCAUCAUUAGUCCCCGAAUGGAUUGGGGUUGGGACGACGAAGCGAUGUUUGAAGUUGGAUCCGACUGGAACGGACUUGGCUUGGGCGUUGCUUGCCUCGGUCCAUUUUGACUUUUCUGAUCGACGAUCCGAGUGGAAGUACUCGCGAAACAGACUGCCGGGAACCGAGUGCUUCUGCGGCAUCUUCUGACGCGACCGGUCAACUGACAGCGGUGGAUUUUCCGGGAUCCUCAAAUUUCGGUUUCCGCGCGCUCAGCGGGGAUGACGCCAUCGCGCUCGAGUAGCGCCUGACGCCUCGAUUCUCGCGCCUUCAACCUCUCCACUAAUAUCGCCAUGGUGGGUCGGGAGGAUAAGGUUUCGGGGCCACCUGCCAGUGACCCAGUCGGAACCCUAUUUAAAUCUCGGUGGCGAGGCUUCUUCGUUACGCUCGCCGAAUCUCUCGCCCUUGCUUACUCCGUCCUUCUCGCCACCUCCAGCGCUUUUACGCUCCUUCCUUCUCCUUCCUCCCGAGGGCUCGCAGUUGCCGCCAUGACCAAGGGUCAGACCAGCAAGAUGGAGGCGAGGAAGAAGAAGGGGAAGACGGCGGCGCCUGCUCAGCGGCGGCAGCGGCCGCUGCCUGCGGGGUGGAUUCAGGGCGACUUCCUCCCCUCCACGGUGACACAGGGGGAUCUGCUGCAGCUGGUGGAGCACGGGAUGAUCGAGCACAAGUCCUGGAGGCUGCCGGCAGAGAACGAGGUCGAGCCGGCGCCUCGGGAGGGGGAGCGCGUCUUGCUGCUCAGCCACGUCCACCGAGGUUUCUCCUUGCCCCCGCAUCCUUUCUUCAAGGGCAUCAUGAAUCACUUCGGGGCACAACUUCAUCACUUUCCCCCGAAUGCCAUUGCCCAUCUCUCUGCCUUUAUAGUUUUGUGCGAGUGUUUCAUCGGCUGCCCCCCCCAUUGGGGUUUGUUCAAGCACAUCUUUUCCGCCAGAUCCCAAACCAUCAAACGACUCAGCCAGUCGGAUGAUAAGACACAUCUCCUCCAGCUCUGCGGGGGCUUAGGUUUCCAGAAGAAGAGUCGGAGUAGCUAUCCUGCUCUUCAGUUAAGCGAGUGGUCAGGAACUGGCAGUCGACGUGGUUCUACUGCCAGGAUAUUGCAUGUCCGAAUGCGUCGACUGGGCUGCCUCACUUUAGUUUAGAUCGGCCCGCUCCGCCUAAGCAGCUCGCGCUCACGAAGGCGGAGAAGAACGACAUCCAGCCUUUGGUUGAGGCACUCGUAGAUGUCGUCAGGAGGGGGGGUCACUGGCAUAGACUUGCUGGAGGUCUUCCUCGGUCGGCGUAUCCAACCUCUGCAGGCUCGCGACCAUGCCAUGUGGCAUUACACGGGGCCCGAAGACUCCACUCGGACCAACGUGGUGGGCGUAACUGAGGAGAGGGUGACCUCGUGGGUGCUCCAGAUCAUAGGCCCCUGCGAGAAUCCCAAAGGAUCUCGGCGAGCGAAGCCUUACUGCGCGGAUCAUCCUCCUCCGAAUCAGGUGAGUAACACUUGUCGAGUGCACUUAACUGUCUUAAUUCCUGUCGUUUGUUUGAAUCUCUGCAUGAUGUCUGAUGUUGCCGACUGAAAUUUAUGCAGAAGUGGACCAACUGGUUCUCCCCCGUCUCGAACGGGAAUCCGGCCGAGGAGGAGGAGGAAGGCAGCCAGGAGGGCAGCGUGGAGAGCGCUGAGUACGUCUCCAACAGCGGGGAAUCGGAGGAGGAGACUAGCGAGGAGGAAGAGGAAGACGAAGAGCAGGACUCGCCGCCUCCGCAAUUAGAGCAUCGGACCAAGCGCCGACACGAGCCUACCGUUCCUUUGGCUCCUCCUGCGUCUUCGAGUGCUCCGCCCACUGUCCCGGUGGUCCCGAGUGUUCGAAGCGCCAAGAGGGCGAGGGAUGCUACUACUGAGCCUGCGGGUCAAUCUUCUAAGGCGGCCAAACUGAGUGGGCCUAAGCCUCGGAAGGCUUUGCCGCGAAUGAGGGUUGCUGUCCCUGUCACCUCCACGUAAGUGUAUCCAUCUUUAAAUUCUUUCUGAUAUCCGAGUGAACUCUUGUUUACUGGUCGAAUGGAUUUCACUCGGCAGAGCCGCUACUUCUGCCACCUCUCCGGCACGCCAGGAAGAUGAUCCCAUGGACACGGACAACAUCGUCUCGUCCCAGCCAGGUGCGUUGUAGUGACGCCGAGUGUUUUAUACUAUCGCGUCUCGAAUUCUAUCAUAGGUCCUGCUUCUUUCUUUUUCUGAGACCUCGCGUCAUUCGGCCUGUCAGGGGCGAUUUUCCUGGACGAGGGCGGCCAGGGGAGAGCCGAACCAGCUGCGGAGCCUGUUCUUGAGGCUGCUCCACCUGCUGCUGCUCUCGCCGCCGACGUGCUGCCGACUGAGGCGCUGCCACAGACUCAACCGGUGCCGAUGGAUGAGGAGCCGACUGGAGCGGACCUUGGGAUGCCUCGGGAAAUUUCAACGCUGUCAGGCUCGUCGAAUGUCGAGUUCAACAUCCAGCAUCUCCCGGAGGAGCAGGUGGGAGAGGCCAAGGGAGCUAUGGUGCAGGCGGAGCUGAUGGCUGGAGAAGCCAAGAGGGCCUACGACUCUGUUGCGUCCUUGUACCAGCGGAGCUUGGAGCUGCGGGAUGAUAUCCGAGUAAGUGGUCUAGUAAGUAUUUACUUUUCUCUUGUAACCCACUCGGUGUUCUUGGAUAGCAGCUGUUGUUUGCAAUGGGUUCACUCUGAGUGAACCCAGUGGGUGUAGUCCCCGAGACUUCUGUCGAGUGCUUGCACCGACAGUUGUCUUUAUACAUAUUGUCUUUACUUUGGUCGUGUCUGUAAAUAAUAGGACCGACUGCGAGCAGUUGUUGCACUCGGAGUGCACUUACUAUAAGAGUCCCCGAGAGUAAGUUGUACUCAGGUCGGGUAGUAUUGGCCUCGUAGACGUAGGUGAUAACAUGCAUCUCAAUAGGGCGGGCAUGCUUGAGUUGCAUGCCAGUGGGGUCACUCUUAGUGAACCCACUGGGUGUAGUCCCCGAGAUCGCUGUCGACUGCUUGCGUCGGCAGGGGUCUGAAGAACUUAGACUUUUAGUUGUUGAACUUUCUGAUUGUCCCUUGGUGUUUGUUGGCAGAAAACCUGUGAAAUGGGGACGGCUUAUGAGACUCUCAGGGCGGAGAGGAAUCAGUUCGCUGGUGAGCUUGAUGCGGCCAUGCUCGCAAUGGCUGGCAUGAAGGAUGCUCUGGAGGGACGAGAGAAGUCCUUGGAGGAGGCUCGUGAAGCGAACAAGGUGUUGACUGAGGAAGUGGAAAAGAUGAAGAAACAGAGGACUGCUCUCACGAGUCAGAUGGUCGUGCUGAAUAAACGAUGCAUAGCUCAGGAGAAGUAUGUCAGCGACUGGGCUGGGCAGAUGAUGACGCGUCUGGCUGGUAAGUCCUGUUUUUUGCCGAGUGUUUGUCCUAUGUACGUCACACUCGGCGCUUAUUGCUUGCUUGUCCUUCUGUUGCAGAUUUUUGCGUUGAUGCUGAAGUUGAAGCGGCGGACGUGGAGCGGUCAAUUCGCGACAACGUGCCACUCGGCAAGGACGCCAAUCGGGAUUUGCUCCGGGCGCACAUCCGCGUGGGCAAAUUUGGCCCUUUCAUUGGUCGAUUGAGAGAAGUCGUCAGCCGAAUCGACAAGGAGCUUUGGCCAGAAGAUGAGUCUCGGCAGGAGAUGGAGAACCUGAUGGCGCGACUGGAGGAGAUUUCGAACCGAGUGCAGUCGUGGAAGAAAUCUGCAACUCGUUGCGGUGCAGAUGUUGCUCUGUCCUUGGUCCGAGUCCAUUGCAAGGAGGUGCGUGAGGAGAAGCUGAAGACACUGAAGGUCGCCAACACGAAGAAGCUUCGAUUCGAAGACUUCAUGGAUACUUUCCUUGAGAGUGCUGUUGGAAAUAUGCCCUNNNNNNNNNNNNNNNNNNNNNNNNNNNNNNNNNNNNNNNNNNNNNNNNNNNNNNNNNNNNNNNNNNNNNNNNNNNNNNNNNNNNNNNNNNNNNNNNNNNNNNNNNNNNNNNNNNNNNNNNNNNNNNNNNNNNNNNNNNNNNNNNNNNNNNNNNNNNNNNNNNNNNNNNNNNNNNNNNNNNNNNNNNNNNNNNNNNNNNNNNNNNNNNNNNNNNNNNNNNNNNNNNNNNNNNNNNNNNNNNNNNNNNNNNNNNNNNNNNNNNNNNNNNNNNNNNNNNNNNNNNNNNNNNNNNNNNNNNNNNNNNNNNNNNNNNNNNNNNNNNNNNNNNNNNNNNNNNNNNNNNNNNNNNNNNNNNNNNNNNNNNNNNNNNNNNNNNNNNNNNNNNNNNNNNNNNNNNNNNNNNNNNNNNNNNNNNNNNNNNNNNNNNNNNNNNNNNNNNNNNNNNNNNNNNNNNNNNNNNNNNNNNNNNNNNNNNNNNNNNNNNNNNNNNNNNNNNNNNNNNNNNNNNNNNNNNNNNNNNNNNNNNNNNNNNNNNNNNNNNNNNNNNNNNNNNNNNNNNNNNNNNNNNNNNNNNNNNNNNNNNNNNNNNNNNNNNNNNNNNNNNNNNNNNNNNNNNNNNNNNNNNNNNNNNNNNNNNNNNNNNNNNNNNNNNNNNNNNNNNNNNNNNNNNNNNNNNNNNNNNNNNNNNNNNNNNNNNNNNNNNNNNNNNNNNNNNNNNNNNNNNNNNNNNNNNNNNNNNNNNNNNNNNNNNNNNNNNNNNNNNNNNNNNNNNNNNNNNNNNNNNNNNNNNNNNNNNNNNNNNNNNNNNNNNNNNNAGAAGAUCGUGCCGGUGCUUUGGUGAUGGAGAUCAAGAAGCACGUGAUGAUGGCCAUAUCAUGUCACUUAUGGAUUGCAUGUGAUGUUAAUCCUUUUAUGCACCUUAUUUUGCUUAGAACGACGGUAGCAUUAUGAGGUGAUCUCUCACUAAAAUUUCAAGACGAAAUUGUGUUCUCCCCGACUGUGCACCGUUGCGACAGUUCUUCGUUUCGAGACACCACGUGAUGAUCGGGUGUGAUAGACUCAACGUUCACAUACAACGGGUGCAAAACAGUUGCACACCGGAACACUCGGGUUAAGCUUGACGAGCCUAGCAUGUGCAGACAUGGCCUCGGAACACAUGAGACCGAAAGGUCGAGCAUGAAUCGUAUAGUUGAUAUGAAUAGCAUAGGGAUGCUUACCACUGAAACUAUUCUCGACUCACGUGAUGAUCGGACUUGAGAUAGCGGAUUUGGAUCAUGUACCACUCAAAUGACUAGAGAGAUGUACAUUUUGAGUGGGAGUUCUUUAAGUAAUAUGAUUAAUUGAACUAAUUGUCAUGAACAUAGUCUAAUGGUCUUUGCGAAUUACGAUGUAGCUUGCGCUAUAGCUCUACUGUUUUAUAUGUUCCUAGAGAAAAUUUAGUUGAAAAUUGAAAGUAGCAACCUUUGCAGACUGAGUCUGUAAAACCAAGGAUUGUCCUCGUUGCUACGCAGAAGGCUUAUGUCCUUAAUGCACCACUCGGUGUGCUGCACCUCGAGCGUCGUCUGUGGAUGCUAUGAACAUCCGACAUACACGUUACUGAUGACUACACGAUAGUUCAGUGCAAGAUACUUGAUGGCUUAGAAGCAAGGCGCCGAAAACGUUGUAAAACGUCACGGAACAUAAGUGAUGUUCCGAAGAGAUGAAAUUGUGAUUUCAUGCUUGUGCCCUUGUUAAGAGGUACGAGACCUCCAAACAAGAAUCUUUGUCCACAAAGUAAAGGAGAAAAGCUCAAUCGUUGAGCGUGUGCUCAGAUUGUCUGAGUACGACAAUCGCUUGAAUCAAGUGGGAGUUAAUCUUCCAGAUGAAAUAGUGAUGGUUCUCCAAAGUCACUGCCACCAAGCUAUGAGAGCUUCGUGAUGAACUAUAACAUAUCAAGGAUAGAUAUUAUGAUCUUUUGAGUGAUUCGCGAUGUUUGACACUGCGAAAGUAGAAAUCAAGAAGGAGCAUCAAUAGUUGAUGGUUAGUAAAACCACUAAGUUUCAAGAAAGGCAAGGGCUAGAAGGGAUACUUCGUGAAACGGCAAAACAGUUGCUGCACUAAUGAAGAGACCCAAGAUUAAACCCAAACCCGAGACUAAGUGCUUCUGUAAUAAGGGGAACAGUCACUGAGGCGGAGCAACUCUAGAUACUUGGUGGAUAAGAAGGCUGGCAAAAGUCGAGAGAAGUAUAUAUGUGAUAUACAUAAUGUUGAUGUGUACUUUACUAGUACUCCUAGUAGCACGAGGGUAUUGGAUACCGGUUCGGUUGCUAAGUGAUUAGUAACGCGAAAUGAAAGCUACGGUAUAAACGGAGACUAGCUAAAGGCGAGGUGACGAUACGUGUUGGAAGUGUUUCCAAGGUUGAUAUAAUCAAACGUCGCACGCUCCCUCUACCAUCGGGAUUGGUGUUGAACCUAAAUAAUUGUUAUUUGGUGCUUGCGUUAAGCAUGAACAUGAUUGGAUCGUGUUUGUUGCAAUACGAUUAUUCAUUUAAAGAGAAUAAUGGUUACUCUGUUUUCUUGAAUAAUCACCUUUAAUGGUUUAUUGAAUCUCGAUCGUAGUGUUACACAUGUUCAUAAUAUUGGUGCCAAAAGAUACGAGGUAAUGAUGAUAGUACCACUUACUUGUGGCACUGCCGCUUGAGUCAUGUUAGUAUAAAUUGCAUGAAGAGGCUCCAUGCUGAUGGAUCUUUAUACUCACUUGAUUUUGAAUCACUAGUGACAUGCAAAUCAUACCACAUGAGCAAGGCCUUAUUUUCAUUGAGAUGAAACAAGAUAGUAACUUGUUGGAAGUGAUACAUUUGAUGUAUGUAGUCCAAUGAGUGCUGAGGCACGCAGUGGAUAUCAUUAUGUUCUUACUUCACUAACGACUUGAGUAGAUACAGGAGUAUUUACUUAAUGAGUCACAAGUCUGAAAUAUUGAAAAGUUCAAUUCUGUUUCAGAGUGAAGUUCGUUGUAACAAAAGGAUAAACUGUCUACGAUAUGAUCAUAGAAAUGAAUAUCUGAGUUACGAGUUUUGGUACGCAGUUAAGACAAUGUGGAAAUUGUUUCGCAGUUCAUGCCACCUGGAACAUCAUAGUGUGAUGAUGUGUCUGAACGUCAUAGCCACGCACUAUUUGGUAUGGUGCAUACUAUGAUGUCUCUUAUCGAAUUACCACUAUCGUUUAUGGGUUAUGCAUUAGAGACAACCGCACUCACUUUAAAUAGGGCACCGCGUAUUUCCGUUGAGAUGACACAGUAUAGACUGAGGUUUAGAGAAAUCUAAACUGUCGUUNNNNNNNNNNNNNNNNNNNNNNNNNNNNNNNNNNNNNNNNNNNNNNNNNNNNNNNNNNNNNNNNNNNNNNNNNNNNNNNNNNNNNNNNNNNNNNNNNNNNCACCUCUCUGGCCAAUAACCAUCAGCGGGGUCUGGAUACCCAUGGUGGCUCCCACUUGCUCCACGAUGAUCUCAUCGGAUGAACCACGAUGUCAAGGAUUCAAUCAAUCNNNNNNNNNNNNNNNNNNNNNNNNNNNNNNNNNNNNNNNNNNNNNNNNNNNNNNNNNNNNNNNNNNNNNNNNNNNNNNNNNNNNNNNNNNNNNNNNNNNNNNNNNNNNNNNNNNNNNNNNNNNNNNNNNNNNNNNNNNNNNNNNNNNNNNNNNNNNNNNNNNNNNNNNNNNNNNNNNNNNNNNNNNNNNNNNNNNNNNNNNNNNNNNNNNNNNNNNNNNNNNNNNNNNNNNNNNNNNNNNNNNNNNNNNNNNNNNNNNNNNNNNNNNNNNNNNNNNNNNNNNNNNNNNNNNNNNNNNNNNNNNNNNNNNNNNNNNNNNNNNNNNNNNNNNNNNNNNNNNNNNNNNNNNNNNNUCGGUAUACCUAUACCUUGUUCAAUCUCGUUACCGGUAAGUCUCUUUACUCGUUCCGUAGCACGUCAUCGUGUGACUAACUCCUUAGUCACAUUGAGCUCAUGAUGAUGUUCUACCGAGUGGGCCCAGAGAUACCUCUCCAUCACACGGAGUGACAAAUCCCGAUCUCGAUUCGUGCCAACCCAACAGACACUUUCGGAGGUACCCGUAGUGCACCUUUAUAGUCACCCAGUUACGUUGUGACGUUUGAUACACCCAAAGCACUCCUACGGUAUCCGGGAGUUGCACAAUCUCACGGUCGAAGGAAAAGAUACUUGACAUUAGAAAAGCAUUAGCAUACGAACAAUACGAUCUAGUGCUAGGCUUAGGAUUGGGUCUUGUCCAUCACAUCAUUCUCCCAAUGAUGUGAUCCCGUUAUCAAUGACAUCUAAUGCCCAUGAUCAGGAAACCAUGAUCAUCUAUUGACUAACGAGCCANNNNNNNNNNNNNNNNNNNNNNNNNNNNNNNNNNNNNNNNNNNNNNNNNNNNNNNNNNNNNNNNNNNNNNNNNNNNNNNNNNNNNNNNNNNNNNNNNNNNGGAAGAACUCCAGCAACACGACGGCGUGGUGUCGAUGGAGAGACGAGGUCUCCCGGCAGGGCUUCGCCAAGCACCGGCGGAGAGGAGGAGGAAGAAGAGUAGGGCUGCGCCGAGAGAGAGGGAAAAACCGUGUGUCUCAAUGGCCAAAAGUGCCCGAUAUAUAUAGGGGGAGGGGAGAGGGGGUGCCACCCCUAGGUUUCCCACCCUAGGGGGUGCGGCAGCCCCCCAGAUGGGAGGUGCGGCGGCCAGAAGGGGGAGGAGGGGGUGGCGCACCAUCUGGUGGGCCUUAGGCCCACCUGGCCUAGGGUUUGCCCCCCCUUUUAUCUCCCUUGCGCUAUGGGCUGAGUGGGGAGGCGCACCAGCCCACCUAGGGGCUGGUUCCCACCCCCACUUGGCCCACCUUAUCUCCCGGGGUCAUUGCCCCCCUUCGGUGGUCUCGGUGGUCCCGGUACGUUACCGGUGAUGCCCGAAACACUUCCGGUAUCCGAAACCAUCCGUCCUAUAUAUCAAUCUUUACCUUCGGACCAUUCCGGAGCUCCUCGUGACAUCCGGGAUCUCAUCCGGGACUCCGAACAACUUUCGGUAACCUCGUAUAACAAUUCCCUAUAACCCUAGCGUCAUCGAACCUUAAGUGUGUAGACCCUACGGGUUCGGGAGAAAGGCAGACAUGACCGAGACACCUCUCUGGCCAAUAACCAUCAGCGGGGUCUGGAUACCCAUGGUGGCUCCCACUUGCUCCACGAUGAUCUCAUCGGAUGAACCACGAUGUCAAGGAUUCAAUCAAUCUCGUACACGAUUCCCUUUGUCUGUCGGUAUAGAACUUGCCCGAGAUUCGAUCGUCGGUAUACCUAUACCUUGUUCAAUCUCGUUACCGGUAAGUCUCUUUACUCGUUCCGUAGCACGUCAUCGUGUGACUAACUCCUUAGUCACAUUGAGCUCAUGAUGAUGUUCUACCGAGUGGGCCCAGAGAUACCUCUCCGUCACACGGAGUGACAAAUCCCGAUCUCGAUUCGUGCCAACCCAACANNNNNNNNNNNNNNNNNNNNNNNNNNNNNNNNNNNNNNNNNNNNNNNNNNNNNNNNNNNNNNNNNNNNNNNNNNNNNNNNNNNNNNNNNNNNNNNNNNNNCAUGAUUUUUUCUUUUUUUUUUCUUUUUUUUCUUCUCUAAAUUAAUUCCAGAUUUUAAAAGAACAAAGUAUCAAAAAUUUAUGAGUAUAAAAAAUGUAAGAAAAAGCAAAAACUGUUUGUGUAUUUGAAAAAUAUAUUCAAAAAGUCAUAAAAUAUUAAUGAGUUUGAAAAUAUUCAUUUCUUUUUCUCCUCUAAAUAAAUUCCAGAUUUCAAAAGAACAAAGUAUCAAAAAAUUAUGAGUAUAAAAAAUGUAGGAAAAAGCAAAAACUGUUUGUUUAUUCGAAAAAUAUAUUCAAAAAGUCAUAAAAUAUUCAUGAGUUCGAAAAUUGCUCACAUAUUAUAAAACAAAUCAUGAUUUCAAAUAAAUUGUAAUGAAAUACUAAAUGAUCAUGAUUUUUGUAUAAAAUUAUCCAGUAAUCAAAACAUAUUCAUGAAUUUGAAUAGCUUGUCCAUCAUCUUUUAGAAAAUCUUCAUAAAAAUUAAUACACAUCCAUAAAUAAUGAACAAAACGAAUUGUCGCUUACAUAAAGGUUUUAUUAGGAGAUCUGUAAAGGUCAUUUUAUGAUUUUAUUUAGACCUUUGCAUAUCAAAAAGUUGUGAGUUUGAAAAAAAAGUAGGAAAAUGAUAAACCAUUUGUGAAUUCAGAAAAAUAUUCGGAAAACCAUAAAAAGUUCAUGAGUUCAGAAAUUGCUCACACAUUGUAAAAAAUCACAAUUUCAAAUAAUUUUUCAUGAAGUAAGAAAUGUUCAAAAAUUUAAAAAUGAUCAGGUAUUCAAAGCAUAUUCAGGAAUUUGAAAAACAUCUCCAUCUAUUUUUAGAAAAUGUUCGCAAAAAUUAAAACACAUCCAUAAAUAAUGAACAAAACUAAAUGUCGCUUACAUACAGGUUUUAUUACGAGAUCUCUGGAGGUCGUUUUAUGAUUUUUUUAGUCCCUCGCGUUAGGCAAAAAUAGGUUUUCAUUUUGUACAACGCUGAGCCCAACCAAAUUGACACAACUUUUUGUGGGUUAGUUUUGUACACAAUUAAGUCGAGGCACAUCAUUCUUCAGUAUAGCUCAGGCAGGGUCCGUAAAUGCAGUUUGCUCAGCCACAAAAUAUUAUGUUGUGACGCCUUAAGAAAUCAAGUCGCGAUGAGGAUCAAAUUUUUUGUUUAUGAAAUCAUACUUUUUUAUAUCUACCACACAUGCAUAAUCUAAUAGUUUUUUCCGUUGCAACGCACGGGCAUAUUUGCUAGUUAAAAAAAACAGAAGGACGGCAUUGAUCGUCCGGGUAUUGGCGGUUUUGCAAAAAAGUCCUUCUAUUUUCGGCUAUUCAACCCGUGGUCCUUUUAUGAGAUAAAUAACGUUUCUUUUUACGUGAACCCCCUCGCAAUCACCCUCGUCAGUCCGUCCGUAGUAGUACCCCGUCCCGCAUGCAUCUUUGGUCUUGCUGAGAGACUCAGAGCCAGAGCGCGCCGGCGUCCUUGAGUAUGGGCACGAGCUCGCCGGAGAUGUGGACGGCCAUGAGCCGGUCGAGCCCGCCGAGGAGCCGCCCGCCCACGAACACCGCGGGCAGAGCGANNNNNNNNNNNNNNNNNNNNNNNNNNNNNNNNNNNNNNNNNNNNNNNNNNNNNNNNNNNNNNNNNNNNNNNNNNNNNNNNNNNNNNNNNNNNNNNNNNNNCUUACAAUGUCAUUAUCUUGGAUCAAAGAAAGCCUCAAAACUUACCUCGCCCAUUGGAAGAUCAAGACAUGGCGUGCGAAGCAUAGUUGGAUGACGGCAACACCGCGUUGAUCGGCCGUGUACUCUAGAUCAAGCCCCAAGAACUUCUCAUGAUCCACUGCGUGGUCAAACCAUUUUUCCUUCAACUGUUGAAGAAAAAACGGCACCUCGUUGCUCAGGUUCGUGUACACGACAUCAAGCAUCGUCGUGCCAUGUGCGAGCACCUUACAAAAGCUAGUUGGCAUGGUGGAAGAAGAGAAGGGAAGAAGAGAGGAGAAGAACAGAGAGGGCGAUGCGAGAGAGAAGAAGAACAGAGAAAUGGCGACUGUACGCUUCGGUUCGUGCUUUUCAUCGCCCGAAACGACGCGGGAUGCAAACCGUUUGGGCCUUUAGUCCCGGAUUGAGCCACCAACCGGGAAUAAAGAGGUAUACCAAACGGUUGCCACCACUACGGCAAACCACGUGUUAGGCCUUUAGUCCCGGUUUGAGCCACCAACCGGGACUAAAGAGGUAUACCAACCGUCGCCACCACUACGGCAGGCCACGUGUUAGUCCUUGAGUCCCGGGUUGAGCCACCAACCGGGACUAAAGGGGGAUACGAACGGUUCCCACCACCACUGCCCACCGCGUAGCCCUUUAGUCCCGGUUUGGGACACGAACCGGGACUAAAGGCUCCUUACGGGCCGGGACUGAAGCCUCGAGGGAGGCAUUGAGAAUUGGGGCGACGUGGCCGGGCCUUUAGUCCCGGCCCAGAGGCAGGCCGGGACUAAAGGGUUCAGGCCAAAGGCCCGUUUUCCACUAGUGAGUGCAUGUGACUGUAGCCUCGGCUAAAAGAAGUUUCUCUAAACUGAAACUACUGAAAAAUUAUUUGAGGUCUACUAUGUUGCAAGAUAGAUUGAAUGGCUUGGCUAUGUGCUGCAUUGAGAAGGAUAUCUUGGACAAUGUUGAUCUUGAUUGUGCCCUUAAUGACUUUGCAUCAAGAAACGCCCGAAGAAACUUUUUCUGAAGAAUUAAAUUCUUAUUUGAGGUAAUCAUGUCAUUUUAGUUUCAUUUCUCUAUCUUCUUAGUAUUAUUAUUAUUGGUUAAGUAAGUUGAAAUUUUGUUAUUAUUAUUGUCGAUGGAAUGAGUCAAUUAUUAUAGUUAAAUUUUAAAGUAAAAAUAUAUGAUCUUAGAACAUAGGGGCCCAUGUUGUUGAGUUCGCCUAGGGCAUCCCGAAACACAGGGCCGGCUCUGCAACCAAACAAGGUUGCAUUCGACAAUAGGGAGGUUUUAAUGACAAAUUUGACUUUUUAAUGGGAAAACCUUGCUGUUUUAUUUAUUCAUAACGUCCCUCAGUUACAAUAUCGUACACACACUCUGAUGCUACAUGCAAGAACGACUUGGACAAUUUAUUCCCAUAGCAUAGUUUUGGUAAGGCAUGUGUUGCUUAAUAUACCGUUCACGCCUACGACUUCACCUAAAACCUUUCUCUCGACCCUAGCAAGUCCUUGAUCUCCUGAAUGAGUGGCCCGCAGACCGAUGUUUUCAUUUCCUCCUUCGUUAGGGAUCUCUCACCGCAAUUUGAUCAUCCGUCUCCAGCACCUCCAUAUAGACAAGCCAAGUUCAAGCGAUAAAUAAAUAGCCCUCCUGUAUGCCGACAAGUGAACCAACUCCGAAUUAGAGACUGAUGGGAUAACCGGACAAGAUCCUACCACAAACUUGCCAUGAUAAUCUUGAAGAAUCGCUGCACCUGUUCCAUCCUCGAAACUCUUCUAAUUGUGCCAUCAGCGUUCGCCUUAAUCCACCCCUCCUCCGGCGCAUGCCAGUGCUCCCGAGGUUAGCCGGGGCUGGCCUGUUCGGGUUCUUUGAUGCUCAACCACUCCUCCCGCAACACCUACACAUAAUCCUCUAUACCCUUGACAUCGCUUGCACUGUUUCGAGCAAGCCACACUAGAUAGAUGGCCAUUAUCACCAUUGAUCUCUUCGUCUCGGUUAUUUCAUUUAAAUGGUCCAAAAACAAAUUUCACAUCCAAUAUGCACUAUGUUUUUAUAAGAUUGAAUUAUUUGGAGUUUUUAUAAGAUUGAAUUAUUAGGAGUACACAAUUUUCGCUACCAGCGACGGUAGUAGUACCUAUCUAGGUACGUGCCACCCCUAAGAAUUAGCACUAGUAAUUAUCCUAAUCACCUCAUGUGGAACAAGGCUAGGGGUUCAGAGUCUUUCUGCAGGACUUCAAUUAACCGGUUUGGCUUGCUGGUAAGGUGGACAUGUGGAGUCCAACUAGGUAGGGGUAACUACCAUUGCUUGUAGAUAUAUUGACCCCCUUCUUUAAAUUAGAUCAAGCGGAAGCGGGAAGAACUCCUACCAACUGAUCGCAUACGAGCAAUUCAAGAGGAAUUUACGAGAUUCUUUGUUGAGCAUGUCAUACCAUCAGAUGGGGUAUAUCAUCAGGAUUUCCUUACUGAUUUUGGUGGAUAUAUAAUAGCUAGUUAGGGAUCGCAAAGAGAUGUUAUAUAUUGUAUAUAUGCAUGAUCGUGUACUAUAUGUAGUAGCGUCGAGUUGUUCGACCAAGCAUGAAGAAAGAGAGGUCACUUCUCUCUAUAUAUGUUCAUGACGAUGUUGUGUAAUUAAUGGUUCCUUCAUUUGCUUACUAGCUAUCGUCGAGUUCUCUUUAUAUGUAGUAGCUACCGUUGACCAACCACGGAGAAAGAGAUGUCACUUCUCUCUAUAUGUAGUAGCUACCGUCGAUCAAGCACGGAGAAAGAGAGAUCACUUCUCUCUAUACGUAGUAGCUAGCUAACACAUAUUGAAACCCCUGAUAAAACCCUCCAAAACCCCUAAACCCCCCUCCCUUUCAAAAAAAAAACCCAGCGCCUGGGAGCUGCUGACGCAUGGCUGCCUUUUGGUCCCGGUCGGUGUUACCAACCGGGACUAAAAGUCCUCGUGCCUGUGCACCCCGCGGCGGACACGUGGAGCUCCUUUAAUCCCGGUUCGUAAGCCAACCGAGACUAAAAGUAAUGGGCAUUAGUCCCGAUUGUUUUGUCCCGGUUGGAGAACCGAGACUAAAGGCCCUCUGGAACCGGGACUGAUGCCCUCUUUUCCACUAGUGUUGGUGUUCCUGCCAAGUAAAACUCCUAGCUACAGGAAACUUUCCGUGUUCUCAACGGAGGACAUCGGAUGAGAUGUGUCAGGCCCCCGCCUUUUUCUGACCCGCCUGUAAUAUUUGAGAAAUUUAUUGAAUUUCUAGGGUUUUAGUGCCGAAAAUUGCAGAUCUGCAAGGCGACACAUGAAAUCAUGCCCAAAAACGGCAUGAAAAAUCAUAUGUGAUGUAUUAGCGGCAUGUCUCUCCCUUCUGCAGACGAAGGAGCGGUAGUUCCGGCCAUCAAGGAGCGAAAUUACAUUGACGACAUCACUCGUACAACCUUUUGAAUCCACGAAAAAUCGUAUGAUGCCAGAAAUCAACGGGAUCUGGCACAACAUCAUCACAUGGCCCCUCUAGGGCGUGGUAAAAGUUUGGGCGCGCUUCGAAUAGGCCUCACCUGAGGCUGCUUGUAAACCGCACCAUCUUUGAGGUAGUCCCUCGGUAUCGAGAGGGAAUGUGUCGGGUUUGUGAAGGAAGUGCUGGUCUUGCUGUUCCGUUGGCCUCAAAACUUUUUGUGCUCUCAAAGGAGGCCAUCUAGUGAGACGUGUUAGGCCCCCACAUUUUUCGGACCCGCCUGUAAUCUUUGAGACCUUUAUUGCAUUUCUAGGGUUUCAGUGCUAGAAAUUGCAGAUCUGCACGAAAACACAUGAAGUCAUUCCCAGAAGCGGCAUGGAAAAUCCUAUGUGAUGUAUUAGCGACAUGCGUCUCCCUUUUACAGACGAGAGAGGGACAGUUCUGGCCAUCAGGGGGAGAAAUUACUUCGAUGGCAUGACUAGUCCAACCGUUUGAAUCCACUAAAAUCUUAUGAUGCCAGAAAUCCACGGAUCUGGCACGACGUCAUCACAUGGCCCCUGUAGGGUGUGGUAAAAGUUUGAGCGUGUUACGAAUAGGCCUCACAUGAGGCCGCUUGUAAAAUGGUUACACCAUGGGUUUGGAAGAGUACAAGGGGUAUAUACAUUUGGACUUACCCACCAACUAAGGAAUUCAUAUAAUAGCAUAAAUAAGGGUCGCAACAACUUUUCAUUUUGCAUGUGAUCGUAAUAUGGUUAAACCAGGGGUUUGGAAGAGUACACCACCAUCAAAAUAUUAAAGUGGAUACAUAGAGAUAGGGAAAUUGAGAGCAUAAAAAAUAAGACCAAUGAAAACUAGUUGGGAGAAAAUGGAUGAGAAAGAAGGGAAGUCAUUUCAAAAUAAUUUUCGCAUUAAAAGAACAGGCAACCAAAAAAUCGAAGAAAAUGUAAGUUGAAUGCGUUCAUUAGCACAUAUGGCUUAUAUGACAUGUAAGCCGAGUGCUCUGACAGGACACACGGCUUAUAUGUGAUGUAAGUCGAGUGCUCUCAAAGGGCACACGGCUUAUAGGAUGCUCCGUGACGGCACCAUGAAGCCAUCUUUGCCGAGUAUGUGCUAUAAACCGAGUGCCUUUUCGGGUAUAAGGCGUAUGCACUAUGUAAGCCGAAGGCAUUUAGAGACCACUCGACUUAGAUGAUGGCAUUCUUACAUCAGCACUUGGCUUAUAUCUCAUAAACCGAGUGCCUGCAAAAUAGCUCAUGUCUUAUAGCUUAACACAUGCGAAAACGGGAUUUUCCUGCAGUGCCUUGUUGAUGAUCCUGACAACUAGCAAAGCAAUUCCUUGUCCCUUUUCUGCAACUAGCAUUUACGUCAGUGUCGAAAGCGCUGUUAUUUUUAUAUUAUACUCCCUCCGUUCUAAAAUAUCUGUCUCAACUUUGUACUAGCUCUGAUACAAAAUUGUAUUAAGUUUGAGACACUUAUUUUAGGACGGAGGGAGUACUAUCUAUGUAUUUAAAUAAUUAUAGUUGAAAAAAACUAGACUAGUUUUUUUUAACUAUAAUUACGGAGGGAAUAGGACGGAGGGGAAGGAGAAAAUGGACGGGUGAAGUGAACCUUCUCCAUUUCAUUGAAUGUGGUCGCAAAAGGUUGCUUGGACUCAUCAUUCAGGAAAGCCAUGGAAUGGAAUGGAAUGCUUCAAGCGGACCAAACCGUGAUGCCCUCCACUUGCAAGUCCACUCUCAUCUCAUGAUACCUACCACACAUCCAAAAUCGCGGCUGUGCGGCCGGCCGAUCAACUUUGACUCCUUUGGAUUGCCACUUGCGCUUGCGCACCCACUCGAUCCAAGGUGGAAAACCAAAUGACAAAUGAUGCGUCGCCGUCGCCGCCGUCGUGCGAAAGAAAAACGAGCCAGUCUCCCCACGCGCAUCCACGGCGCGCGAUGGUCGCCGCCGGCUACGCCGUCCUCGUCACGAUCAUCGCCGUCCAAGUGUUGCCGCCGGCUGAGUCGUUCAUGAUGGAGUGCGACGGCAACCCCCAGACGGCCAACAGCACCUUUCCCUCGACCCUCAAGCUUCUCGCCGCGGGACUCCCAGGCAACGCCUCCACCUCCCCAAACGGCUUCGCCACCGCCACCGUCGGCACGGCGCCCGGCCUGGUCUACGGCAUGGCCCUCUGCCGGGGCGACACCAACGCCUCGUCCUGCCGCGCGUGCGUGGCCCAGGCGUUCCGCGACGCGCAGGCAAGCUGCCCCGGCGACACGGGCGCCUCCAUGUACGAGGACGGCUGCGUCCUGCGCUUCUCCAUCCAGCGCUUCCUCGACUUCCUCGGCGCCGACCAGUGGCAGGUCCGUGAGAUCACUUUCUCCUCUGCCGCCGCUCCCCAGACCGUCGCGGUUUCCGCCGCCUGGUUCGGCGCCGCGGUCCGAGCGAUCCUCACUGCCGUGUCCAACCACGCGGUGUCGUCCCCGUCGCCGGCGGCGAGCAGCAAUUCGACUAUGAGAAGCAAGUACUUCGCCACGGGUGAGGAGGCCUUCAACCCGAGGAUUUACGGGCUCGCGCAGUGCAUCCCAAACCUGGCGCAGGCGCAGUGCGACGGCUGCCUCGGGAGACUCCAAGAUGAGGCAGCACCCUAUUUGGGCACUAACAACCCCCGAUCGAUCGACCUUGGUUCAGCGUGGUGCAUCCUGAGGUACAGCGUGGGGCGGCCGAUCUACGACGGCCAGGCAAUGCUGCAGAUUCUGGCGCCGCCACGGCAUUCUCCUUCUGCCUCUCCACAGCUCGGACCAGGUAGGUAGUAGCUAGCACAAUUUCCAUUCAGCAUGUUCUUAUCUGAACAAGACAUAUUUAUCUUCUACUAUUAUCACCAUCUAUCCAGGAAACACAAAGAUUGCAGCAGGAAUCUAUGCAGGCAUUGCUUGUUCCGUUGUCUUGAUAUUGAUUCUAUCAGUUUUCGCUUUCAUACGGUUCAAGAGAAAGAUAAAGACCGCCGAGGAUGAUAAUCGUGAGUAGGAUUAAUCUUGCAUCUAGCCAAUAGUCUGUCCGUUCAAGGGCUGCACUUCCCGUUCCCGUUUGCUCACAACAUUUCUCGCUUUUUCACAUGACACACCAGCAUUCAAGAAAAUGGCGAGAGCCUUGAUCUUCGAUUUGACGGCACUGCAAGAGGCAACCGGAAACUUCUCAGAGGCGAAUAAGCUCGGAGAGGGUGGUUAUGGAAUUGUAUACAAGGUACGAAAACAAGCAAGAAAGCAAGUUAAAAAAGAGUCGAUGUGUUGCGCUUUCGGGCCUGCUUGUCUGAAAAAUAAUUUGCAUGCAUGUUUCAGGGAAUACUGCCGGAUGGGCAAGAAAUAGCAGUGAAGAAGCUUUUGGGAGCAACUGAGCAUGGUUUGCAUCAGUUGCGCAAUGAGGUGCUGCUAUUGGCGGAGCUUCAGCACAAGAACCUUGUCAGAUUACAGGGGUUUUGCUCGCAUCGGGACGAUACGCUGCUUGUUUACGAAUAUAUCAAGAAUGGGAGCCUCGACAACUUUCUUUUCGGUAUUUAUUUUCAUAUCCAUUCACUCUCUACGUAGUGCUAUGCAGAAACAAGAUUUAUAUUCAUCAAAUAAGUUAUACAAACAAGAUUUAUAUCUAACUUCUUCAGGGAAAUGAGUAAUUUUUUUUUGAAAAGGAGGCUUAGCCCCGGCCUCUGCAUCAAUAGAUGCAUGCAACCAUAUAUUAAACCAAAACAAGUGUCGACAGAGUACAACUAAAAGUAACAAAGUGUAAAAAUUAAAAAUAAAGGCGAGCUUCACGCCAAAGCCGUAGAUGACUAAAAGAUGUAGAUGUUCAAACACCUAUCCUAUUAAUAUGUCGCCAUCCAAACCGGCUGAAGAUAUCCUGUGCUACCAUCUCCCAACGGGCACACCCAGUAACCAUAUGCUCCCUGGCUGCCACAGGAGUGAGUAACGACCAUGUGCGGAUCAGUGCGGUAAUUUUGAGGAUAACCUGCAGAAAGUUAAUAUCACGUAUUCUGUUAAAAACUAAAUCAUUUCUGCAAUUCUAUAGAGCCCACAAAAGAGCACAUGCUCCAACACGAAUAUGUUUGGCCAAAUAAACAUCCACUCCCUGUAAAAGGCAAAUGAUUAUUAUGAUUGUUCCUUAUUUAUCUUUCGGCAUCAGCUAGUAUGUAAAUUGAACAUCAUUCUUUUUGGCAACAGAUGCUAGUGAGGAAAAUACUCUAAACUGGGAGCAACGGUACAACAUCAUUCUUGGAAUUGCCAAGGGAAUACUGUAUCUUCACGAGGACUCAAUCCCAAGGAUAAUCCACAGGGACCUUAAAGCUAAUAAUAUUCUUCUAGACGAGGAGAUGGAUCCUAAAAUCGCAGACUUUGGAUUGGCAAGGCUGCUACAAGAAGGUCACACCCAUACUCAAACCACUAGAGCUGCUGGAACACUGUAAGUCAAAUGCCUAUAAUUAGGUUUGCAAAAACGAAAAAGUUACUUGUAAUUAUGAUCUAUAUCACUUAGUGAAGGUCCGUUUCCAAGCCUAAUUUCCCAUCCUCUGCAGCGGUUAUAUGGCACCAGAGUAUGCAGUACACGGAAGUGUGUCACCCAAGAUAGAUAUUUUCAGUUUUGGUGUAUUAGUCCUUGAAAUUAUAACCAGGAGAAGAAACUGCAGUUCAGAUUAUGGGGAUACCGUCAACCUCAUUAGUGAUGUAAGUGCUGGAUUUACUUUAUUUUCAUCAGCUUUUAGUGUCUUUGAACACUGUAUCAUUUAAAUUAUCGUAUCUAAAAGGAUCUUCCAUGUCUUUGAACACUGGAUUUACUAGGUGUGGAAUUACUGGACAAAAGGAACAAUAUCACAAAUGAUGGACGAAUCACUCAAUGGAUACCAUCAAAGCCAAGCGCUACGGUGCAUCCACAUCGGGUUGCUGUGCGUCCAGUCGGACCCUGACGACAGGCCUCAAAUAUCAACCGUCAUUUUCAUGUUAACAAGGGACACCAUGGAGCUUCAUCCACCGGCACAGCCCGCAUUCUUCUUUGGAACAGAAUCACCAUCUCCAGCUUCUCCACGAUCUGAUUUAGUAUUGGAAGAUGACGGAUCUUGGAAUGGGGUUACAAUUACUGAGCCAUAUCCUAGGUGAUAUAUGUGCUAAAGAAUAGGCUUGUACUCCCUCCGUUCUUAAAUAUAAGACAUUUUAGAGAUUCCACUAUAUACUACAUACGGAUGUAUGUAGUCACAUUUUAGAGUGUAGAUUAAUUCACUCAUUUUACUCUGUAUGUAAUCUAUAAUCAAAUCUCUAAAAGGUCUUAUAUUUCGAAACGGAGGGAGUAGUUUUGUGUAACGUGACAUGGUUCCUUUCUUUGCGGAAGGAAAUUCACGGAUCGGCAUUGAAGAUGCCUAUAGAACAUCUUCAAUUGGACUGGGCCAGAUUUUUAAUUUUUUUUGCGAAGGACCGGGCUAAUUUGACUCCAUAUUUGUCCGGAUGUGUACCCUUGAAGCUCGUAUUUGUCCAUGUAGGCGUGUUUCUCAAAUUAUUCAAACACAUCCAUAUAUGACUGAUGAAAAUGAGGAGAGAAAAAAAAAGUAAUAGGUGGGUUCAAAGUGGCUGGGUGUCCAGACAUGUGAAUGGCCUCAUUUCCUCCCAACAAACAUAAACGUUAGCGGACGACCUGCGCAUAAUUAUGGAUGCACUUGAAUAAACUUUUUCUUUCUCAUGUUGGAGAAAUGUCCAAAAAUAUACUCACAUGUCCACACGGUUGAAAUAUACUCACCAUGUCCAGCCUACCCCGGCCACUCAACAAGUCCUCGACGCGCCAGUUUUCCACGAGUGGGUGAUCGAGUGGCAAUCCAAACGACGAGUCAAACUUGUUCGGCCGCCCGCGCCCGCGCAAGUGGCAAAGUCAUCCGUGUCGAAAUUAAGCAUCAUAUUUUUUGUAACACAGUACAUUUGUAAGCGUGUCCAUAUAUAUAUGCGCAUACGAUCAUUUCUACGAACACAUAAACAUACAUCUUAAGAUUUACGAAAUCAUCGUAGACGCCUCGUCAUUGAAGAAGACGUCUCCUUCCACUAAAUACACAUCAUCAAAAAUACUAAAAUAAAUUUAAAAAUAAUACAAACAUCAGGAUUUAGAUCCUGAUGGACGGGAUACCACCGUUUUUCUAACCAUCCAGCCGCAAGUUCACGUGUAAUUAAGCAUCAUAUGUGAAGACCAAGUUCCAACCAAGAACUAAUUCACUGUUCGGUGUCUUGGCAAAACGGGACCAUGUGACUUGUUUAACAAUGGGUCAUGACGUUUCUACAUAGACGGCCAAAACGGAAAACAUCAACUUGCGCCAUCAAUUGCGUUGCAAAAGAUGAUUUUCUAAACACUUAUGAAAAGAUCCUUUGUUGACGGAUGGUUUUGUAUCCGCCUGCCUUGAGGGGUUUGACCGCAUGCGUCUCCCCCGAAUGCUAGUUUAGAAUUCCAUGGUUUCCUAGCGUGCCGGCUCGUCCGGCAGACUAUGUGGACUCCAAAGUCCAAGCUUGGUGGUAUGGCUAGAUAGACACUAGCAGCAUGUCGAGUCCACGGUCGUGGAAACACAUUCAUCGCCCCUGAAAGCAACUCUAGAAGAGCUGUCAUAUUAGGUUGAUCGUCAUAAUAAUCGUUUGUAUCGUAACCACAGCCAAAAAAGCUUCUUUGAUAGAGUCGUCAUAAUAAUCAUACACCUGUGGUUGUUUCACCCGGAAGAUCGCCAACUAAUGUAUGCCAUGUGUUUUGCAUCUGAUCCCAUCCACGCACAUGAAAUCCAACCAGGUUUUUCAUCGGAGUGCACGUAUUUGUGGGCAUAUAAACCCAUAUCGUCUCGCUUUGCCGACACCACUCCACCCAUAUCUUCCCUAAUCCUCGUCGCCACCACUCACACCCACCACCUCCCCUGCUCUAUAUGUUUCCCUUCACCGUUUCUCUUCACUGGGGCCGCAACACUCACCUCAUCGACCAUGUCAUGGUUGCACCAUCCUCACGAACCUUCCCGGGAAACGAAAGAUGACAUUGCUGAAAGAUAAUUCUAGGAGAAGACAAAGGACUACACCUAGUGGGUCGAGGAGGACGCGUAUCGUAAGGCUGAAUUAGCCGUCGAUCUGUCCCACUCCCCGUUGUCCUCACAUAAUUUGCCUACAUGUUGAUACCGCCAAGACAGCAAUGGACACCAUGCUUACACCGGCUUGAAGAACUAUGGCCUUAUCCCGCUUCCAUGAGACAGUGUCAUUUGCUAACCAUUUGGCCAUGGUAGUCGCAACAGCAGUAAGCAUCGAUUGUGUGCAAGUCAAUUCCAAAUGGAACAAAAGUCCGUAGUUCAAAUUCUUGUUCAGAUGGUUGUUCAAAUCCUAGUUGUAACCCAUGUUCAAAUCUAGCAUGAAAAAACUUCCAUUAUUUAGGUGCGGAAGAAAGAGGUCUUGUAGCCAAUGACAAAUGAUUCCCAAUGUUUCUUUUAAGGCUAUGCUUAUGACAAUUCUAAGUCUGUGCAUGGCCUUGGGAACCUCUAUAUUAUUAUGGAAGACGCUCCAUACAGAAGAUGGCAGUCGAUAUUAUGACGACUUUGUUUGAGUAGCUCUAAAUCGAUCACCUCAUUGUGUCACUACAGCUAUUGGUUACUGUUUUCAGCUCAAGUUUAGUUACUCCAUUCUCUCAAAGGUUUCUACCAGAAUUCAAAUUGGCCGAGUGCUAUGUCUUCAGAUAUGCACAAGUAAACAUUUGUAACUUUUGUUGCUAAUAUGUACUAGAAUGAACGAGAUCUACCACCAUUUUUAAUGACAUCGAAUGGUAUAUCCAUAAAUUUGAUUUAACUUUUGCAACGUUGAAACACCGAUUACAACAUAAACAUUGCCUUUUACUACAAGCACAAGACGCAGAAACAACGAGUACAACAUAAACAUUGCCUAUUACUACAAGCACAAUAGCGAGACACUAUAGUGAAAAAUAUAGGGUUUCAUCACUACUUGGAUGUUGUACGGCCUCCCAUUUAACCACGGCACGUGUACCUUAAUAUAGUACAGAUGGAAGCGCUCGUAUAAUCACACACACACACACACACACUCAAUUCAUGUGAGCACCGUCGAGAGACUGAAUCGGCAUAUCAUCUUGAGAUUUACGAAGUCAUCGUAGGUGCCUUGUCGUCGACGGGAACGUCUGUUUCCAUUGAAUUCGCAUCGCAGAAAACCAUGAAAUAAAUUCAGAAAUAAUGCGAGCACCAGGACUUGAACCCUCGUGGGCUGGGGAUACCAUUGUCCCUCUAACAUAUCAACCACAUAUAUUUUUACUGAACAGAGUGCAAUCGAAGUCGCUUACAUAUACGAGUAUACACUCAACCCUAUGAACGCACGAAUGCACAUCCUAUCACUAUGAACACUUUCGAGAAACUGAGCCGACAUCAUCUUGAGAUUGACGAAGUCGUCAUAGACGCCUUCGUAGUCGACGUGAAUGUCUCCUUCCACUAAACACACAUCAUCAAAAGGUCUGGAAUAAAUCCAGAAAAAUGCAAGCACCAAUGUCAAAGUCUAAGACUUGAAUUCUGAUGGACUGUCCUCUAACUAUCCAACCACAGAUUGGUUGAACAUGGCAUGUGUACCUGACGGCACAGACCCGCAUGAUGGAUCAUUAAAUGGGUAAAUACUAGCAAAUAUUGUACUAAAUGGUGUAAGAACUUACAAAACUCUCGUUAAAUGGGAUAAUCCGGAUUAAAAACCGGUAAAUGAAAUAAUUUGUGUAUAAAAAUGUUUAUUCAGAAAUUAAGCACGACCCUGGCUAGUUGAAGUGAGUGGAUGGCGGCUUCCACUGCACUCGCCAACUUGCUAUUAAUUUUUUCCACGUCUUCAAAAGCCACAUCCUCCUCCCUCUGCUCUUCUUCUUCCACCGUGUUGUUCAAUGGCGGCUCACCGUGUCGCCCUGUGUGUGCUCAUCCUUGCCGUCGCACUGCUCGCGCCCAGCCGCCACGUCGCCGGAGAACCGUGGCAAGUGUGCGGCGACAGCGGCGAAUACGACGACAAGAGCGAGUACCAGGCCAACCUCAACCUCGUCGCCCACGCGCUCCCCAAGAAGGCCUCGGCGUCGCGCAACCUCUUCGCCACCGCCGAGGCCGGCGCUGUCCCGGAGAAGGUCACGGCCCUCGCGCUCUGCCGCGGCGACGCCACCUCCAGGGCCUGCUCCACCUGCCUCGCCAACGCCUUCGACAACCUCCCCAACGUGUGCCAGGGCUCCAAGGACGCCGUCAUCUACUACGACGCCUGCAUGCUCCGCUACUCCGACGUGCAGUUCCUCUCCGCCGACGACUCCGGUCCCAUGGGCUUGGACCUCAGCAUGACGGUCCGCAACUCCGUGAACGCCACGUCGGAGCCUGGCCGGUUCGAGCGCGUCGUGGCCGCGCUCAUGAACGCCACCGCCGACUACGCCGCGUACAACUCCACCCGGCGGUACGCCACCGGCCAGGCCGACCUCGACCGGGAGUUCCCCAAGGUGUACAGCUGGGCGCAGUGCACCCCGGACCUGACGCCGGGAAGGUGCCGGGACUGCCUCGCCCAGAUCUUGGCGCAGCUGCCGCUGCAGUUCACGGACGGUAUCGGAGGCAGGCUUCUUGCUCCCCGAUGCAGCUUCCGGUACGAGACCAAGCCCUUCAUGACCGGCCCAGUGAUCGUGCAGCUGCCAGCAACGUCGGCCACCUCUGGAGCACCGGCGCCGGCCGUAGCCCCCACCGCUCCUGCGCCGGCGACACCACAGGGUCAGAUCUUCUUAACUUUUAGUUGGACUACUCCCUUUUUAUUUACUUUGCGUAUUAGAGUUGGCUAAAGUCAAACUUGGUAAGAUUUGAUCAAGCCUAUAGAAAAUAAGACAAAUACUUACCAUAACAAAUACAUAUUAUGUUAAUAUUUCUACCUAUACACUUUGUUAAAAUUUAUAAAUCUUGACUUUGACCAAAGCUAAUAUGCGGAGUAAAUAAAAAUGGAGGGGUACUGUCUUUCACUUUAGCGUUUCCUCCGCUCUUCUCUUCUUCCUCUGCAUUUCUCCGCUCUGCUCUGUUUUCCUCUCUACGUAUUCAGCUUCUAACGGACGUGAGUGAAACGACAAUUCAUGACAAAUCUUAUAUUCGAACUCAAAAGAUCAUCAUGCGAUAUUUCAGUUCACGUUUGCUACACUCGUCUGACAUGGCAUGAGUCAUCUCAAAUUGUACAGGGAGAAAGUACAGUGUUCCUGGCAUGGUUCUUAUAAUUCUCUUGCCUACAAUAGCAGCCAUAAACCUCAUUGUUUGGCUCUUUUCAUGGAGGAGGAGGCAGGCACUUGCAAAGGCAAAGCAACCGGGUAUGUAUGUCACUUUGUCACUCAAAAACCCCUAGUUGUAGUGCGUGCCAGGGCCUAAAAUGAAACAAUUUAUUUACUUGUGUCGACCUGUGUUCACAAUGGCAUCUCUAUUCAAACAGGUCCAGAUUAUUCCAGUGAUGAAGCACAUGACAUGGAAAGUGUGGAGUCAAUGUUAAUCGACAUUUCAACUUUGCGGGCUGCAACCGAGGAUUUUGCAGAAAGCAACAAACUCGGCGAAGGUGGAUUUGGCCCCGUGUACAAGGUAGUGAGCUAACCUAUAUAUCUUGAAACAAGUAGGCACAACACUGGAAAAUUGGUGGUUUAGCAAAACUUUCAUACAAUUUGAUCAGGGUACUCUCCUAAGCGGCGACGAGAUCGCAGUGAAGAGAAUGUCCAAGACCUCAACACAAGGAGUGGAGGAGCUCAAGAAUGAGCUCGCCUUAGUUGCAAAGCUGAAGCACAAGAACCUUGUCAGACUUGUGGGUGUCUGCUUGGAGCAACAAGAGAGGCUGCUCAUCUAUGAGUUUGUUCCUAACCGCAGCCUCGACCUGAUCCUUUUCGGUAACUAGUUGAGCCAUGAUUCUGCCGUCCAUUUUCUCCUCAGAUUGAAAUAAUAAUAUAACAUCACAUAGAUCUUAUACUAUCAUUUUCUAAUUCUUCUGAUGAAAAACACAGAUGAAGAGAAACGUCGGCAAUUGGAUUGGGAAACGAGGUUCAAGAUCAUAAAUGGAGUCGCUCGUGGCAUACAGUACCUCCAUGAAGACUCUCAACUCAAAGUAGUCCAUCGUGACCUCAAAGCGAGCAACGUCUUGUUAGACAUGAACAUGAACCCGAAGAUCUCGGAUUUCGGCCUGGCCAAGAUUUUCGGGAGAGACCAGACCCAGGGCGUGACGAACCGCGUCAUCGGCACAUAGUAAGUAGUAUCAUAAAUGUCGUUAAGUUUUCCAGUAUAGUAGGGAAAUUACCAACGACAAUGAAUUCUUGUUGUUGGUUCAGUGGAUACAUGGCGCCAGAGUACGUGAUGCGUGGGAAUUACUCUGUGAAAUCAGACGCGUUCAGCUUUGGCGUUUUGGUUCUGGAGGUCGUGACUGGAAAGAAGAACAGUGACUGCUGCAACACUCAGCAAUCACAGGAUCUCUUGACCACAGUAUGCACUUUUUAUUUGAAAAUCUAGCUAACAUGCAGUGCAUCUUGGCUCAUCGAUCGUACACAAUUGUGCAGGUAUGGGAGCAUUGGACUGCCGGAACAGUGUUGGAGAUGGUAGACCCAUGCAUGGACAAGAACUUCUCGGAGAGCGAUGCGGUGAGGUGCAUCCAUGUCGGGCUUUUGUGCAUCCAGAGCAGCCCGGAAGACCGGCCGAUGAUGUCGAUGGUGGCCAUGAUGCUCGGCAGCGACACAUUCCCUCUGCCCGCUCCGUCGAAGCCGGCCUUAUACUCUACAAACGUUGGUGCCAAUUCAAGCACCGGGUCAAGCAUGUCGAUCCCAUCAGUGCAGGCCCGGUCAUAGCUAGUAGAUUUUUCUUCAUCGCAACAACUUACAGCCGAAAUGGCCAAUGCGUCUCUGGUGUCAUUGCAUCCGAAUUGGAAGAAUAAUUUAAAAUUUUCAGCAAGAGUCAAAAAAUUCCAGAAUUUGUUUGGAGUCAAACUCGUGCGAAAAGUUUCGUGAAAGAAUAGUUAAUUCGACCAUUUCAAGGACCAAGAAAACAAAUUUAAGAUUACAAAAAAAACAUGAAUAACAAACUCCUUUUAUAAAGUGUCAUUUUUUUUCUGACUAUAAUACAACGAGUCAUCCCUCCGUGAAACUUUUUAUUACGCUAGACCAUGUUAGUUACAAAAAAGUCUCCGAAUUUUUUGAAUCUUUUUUUUUCUAAAAUUAAAAUUUAAUAUAUUUUGGGUGUAUUUGUCCAUGUUCAAAGAUAUGCGUAACAAUUUCAGUUACGAAUUAACUUUUUUACUCUAAGGAGGGUGUGUGCACACAACUCUAGCUAUCACGAUUAUCUUUGGUUCAUAUAUGAGGCCUACAGAUUUGCUAUUCAGCAACUUAGGCCUUCCGUAAUGGUAGUAUCUUGACACAAUAUCAUAGGCAAAAUGCUGACGUGGCACUAUAUUUAUUGAGGAAAGAGGAGGUUGUUGUAUCUUAUUUAGGAUACGGCUCUUGCACGGUAUCAUAGGCAAAAUAACUUGUUAGACCAAUCACAUAUUAGUAUGAGGCCAAAAUCAUUAAAUACAUGCUUACUAAGAUACGACACUUAACAUACAAUACAUUAGGAUGGUUGUAUCUAACGAUCGCAUACUACCUAGAAUACCGCGCUAAGAGACAAUGCAUUACGGAAGGCCUUAUCGAGCAUCUUAUCAGCAUGUUUAGUUGUAGUUGGCGUUGGCAGGCCGUACAUGUGAUAUGUAUGAAGAUUGGGAGUUGUUGGCCAGAGAGGGUGCACGGUGAGAUGGUAAUGCCGUGAAAGAAAAUGAAAAGUAAAAAUAAAUAAAAAAUACACACAUGAAUCUCUGCGUAAGAUUAUUGACAUAUGAUUUAGAUGUGCGAUAUUUAUGACACUUCAAGAUAUGCUUUAGGAAAUUUUAUUAAAUAAGCCAUCUAGUUUUACAUUUGAAAACUAGACCUUGUUGACAGCAGAGGAUAAUAAUCCGUAAGGACCAAUUAUUUCUUAAUCUCGUAGGUCGCUACAGUUUCUUCAGCUCAGGCCCCUGACGGCAGCACGCAGUUGCCGAUCUCUGUAAAGAGUGGAACGAAAUCACCAUCAACAAACAGAAACUUCUUGAGGAAUCAGAGUCAGGAAUUAAGAAGUGAACUUACUUGGUGCUUGCCGGACAAUGGCGCCGGCCCCGGCGAAGUCGCACGUUCCGGUGGCCCGGCCACGCCGCUGGUAAUAGUCGUUGAAUGCAAAGGACGCAUGCGCGACCUUGGUGUCGGGGUCGAAGCACCGUGCUCCGGGCUGGAUGUCCGUGCAGUCGGCGCCGCCGUGGCCGCAGGCGUAGUCCAGCGCCAUCUGUAGCCGCACGUCGCCCACCGCCGCGUUCGCCACACACCAGCUUGGGCUCGGGUCGCACGCACCUGAUGGUGCCUGGUUGACAAUGGUGCCGGCGCCGCCGAAGUCGCACGCGCUGCUGGCCCGGCCGUUCUUUUGGUAGUAGUCGUUGAAGGCGUAGGACGCGUGCGCGAGCUUGGUGUUGGGCUCGUAGCAAGGCUUCCCUGGCUGGAUGGCGCCGCAGUCCGCCCCGUGGCCGCAUGCGUAGUCCAGCGCCGCCUGCAAGGCCGCGUCCCCGACCGUCGGGUUCGCCACGCAAUAGCUUGCCUGCAAGGGCCCGCCGAUGGUGCCGCCAUGAACGAAGUCGAUAGGGCUCGGGUACACGGGCUGCUCGUUCGGGUAGAACAACCCAAAAUCCUGCUCGUCUGCCGGCUUGCUGUUCUCGUUGAAGAGGGCGAAGAUGUACACGUUCAUAUCGGUGUUGGGACGGUGCGGGGUGCCGCGGACAGCGCUGGCGGCGACCGGGCUGCGUCCGUUCGUGGCGGCGGAGUUACCCUGCAGCACUUGGAGGGUGAGACCAGCCAUGAAAUCUUGGGCGUUUUGUGGGGUUCCCACGCCUUUGUGGCCUUGGUUUGGGUACCCAUGCUCCCCAUGGUGGACGUUUGGGGUUCCCCCUCCUCCUGCCGUCAGCUUCCUCAUCCCCCCGACGUGCAUGCUGGAGGACGGGAGCUUCUCCACCGCAUAGUAGACUGCGUCGAGCUCAGCGUCGAAGAGGCUAUAAUAUGUUUGCCCACUAACCUUGUCAAGCACGCCGUCGUUGGGGCGGAACAAGAGGUAGUUAAUGGACAUGCCUGGGGUAUUGAGGUACGCGAUGUAUGGGUAGAAGUUCACCAUGAGAUACGACCCGGUCUGCUGCAAGAAGUCGACCAUGGGGCUCAUCACCGACAUUGCGAUGUCGUCCUUGAACGCGCCGGCGGACGGCGGGAACGACGUCUUGAGCGCGUCAAACGCGAUGGGGGUUGUCACCUUCACGGCGUCAGCCAGACCAACGGUAACCAGCGCCGCAUGCACGUUCUUCAUGGCCAUGACGAGCUGAGAGUUUAGAUGGCUAGCCUCCUUAAACACCUCGUUCCCGAUCGUCACGCCAUUGAUCAGCGUGGCCGGGUAGUAGGCCUUCACAUUGUUCUGCACCCACUGCAGUGCGAAAUUAUUUUGGUCGGCCGCCGCCAGCGGCAGCUCCUCAUUGGUUAGCUCCACUGUGACCUUGAUGUUGGUGUUGGCCAGCGAGCGCAGCACCGUCGGGUCGGUGUCGUAGAUUCUCACCAUGGUGAUGCCGUUCUUCUUGAGCAGUCGCACCACGGAUGCCGGGUCCGGCAAGUCUGUCGCCACCCUCCCGUAGCAGACGCCCACCUCGCCACCCUCCGCAGCAUGGGAGAAGAAGAGCAGCGGCAAUGCUGCGCCGAGGACGACAACAAGGAGGUGAACCAUCAUCGGUACCUAGUGUGGAGUGGAGUGGGCUAGCCAGGGCCUAAUGGAGACCAGGAUCAAUCUCGAGCUGAUGAGUUGAGAAUGAACUCGGUAGGGGGUUUGGAAUUUAUAGCCGGGCAGGCACCAAUGCUACUACUAACAUGCAUGAUGCAUGGAGGUAGAUAUUGCUACAUUUCUCUUUGGGCAAGACGAUCGAUGUGGCAACCAAAACUGGGACAGCUACCGAUAACAGCGUAGCAUGCACAGUAAUGCUAGAGGGCUCUCUACAGAAGAUUUACAGGCUCGUUAGUUAUGAUUGGUUGAAACUUGAUUAAAGAGGACGGUCCUGUUGGGACAUAAGCCGCGGCGAGGCGUCGAACGAGCCGGGCGCGUGUAUGGGCACGUGCGGUGCCCGGCACGCUAGACGCGUCGGGUCCGCGACGUUAGGUGUGCGUGCGUGCGUGUAGGAGCUGCAUGGGCAUGUCCGUGCGGGUGUAGCCUAUGCGUUGUGUUCGUUGGCGCAAAGGGCGCGGGGUAGACCGCGUCGGGGCGCUGGACCCGGUCGCGCGGAUCGCGUGCGGGCGCGGCGGGAGCUCGGGCCGGGAGCGCAGGGACGUGGGCGAGUGUGCGACGAGGGCCCGUCGUGGGCGCAACGUAAGGCGCUGGUGGAUGCGUGUAUAAACUUCUUGUACCCCGUGUGUUGUACUGGCGAGGAGGACAGCUGAGUUCGAGCUCAGGUGAAAUAUAUAGAGCGCGCUGUUCGCGGUGGCGGAGGUGUUCGAGCGCCGAGAAAUUCAUUGUGUCCAUCCCUCCCUCUCUGCACCUUGUCUCCGGCGAUCACCGGGGCGGGGUGGUUCCAUUUUCCAUCUAACAUUUGGUAUCAGAGCCUCGUGUGAUCAGGGAGCUCGAUGGCCAUGGCGCUGGUCCCGUACUCCGGCGGGUCUGGGACGACGAUGGUGACGUCGGUCCCGAUGCUUACGGGGGCAAACUACACCACCUGGGCCAUCAAGGUGGAGGCUGAUCUCGACGCCGCCGGGCUCUGGGAGGCGGUCGUGCCGCCGGAGGAAGCUACGUCAGCGGUGAUCGCGAAGAAGGACAAACCUGCGCGCGCGUAUCUAAUGCGGGCACUCGCCGACGAUCUGCUGCUGCAGGUCGCGUCGAAGAAGACGGCGGCAGAGAUUUGGGCGAGCUUGCGGACUAGGUUCGUGGGUGCGGUCCGCGUACGUGCGGCGAGGCUCGGGACGCUACUGGGGGAGUUCGAGCUCCUGCGCAUGGCGGAGGCCGAAACCCUAGACGCGUUCGCCGGAAGGCUUGAAGGCAUGGCGGUACUGUACGCGGCGUUGGGCUCAACCCUGGAGGACUCCGCGCUCGUCAAGAAGCUGCUCGACUCGGUGCCGGACCGCCUGUACGCGGCGGUGGCCGGAAUCGAGCAGUUCUGCGACGUGAGCACCAUGCUCUUCGAGGAUGCUCUCGGCCGGCUGAAGGCUUUCGAUGAGAGGCUGCAGCGUCGGGGACAGACGGGCGGCGAGCGGGAGGACGGCCAGUUGAUGCUCACCGCGGAACAGUGGCGUGCGCGGGAGCGACGGCGAAGUGGUAGGCGAGACGACGACGACGACGGCAACAGCGUGGCGUCCAACGUCAGGAAGAACCGCCGCGGUCGCUGCUACCACUGCGAUGAGCGGGGACACUUCAAGAGGGACUACCCUCAUCGGAGGAAGGGGCCAGGGGCGGAGGAACAUGCAUUGCUCGGAGAAGAAGAGCAGCGGCAAUGCUGCGCCGAGGAGGACAACAAGGAGGUGAACCAUCAUCGGUACCUAGUGUGGAGUGGAGUGGGUUAGCCAGGGCCUAAUGGAGACCAAGAUCAAUCUUGAGCUGAUGAGUUGAGAAUGAACGGUAGGGGUUUUGGAAUUUAUAGCCGGGCAGGCACCAAUGCUACUACUAAGAGCAUCUCCAACAGCCGUCCUUCGCGCCGCGUCCAAAAAAUGCGUUUGCCGCGCGCGCUUCUGCUGGUUUAGCACGGGGUUAGGCGCAUGCUCCAGCAGCCGCGCUAUAAUGCAGCGCGCGCGCGCCGCUCCAGCAGUGUCCAAAAAUGCAGACGCCGCGGUAGCCGGACGCAGAACGGCGGCGCGAUGGCAUGGUGGCGCGUCGGGGGCGGGGCGCUAGAGCGGUGGCGGCACGCUGGAGCGGCGGUGGCGCGAGAGGCAGAGGGAGAGAGAGAGUGGAGCGGUGGCGGCGCGAGGGAGCGGCAGAGCUGCGCUUCUAUAGGCGCGCGCGAAGCGGCGCGGCAAAAAUGGUGCGCGAGCUGCCGCCUUUUCGCACGCGCGCGCAACCUUUUACCGCGCGCGCUGUUUUCCUGCCGCCGCUGGAGCGCGCCAUUCCGCCCCGCGCGCUAAAAUGGCGGUUUACCGCACGCACCCCUUUUCGCGCGUCCGUUGAAGAUGCUCUCUCUCUGCACCUUGUCUCCGGCGAUCAUCGGAGCGGGGUGGUUCCAUUUUCCAUCUAACAGGUCCCACCAAUAAAAAUCAGGAAAGGACAAUUAGAUUAGACCGCGUUAGCAUUUCGUAAAAGUGUGUUAGAAUCUGUCCGUAUCUUUAGCAUUUUUGUAGCAUGCAUGUAUGCCGGCCGUGCCUAACUUGGACUGGUCGAGUCGUCGAUGGACGACUGGCUUGAGAGAGACAUACAAGCUUGCACCUAAACCCAACAGACAAAAUGCUCACUAAUGGCAGUAUCCGCGGGAUACCCUUUCUCUUGUCUUGUACGUCCGAUGCUCGCCGGCAUCAAACUAGUGGCAGUAUGAUGACACUACAAGUCUGGAUCAAACGCAGAGCAUGGAGUGCUCUUGGUUCCUGCCUGCUACUUUCCAGCGUUUGUCAACACGUGUGGAAAAAGACUAGGGAGGAUGCCAGUCAAUGUAGUACCUAACAUACACUACUUGAACCUCUUGACGCAUGGGGUGCUUCAUUAUCAUGAUAGACACACAUUGUUGUCUUGUAUCGANNNNNNNNNNUCCAGUUGCCCGGUAUAUCGUCCCAUUCAUAUACUUUGUCUCGUAUACAAAAACGUCGUUGGGGUGCUUCAUUAUCAUGAUAGACACACAUUGUUGUCUUGUAUCGACUGUUAGACAUUGUAAUAUUAGGGGUGCGUGUCUGUUUAAGUUAGGAUUGAUCUUGUAGAUAUAUCCUCUGUAUAGAUAAAGAUCAAUCCUAACCUUCUUGUAAAUCUUGUGUAUUUGGUUGGCUUAGGCCCUGUAUAAACACGCAUACGUCCCUGCAUAACGCAUACGCUUCUACCCCAGUUAUUUUCACAUGGUAUAAGAGCCUCCCUCUUCCCAUCUAUGUCCAACCCUCCUCCUCCACCACCACCGUCGCGAUGAACUCCUCCACCUCCCUUGCUGCCCUUGGACACACAAUCAUCGAGAAGCUUUCCCGAGAGAAUUUUUUGAUGUGGAAGGCACAGGUUCUUCCCCACAUCAGGGUUGUCGGCCUGAUGGGGAAUCUAGAUGGUACCUCUGCGGCGCCCCCUGCUGUUGUGACCAUGGAGACGGAGGUCUCCGGGAAGAAGGAGUUGAUCUCAGCUCCCAACCCGGCGUACACCGCGUGGUACAGCCAGGACCGACAGGUCCUGACUUUCCUCCUCGCAUCCCUCUCCCGGGAUGUACUCCUGCAAGUCCACACCAUCAUCACCUCCUCCGGCGUGUGGCAGAUGAUACUCAUGCUCUUUGCGGCAUAGUCCCGUGCUCGCAAGAUUCAACUUCGUGACCAACUAUCUACAUCUCGCAAAGGUGAUCUCUCCGCUGCUUCCUAUUAUACUAAGAUGAAAGGCAUCGCAGAUGAACUUGCGGCGGCCGGGACUCCUGUUGAUGAAGAUGAGGUUGUCUCUCAUAUCCUGCACGGUUUGGAUUCGGACUACAACUCCUUUGUGUCUGCAAUCUCAACCCGUGCAGCAGCAGACAAUCCCAUCGGCCUCGGUGAGCUGUUUUCUCUACUCCUCUCUGCCGAAACAAGGAUUGAAUGCCAAAACACUACUGCCGCCCACUCCAUCAACCUCGCCUCCAAAGGGGGCGGCCGUGGUGGCCCUGCUCGUUCUUCUGCUGGUGGUGGUGCCCCCUUCACCAACACCUUCGGCACCUCUGCUACACCACCAGGAGGAGGCGUUGCUCAUCCUCAAGGCCCUCUCAUCUGCCAGAUCUGCAAGUAUGCUGGCCACGGUGCUUGGUCCUGCAAAAAGCGCUUCGACAAGACCUUCAACAACAACCCCAAGCGCCAAGGCAAUCCUCCCAAGUCUGCCAAUGCCGCUGCUCCCUCCUAUGGUGUUGAUACUAAGUGGUAUCUCGACACGGGGCCGACGGAUCAUGUGACCGGUGAGCUAGAGAAGCUUACGGUUUGUGAUCGCUACACCGGGCCGGAACAAAUCCAUAUAGCAAAUGGUCAAGGUAUGGAAAUUGCACAUAUUGGUCAUGCACUUCUUCCUACCCCUCAUGAGUCUCUCAAGCUAAAUAAUAUUCUUCAUGUACCUAGUGCCACCAAAAUUCUUCUUUCCGGCCAUCACCUCGCCAAAGAUAAUGAUGCCUAUCUUAUUAUUUACCCUGAGUUCUUUUCUAUGAAUGAUCAGGCAACGGGGAACACAAUUCUUCACGGUCCAAGUAGAGAUGGACUCUACCCAAUCAAUGGCCGGCCAGCUAUCCAUGGGCGUCAGGUUCUUGGAGUCGUCAAGCCAUCUACCUCUAGGUGGCAUAGGCGUCUAGGACACCCAUCCUUCCCAGUGGUGCAGCAAAUUCUUCGUAAUCAUCAUCUUCCCGUGACCAAUAAAACCGACCAUCAUUUAGUUUGUGAUGCUUGUCAAAUGGCUAAGAGCCAUCAACUCCCUUACUCUCGUUCAACUAGUGUAUCUCAUGCUCCUUUAGAGCUUAUUUUUUCCGAUGUAUGGGGCCCUGGGCCUCUUUCUGUAGGCAAACAAAAAUACUAUGUUAGUUUCAUCGAUGAUUUUAGUAAGUUCAGCUGGAUUUAUCUUAUCAAACAUAAGUCUGAUGUGUUCCAAAAGUUUCACCUCUUUCAAGCUCUAGUUGAACGCCUAUUUGAUAAGAAAAUCAUUGCCAUGCAAACUGAGUGGGGAGGUGAAUAUCAAAGUUGAAUCAAUUUUUUGAAAGCAUUGGGAUUACACAUCAUGUUUCCUGCCCUCAUGCUCAUCAACAAAACGGUUCUGCUGAACGCAAACACCGUCACAUUGUUGAAGUAGGCCUCUCUCUUUUAGCCCAUGCAUCCAUGCCACUCAAGUUUUGGGAUGAGGCUUUUCUCACGGAUGUCUACCUUAUAAAUAGGGUUCCUAGUCGUGUCAUUCAUAACCAAACCCCACUUGAACGUCUCUUUAACAUCGCAACUGAUUAUUCUUCCCUUCGUAUUUUUGGGUGUGCAGUUUGGCCGAACUUGCGCCCCUUCAACAAACACAAACUUGAGUAUCGUUCUAAACAAUGUGUGUUUCUUGGCUACGGUCCACUCCACAAAGGGUAUAAAUGCCUUGAUGUGUCCACGGGUCGGGUCUAUGUCUCUCGUGAUGUUAUCUUUGAUGAGCACAUUUUUCCCUUUGCUGCCCUACACCCUAAUGUCGGUGCCCAACUUCGUGCGGAACUCGUUCUUUUACCUUCUCUUUUCCCCCACAGCCACCCCAAGUACCUCUAGAGGAAGUGUAUACUAAUACUGUGUCUAUUUCCCAUACCAGUGUACCAGGAUCUAGCGAAAAUUGUGCAGAAAAUGGUGAUUUAUGCAGGUAACACAUGCUAUAGAAUCGCCAGCCGCAGCAAAUCCCACCGGCGCGGAUUCUCCUGCAGAUCUUCCUGCCAGAUUCGCCUCGGGAUCGCCAGCGUCAGGCGCAUCAGCUACGGGAUCUGCGCGCCUAUCCGGCCCGCUCCCACCCGAUCAUGCCGCCCUACGUGGCGCGGCCUCACGCGCGGGUUCGGACAGCUCCGCCUCAGGCUCGGGUCGGUCUCCCGACAUCGACCACCUGCCCGGCCUGGCGCGGGACACGGGACUGUCCCGGUCGGCUGCACAACCCCCCUUGGGUCUGCCCCGGUCGGCUGUCACGCUGGUCCCCUCCUCGGAUGCGACGCCCACCUCGGCUGCUGCGGCGCCAACUCCCACUGCAUGUGGGCCGCCCUCUCUACAGAUCCUGGAGUCGCACGCUUCCGCAGCUUCACCCGACCACGCGUCGGCUCCUGAUUCGCUGCAUGACGCAGAUGACGCUGGAUCAACGUCGGCUGCCUCGUCUGAUGCCCCUGGAGCACUACGGCGUCGCCAGGCUCUCCUGCCACCUCCGUCGCCUCCUCCUCCUGAUCGUCCUCAUACACGGUCGCGCAGUGGUACUCUCAAACCCAAAGAAUAUAAAGAUGGUUGUAUCCGUUGGGGCUCCUUUUGUUCUACAGGUGAACCACAAAAUUUGUCGGAGGCCCUUACUCAUUCUCGUUGGAAGGAGGCCAUGGAUGAGGAGUAUCGUACACUUAUGGAAAAUCGUACGUGGCAUCUUGUGCCACACCACAAAGGUACAAAUCUCAUUGACUGCAAGUGGGUAUACAAGAUUAAACGUAAGUCUGAUGGCAAUGUUGAUCGUUAUAAAGCACGGUUGGUUGCAAAGGGUUUUAAACAGCGUUAUGGUCUUGAUUAUGAGGACACCUUUAGCCCUGUUGUCAAAGCUGCCACUAUCAGAUUAAUUUUGUCUAUAGCUGUCUCUAAAGGUUGGUGCAUGCGACAGUUGGACGUCAAGAACGCGUUUUUACAUGGUGUUCUGGAAGAGGAUGUGUUCAUGAAACAACCUCCUGGGUAUGUGGAUCCACAGUCACCUCAUUUUGUUUGCAAACUUGAUAAAGCUCUCUAUGGUCUUAAACAGGCACCAAGAGCCUGGUACUCACGUCUCUCUUACAAGCUGCAGUCACUUGGUUUUCUGCCUUCUAAGUGUGAUACAUCUCUGUUUCUAUACUCUCGGGCUGGUAUAACCAUUUUUAUGCUUAUCUAUGUGGAUGAUAUUAUUGUCACCAGUUCACACCCUCAAGCAGUUGAAGCUCUCCUUGCUGAUUUGCGCAUAGAUUUUGCUCUCAACGAUCUUGGCUCCCUCCACUACUGAGGUAACUCAUGUUGAUGGUGGCAUCCUGUUAUCUCAAAGUAAGUAUUUACUUGAAUUACUACAACGAGUGGCUAUGCCAGGAUGCAAACCUGUUAGCACACCUCUCUCCACCUCUGAGAAGCUGUCCUUGUUUGAUGGUCAACCCCUUGGGGAUGAGGACUCUACUCAGUACCGAAGUGUUGUUGGAGCAUUGCAAUAUCUCACACUGACUCGUCCUGAUAUUUCCUUCCCAGUCAAUAAGGUUUGUCAAUUUUUGCAUGCUCCUACUACUGUCCAUUGGACUGCUAUCAAGAGGAUUCUUAGAUAUUUGCAAGGCACUUUGACUCAUGGUCUUUCUAUUCGCAAAUCUGACUCCAUGUUGGUAAGUGCUUUUUCUGAUGCUGAUUGGACUAGCUGUCCUGAUGAUAGAAAGUCCACUAGAGGAUUUGAUGUGUUUGUUGGUAGUAACCUUGUUUCCUGGACUGCUCGCAAGCAACCUACUGUGUCUCGCUCCAGUACUGAAGCUGAAUAUAAGGCACUUGCCAAUGCCACGGCUGAAAUCAUUUGGGUACAAAAUCUCUUGAUUGAGUUGGGCAUUGCUCAUCCUACUGUUGCUUCUCUUUGGUGUGAUAACUUAGGUGCAACCUAUCUAUCCGCCAAUCCCAUUUUUCAUGCUCGUACCAAGCAUAUUGAGAUUGACUAUCACUUUAUCCGUGAACGAGUUGCUCAGAAGUUAUUGCAUAUUCGGUUCAUUCCAACUGGAGAUCAAGUGGCGGAUGGCUUCACUAAACCGCUUACCGCUCGCCAGUUAGAUAUUUUUCGUCGCAAUCUCAACUUAGAUAAGUUGUGAUUGAAAGGGAGUGUUAGACAUUGUAAUAUUAGGGGUGCGUGUCUGUUUAAGUUAGGAUUNNNNNNNNNNAUCUGUAUAGAUAAAGAUCCAUCCUAACCUCCUUGUAAAUCUUGUGUAUUUGGUUGGCUAGGCCCUAUAUAAACACGCAUACGUCCCUGCAUAACGCAUACGUUUCUACCCAGUUAUUUUCACAUCGACAACGUCGCUCUUGCAACCGUCUGUCCCGUGCGCCCCCAGUUGACAUGUAUAUCGUCCCAUUCAUACACUUUGUCUCGUAUACAAAAACGUCGUUGGGGUGCUUCAUUAUCAUGAUAGACACACAUAGUUGUCUUGUAUCGACAACGUCGCUCUUGCAACCGUCUGUCCCGUGCGCCCCCAAUUGCCCGGUAUAUCGUCCCAUUCAUACACUUUGUCUCGUAUACAAAACGUCGUUUGCGAUUAUAUAUCUGUCCCGUGCGUCAAGUUGUCCAGUUGUACUACCCAAUAUUGUGUAACAUCUCAAUUCAUGCCGCAUGCAGCUCUUGUCUAUGCUCUUAUAGCGGAUUUAGUUGGGGAGAAUUAAAACUAGGCAAUGGGAAUUAAUGAGUUUUUUUAACUGAUGUGAAUUAAGGAGCUUUGCUACAUGUACACGAGAAUUACGGGACGAGGGAAUUACAGGGUGUGAUGACAGUUUCUUAUUGAUCAUUAGUAGAGGCAUGUGCCUACCCACGUUGAAAUCGGAGGGAGGUCAUGUUUAAAAAGUUUGAAAGGAUCGGAGCCCGUAGAAUCUCUGUAAAAGCCUUUUAUGUCUAACAUUUUUGGGAAUUAAGAGGGUAGGAGCCUAAAAAUCUGUUGUUUGCUUGGACGGUAUGGGAGUUGAGGUGGAAAGGGGAAGAGGAAUUAAGAGGGCCAACUCCCGCAUAUCUAUUCCCUCGGGGGGCCGGGUAAUUCAGCUGAGACUGGGAAUUGACUAAGAAAAAAUGUUGUUUAGUUCAUUGCACACAUAACGCCAAACAAAAAUCUUUGCAAAUAUGUGAUAUAUAAUUAGGGUGUGUCUAUCACUCUUCUAGAUGAGACUUAACCAAGUCACAUCCGACUCAUAUGUCACUUGAUUUUUAUAAAGAUUUGUGCAUGUUUUUUAUAUAUUUUACUUGAUACACUAGUGGGGAUAGGGCCUAUAGCCCCGGCCCGUAAGGGGCUUUAGUCCCGGUUCACCAACCGGGACUAAAGGGGCGGGACUAAAGGCCUAACAUUUUCGUUCCGGCCCUCUUACACGCCGGGACUAAAGGUGCUCCACGUGGGCGCCUCGUAGCGCCCGAGGGGCAGGCCCUUUAGUCCCGGUUCGUUACACGGUCCAGGACUAAAUAUUUUCAGAUUUUACUGGCUUUUGGGUUUUUUUUUGAAUGAAAUUAUUUUUGGGUUUUAGGGUUUUAGGGUUUAGGUGUUCAGGAGAUUAACGUGAUGCCUCGUUUGGUGUUCGGGAAUUAGUUUUCAUAUAAUUUAAAAUAGAAAUAAUUAUGCAUAUAUAUAUAUAUAUAUAAGAUUAACUUAUCUUAUAAGCGAUCAUAUAUAUACAAUUAUAUGGAGAUCUGAAUUAUCCGGACUAGAGCCCGUCUAUUCGAUUACAUGGACGAACAUCAGUAAUGGCCCUUAGCUACACUAAAUCGUCCUUUGUCUUCUAUAGCUUCCGUCCUCAGAAAUCCCGCAAGCUCCUCUGCAACAGCAAUCACGCGUUGCUCUGGUAGGACCUUCGUCCUCAUGGCCGUGUGCUAUAUAAGAAGAGGAGAUGAAUAUGAAUAUCAAUCAUGAUAACAAAGAAUGACGGGUAAAAAUAGAGGUGUGAAUGUUCAUUGCUUACGUCGAAUCUGUGAUCCUUGAACUCACAGGUAAACGUGCGAAUGGUCUCGCAAACAUAGUAUUCGCAUAGAUGCGUUCCCCGUGGCUGCUGGUCGCACUUUACGAGAAUAGAAUAUAUAUAAUCAAAAUAAUAAUCUAGCAUCAUAAAUGUAUUGAAAAUUAAUAGAAGUAUAUCAUACUACUACUUACCUGAGCCGCUCUAAAGGCCAGCUUCUCAGGAAAGUUACCGGGAGUCACGCACUUGAACCGAUUCCAAACCCUGCCCGACAAGGAUAAUGAUUUGCUAAGUUUUUCAUUAAUUGAUAUAUCAGAAAAUCAUCGAAAGAGACCGAUAGAGCGCAAGAAUGAUUAAAAUUACCCUUGGAGCAUGUCCUGCAGGCUUUCGAACUGUUUCAAGGGUCUCGGUAAUGGGUCGAAGGCAUCAACUCUUCCCCUAUCAAUUUGAAUGUCCAACAGAAUCCAAUGGAAGCUUCACAUGUAUAUAUAUAUAUAUAUGUGUGUGUGUGUGUGUGUGUGUGUGUGUGUGUGUGUGUCAGUAACUUAUCAAUUACACUUAUAAGUGAAUGGACACAACAGAGUAAAGACCCUCACCUGAAGUUGUAUGGAAACAGUAUGUGGUCACAGAAAUUUUGAUCUCUUAGAAACCUUAGAAGGUUUUCCUCCGUCUCCUUGGGACAAUUAGUUAGCGUCGCUAUAUGUAUUUUAUCUGGAUCAAUAAACCCAAUAUUUAGGAUGCUCUUACUUUUACACUCCAGAAUCUUCAUUCUGCAUAAUAGAGUACAAGUUAUAUAUAGACAAUGAAUUGAAAUAACUAAACAAGUUAUAUGUAGACAACGAAUUUAAAAACUUACAGACAAUAGCAACUCAUAAGCGAUUUGUCGAGGGCGUCGCCAUUGUACAUCUGGAAGAGUUCAUCAAAGUUGAUAUGGAUUUCUUCGGAGCGGCCGUAGUACUCCUGUGGGACACUCAACACGAUCAUCGUUCUCCCAUUCUUUGAUUCACUUAAGUACCAUGUAUGCAAGUAACGCAUAUUUGUUGGGAGAUCAUGUUUGCUCACCAAAGGCUCUCCCAUGACAAACUGUGGCUUAGGGGCUACCACAGCCUUGGGUAUCCUGUCGUCUUGGGAAGCCAGGAAAUCUUCAACCGAGAUACCACAUUCAUCCGCCAACUCCUUUGCUUUUUCAAAAGCUUGCCCCUGCACCGGAGGGGGGACAUUCUCGGUUAACACCUUGAGGGGUGGGAUCGACUGUUUGGCCUGUUGUCCAAGCUGAGGAACGUCUGAUUUUUUCUUGCUUGUAGUUGAACUUGAUUUGCUCCCACUUGCACUUGCACGUGACCUGCUCUUUUUCACUUCCUUCUGCAAUGUGCGUGUAUAGUCAUCAGGCUUAUAGUGUAAGUCAUACUGUGAUGGAUUGGUUAUGAAGUCUUUUUCCCAUGCUAUGUUCUUCUCGGUGUAUUUCGGGCGGGGCUCGGGUUCCUUCCUUUUCAUCUGCGCAUCAUGCUGUUCCUUUGCUAUCCUGGCAUUUUCCUCGGGGGUACGAUCAUAAGGUCUGAUAGGAAGGUUAGCAUGAGGUACCUUUGGGAGGGGCGACAGUUUGCGCUUUGGGGAGCUCUGUCCCUUAGAAAUCAUCGAUGAAGCGUUCUUGCUGGCACGCUUCCGCUUAGUAUCAUGUGCGGGCGGCGGCGGAGACGGACGACCCAAGUCCGGCGGCGGUGAUCGAGAUGGACUCGUGUUGUGCUGGCCGACGUCAUGUGGAGGGCUUGGAGGUAAUGGAGGUGUAGGUGACCUGCGACGACUCGGAGGCGGUGUUGUCCUUGGGGCCGAGCCUGCAAGCUUGAUGUAGUUCUUGUCCCAUAGGAUGACUCCACCCAGUACUUCUUCGAGUGUCCUCUCAUCUUCGGGUCCAGCUAUGUCGAGCUCCAUGUCAUUAAACCCCGUCAUGAUUUCAUCCACCCCGACUUUAGCAAAGCCAGCUGGAAUCUCACGGCCAUGCCAGCGUGCAUCAGGGCCAGAAGGUAAAGCUUGUCCGACGGCCACCUUCAUGGAUAUGUUCUUGAAUUUCUGAUGGAGUUCACAUGAUGUUGACUCCUUGAUUCCAUCCACGGGGUAGCCGGGACCGCCCUCUAUCAUUCUUCGUUCAUCGUCGGGCGGGGCCUCAGAUUCAGCCACGCUGCUUUUCCGCUUAGAUGGGGCGCCGGUAAUAUCAACAGCAGGAUCUUCGUGGCGCUGUACUCCUCUAAGCUCAUCAAUCUGCUUCCGUUGCUCGUUAAUCCUGGCAAGCAACUGGUUGAACUUGUCAUUCUCCUNNNNNNNNNNAGGUAAUAUCAAGUGCAGGAUCUUCCUGGCGCGGUACUCCUCUAACCUCAUCAAUCUGCUUAUGUUGCUCGUUAAUCCUGGCAAGCAACUGGUUGAACUUGUCAUUCUCCUCAUCCUGCUGCCGCUUCUUUGCUCUCUCUCGGCUUCUGUAAGUGUCUUGGUCUCUGGCAAACCCAAGCCACCAAGGGUAAGAAGGACCGAAGCCUCGCGUUCGUCCUCCAUGUUCGUCAUUGUCGAGGACCAGUGUGAGCAAAUCUUUAUCUCUAUCUGCAGUGAACUUUCUUUGUCCCUCCUUAAUUUCUUUCACUAUCAUUUUCCAAUUUUCCCUGGGUAUCCUAAGCUCGUCAUUGCAAAUGAGGUCCCCUGUUGUUUCGUCGUACGACCCACCAUGCACAAGGAACCAAUUUCUUGCUCUCAAUUCCCACUCAUCACGGAGUGGUUCAGGUACGACGCCUUUAUCUAUCAGAUCUUGCUCUUUCUUAUCCCACUUUGGGAUGGCAGUCUCAUAGCCCCCUGGCCCCAGCUUGUGGUGAUAUUUCUUCUUGUCGGCAUUUAUCUUGNNNNNNNNNNCGGGUAAGGAGGACCGAAGCCUCGCGUUCGUCCUCCAUGUUCGUCAUUGCCGAGGACCAGUGUGAGAAAAUCUUUAUCUCUAUCUGCAGUGAACUUUCUUUGUCCCUCCUUAAUUUCUUUCACUAUCCUUUUCCAAUUCUCCCUGGGUAUCCUAAGAUUGUCAUUGCAGAUGAGGUCCCCUGUUGUUUCGUCGUACGACCCAACAUGCGCAAGGAACCAAUUUCUUAAUCUCAAUUCCCACUCAUCACGGAGUGGCUCAGGUACGACGCCUUUAUCUAUCAGAUCUUGCUCUUUCUUAUCCCAGUUUGGGAUGGCAGUCUCAUAGCCGCCUGGCCCCAGCUUGUGGUGAUAUUUCUUCUUGUCGGCAUUUAUCUUGUUCUUUUCUGAUAAUGCCUGGGCAUCUUCUGACUCUUUGUACUCUUGAAAUGCCUUCCAGUGAUUCGCCUGCUUGGCUAGAUACCCCUCGAAUACUGACACUUUCUGUGUCUUGAGAUAGUUUUUCCAUAGCUUCUUCUUCCAGCUACGGAACAGUUCGGCCAUCUUCUUCAGAGUCCACUGCUUGACUUUGGCCCUCAGUUUGUCUGCGGCGUCUUCAUUCUCACAUUCUGGCAGGUUGAAAUGUNNNNNNNNNNGCACUUUCUGUGUCUUCACAUAGUUUUUCCAUAGCUUCUUCUUCCAGCUACGGAACAAUUCGACCAUCUUCUUCAGAGUCCACUGCUUGACUUUGGCCCUUAGUUUGUCUGCGGCGUCUUCAUUCUCACAUUCUGGCAGGUUGAAAUGUNNNNNNNNNNACUUCUUGAAUGUGUCAGCAACAUUCUUAGGAAGCUUGGGUUCGCCCAUAGGAAAUAUCACCUCAAAUGUGUAAUGCGUCCGUGCAUUCCAACUUUAGAUAUAACGACGAAGAUUCAGCUGGUUCAACGUUGGGGCCCUCUUCGAUUAUAUCUUUCAGAAGUUCUUCCUCUUCGAGGUUCCUGAUAUGUGGAUCCAUAGUUCUGCAAAAAACGGAUUCUCUUAACCUUUGUACCAAAAAAGAAUUAUUCUAUCAGGAACUCCGUUCCAAAACAACUUAAGUCCCGGGUCGUGGCUCCACCCGGGACUCCUAGAUUUCUGCAUAGUAUUCAAAGUAGGAGUACUUUUCCAAUUUNNNNNNNNNNGACAUGAGAUCAUUCCAAAGAUUAUCUUUCUACCUUUCGGCGACAUAGUCACUAUCGGCUGCCCCUUUGCGCUUGUUCCACUCCCGAACGCUGAUCGGGACGUGAUCCCUAACGAGAACUCCGCAUUGCUUCUUGAAUGUGUCAGCAGCAUUCUUAGGAAGCUUGGGUUCGCCCGUAGGAAAUAUCACCUCAAAUGUGUAAUGCGUCAGUGCAUCCAACUUUCUAGUCGGGCCUCGUUCCGUAGUUUUGCUCGAUGUGGAGGCCUAAGAGGGAGAAACAUACGUCAAAUGAAUGUAUAUGUAUGCAAUAUAGAGCUAUCUCCAAUAUUUUUCACAUAUUACAAGUGAUUGUCGAACUUCAUAUGUAUACCUCGCCGGACUUCUCCUCUUCACCGGCUUCUCCAUCAGUGGAGCUAUCACCUUCUCCGUCAUUGGACCUAUCUCCUGCCCCAUCGGCUUCAUCUUCGUGUCGCUCGACCUCCAUUACAACGUCCUGGUUUAGAUAUGACAACGGAGAUUCAGCUGGUUCAACGUCGGGGCCGUCUUUGAUUAUAUCUUCCAGAAGUUCUUCCUCUUCGAGGUUCCUGAUAUGUGGAUCCAUAGUUCUNNNNNNNNNNCCAAAGUAGGAGUACUUUUCCAAUUUGAGGCUCCUAGAUUUCUGCAUAGUAUUCAAAGUAGGAGUACUUUUCCAAUUUGAGCAUUCAAUAAGCAAAACCAAAUUGUAAAAUAAAGUAGUAUUCAAAUUAGCAUGCAUUCAAUUAGAAGCUAAUACAUCAUCACUUUUGUCCGUACAUCGUCGAAUAUUAUCACUAAUACUCCUCGAAUACUAUCAUACAUAUAGCAUCACUAAUACAUCUAGAACCGUAACGCCCGACGGGUAUCGGCGCGGGCGGUGGACACCCAAAGAGAAGGAACCAUCACAGGAUCAUAGCUCCAGUGAGAUCCCCGAAGAACCUGCCAGGUAUGCUCGAACCUGCCCUCCAACGCAACCAUGUAGCGACGGACGUGCUCAUCCUCCUCGCUGAAACAGUGACGUACCACCUCCGCGGUGUCCGGAAGCCUCGGCACCCUCACUGGCCCACGCGACCGCCACCAAACAAGGAUCGGGUCAACGACGGGCUGGCUCCUCACCAACCUACGCCCCCCGGAAGGUAGCAUCUCCCAAUACCAGCCGGGCGGAGCCCAGUCCCGGACAGGACCCCUCUGAUCAAGCAGGUGUCCUCCGCCGAGUCGACGACGAGGAUGCNNNNNNNNNNCACGGUGACGUACCACCUCCGCGGAGUCCGGAAGCCUCGACACCCUCACUGGCCCACGCGACCGCCACCAAACAAGGAUCGGGUCAACGACGGACUGGCUCCGCACCAACCUACGCCCCCCGGAAGGUAGCACCUCCUAAUACCAGCCGGGCGGAGCCCAGUCCCGGACAGGGCCCCUCUGAUCAAGCAGGUGUCCUCCGCCGAGUCGACGACGAGGAUGCGGGAUAGGCAUCGUAAAAUGAACUAAAAAAAUAAACUAGUUCUAUUAAUUUUCUUGCUAAAAAUAAACUAUUAACACUUAAGCAUAUACAAUAGCAAGAUUAAACUAUUAACACUUAAGCAUAUACAGUAGCAAAAUUAAGCAAUAAUCUAAGAAACACUAUUAACACUUAAGCAUAUACACUAUACAAUAGCAAAAUUCCUCCUCUUCUUAUUUUCAUUUUUCUUCUCCUCCUCUUCUUUUCUUCUGUUCUCCUCCUCUUCUUUUCUUCUUUUCUUAUACACUAUACACUAUAGCAAAAUUCUCCCUCUCCUUAUACACUAUAAACUAUAUAUACUAUACACUUAAGCAUAUACACUAUACAAUAUACACUUUUUCUUCUUUUCUUCUCCUCCUCUUCUUAUUUUCAUUUUUCCUAAUCUUAUUUUCUUAUUUUUGUUCAUAUUUCUUCUUCUUUUAACCCUAACCUAAUUCUAUAUAUUACUAACCCUAUAAUCUAGCACAAACCUAAUAACAAUAGGAAUUAAAUGACAAAAAAAUAUUUUUCUUUUUCUUCUUUUCUUCUCAUUUUUCUUCCUUUUUCUCCUUUUUCUUCUUCUCUUCUCCUUUUUCUUCUUUUCUUCUAUACUGUCCGGAGUGUUGGGGAGGAGGGGCGGGGGGCUUACCGGCCAGAGUUGUCGACGGCGCUCGGCGAGGAGGACGGCGCGACGGCGAGGAGCACGACGCGACGGCCAGGAGGACGGCGCAAGGGCGAGGAGGACGGUGAGGAGGACGGCGCGACGGCGAGGAGGACGGACGACGGCGAGGAGGACGGCAGGCGGCGGCGAGCAGGACGGCGGGCAGCCUGACGGCGUCGGUUAGUUCGUCGUUGUGCCGCGUCGGGCAGGAGAACGAGAGGAAGAAGAAGAGAAAUGGACGAAUUGGGUUNNNNNNNNNNUUUAUUUUUAUUUUUCUUCUCCUCCUCUUCUUUUCUUCUCUUCUCCUCCUCUUCUUUUCUUCUUUUCUUAUACACUAUACACUAUACACACUAUAGCAAAAUUCCUCCUCUCCUUAUACACUAUACACUAUAUACACUAUACACUUAAGCAUAUACACUAUACAAUAUACACUUUUUCUUCUUUUCUUCUCCUCCUCUUCUUAUUUUCAUUUUUCCUAUUCUUAUUUUCUUAUUUUUGUUCAUAUUUCUUCUUCUUGUAACCCUAACCUAAUUCUAAAUAUUACUAACACUAAUAAUCUAGCACAAACCUAAUAACAAUAGGAAUUAAAUGACAAAACAAAUCUUUUUCUUUUUCUUAUUUUCUUCUCCUUUUUCUUCUUUUCUUCUCCUUUUUCUUCCUUUCUUCUAUAUAUACUGGCCGGAGUGUUGGGGAGGAGGGGGCGGGGGGCUUACCGGCCGGAGGUGUCGACGGCGCGCGGCGAGAGGACGGCGUGGAGGACGGCGCGACGGCGAGGAGGACGGCGCGACGGCGAGGAGGACGGCCGACGGCGAGGAGGACGGCAGGCGGCAGCGAGCAGGACGGCGGCCGGGCAGCCUGACGGCGUCGGUUAGUUCGUCGCUGUGCCGCGCCGGGCAGGAGAACGAGAGGAAGAAGAAGAGAAAUGGACGAAUUGGGUUGGAAAUUUUUGAAGUCCCGCUUAUAUAGGUGGACCUUUAGUCCCGGUGUGUGGCUCCACCCGGGACUAAAGCCCCUCCUCGGCUGCACGAUAAGUUUNNNNNNNNNNNNNNNNNNNNNNNNNNNNNNNNNNNNNNNNNNNGGGAAGCAGGGGGUCUGUAGUCCCGGGGCGUGGCUCCAGCCGGGACUAAAGGGGGUCUUUAGUCCCGGGUCGUGGCUCCACCCGGGACUAAAGCCCCUCCUCGGCUGCACGAUAAGUUUAGUACCACCUCGCCCAGCGAGGGGGACAAACACUUGUUUAUAAGCCCCGUCGCAGCUUGUCCAUCGAGCUCCUCUCUAAAGCAGGUUUACGGGCCUAAACUUACUGAAAAUUGAAACUAUAUUCGAAAUUGUGGAUAAAAUUAAAUCUGAAUUCAAAGUGAAUUCAGGUCGAAUUUUGUCCAUGAUUUCUCAUAUAGUUUCAAUUUUUUUCUAUUUUCAAAACUAAUUAUUUUGACUAUCCAAAAUAUUAACUUAUUUUGUUAUUUUCAAUUAAAAACUAUGUUUAUUAAAAAUUCUUUUUGCAUAUUUGAGAAUUUGACAAAACUAUGAUAAUGAAAAGUGUUUCAAAUUGAAUAAAUAAUGCAAAACUAUUUUCUAUUUUCAUAAUUAAUAAUUUUGACUAUCCAAACUAUUAUCUAUUUUGUUAUUUUCAAUUAAAAACUAUGUUUAUUAAAAAUUCUUUUUGCAUAUUUGAGAAUUUGACAAAACUAUGUUAAUGAAAAGUGUUUGAAAUUGAAUAAAUAAUUCAAAACUAUUUUCUAUUUUCAUAAUUAAUAAUUUUGACUAUCAAAACUAUUAUCUAUUUUGUUAUUUUCAAUUAAAAACUAUGUUUAUUAANNNNNNNNNNNNNNNNNNNNNNNNNNNNNNNNNNNNNNNNNNNNNNNNNNNNNNNNNNNNNNNNNNNNNNNNNNNNNNNNNNNNNNNNNNNNNNNNNNNNAUGGCGUCGGGGCGGCGCGGGACGGCGUCGGGGCGACGACGGCGACGACGAGGCGGACACGGCGACGGCGAGACGGAGUCGGGGCAGCCUAGCGGCGUCGGGAUCGAAUGGAGAGAGGGGGAGAGAUCAAAAUUUCUAAACUGUCGCUUAUAUAGCCCCACCUUUAGUCCCGGUUGGUGGCACCAACCGGGACCAAAGGUCUCUUUUCAGCAGCCCGACGGGCGGGAAGCAGAUGCAUUGGUACCGGUUGAUGGCACAAACCGGGACCAAAUGCCUCUUUUCAGCAGCCCAAAGGGCGGGAAGCAGAGGCCUUUGGUCACGGUUGGUGGCACCAACCGGUACCAAUGCCUCCCUUUAGUCCCGCUUGGUGCCACAAACCGGGACAAAAGGCCUUGCGCGGUGCGGUGCUAUGUUUAGUCCCACCUCGCUAGCCGAGAGGGGCUCGAAGUGGUUUAUAAGCCAUGCCGAACCAACCACUUCGAGCUCCUCUCUACUGCAGGCUUACGGGCCUAAAAUCACUCUCUGUGCUUGUGGGCCUAUUGGGCCUACUACGGGCCUGCAUCCUGGCCCUAGUAAUGGGUUUCUAGUCGUAUGCAGGCAGUGGUGGCCUUGUAGGUGACACAUUUUUUUAUUUUUUUCCUGUUUUUUUGCUUUCUUUUUGUUUCUAAUUACUUAUUUAUUUUCUUUUACGAUAAUUCUUUUUUCUAUUAAAGUUUGUAACAAAAUUCUAAUUACUUAUUUAUUUUAUUUUAUGAUAAUUCUUUUUUGCUUUUAAUGUUUUGAACAAAAUUCUAAUUACUUAUAUAUUUUCUUUUAUGAUAAUUCUUUUUGCUAUUAAAGCUUGUAACAAAAUUCUAUAUAAUUUUAGUUUCAAUAAGACUUAUUUAUAAAAGCUUUUUAAUUUUAUAAAAGCUUUUUAGUUGAUUCCUUUAUUUUAAUUUUUCCUAGUUUUUUUGCUUUCUUUUUUGUNNNNNNNNNNNNNNNNNNNNNNNNNNNNNNNNNNNNNNNNNNNNNNNNNNNNNNNNNNNNNNNNNNNNNNNNNNNNNNNNNNNNNNNNNNNNNNNNNNNNCAUUGGAAUAGUGUUCCAUAAUAUGAAAAAUCGUAUUAGAAUCAACUAGUGUUUAAUAUGUUCCAUUGGAAUCAUAGUUGGUUCGCUUCAAAUAGUUGUAGUGAAACAAUUUUGAUUAGUUGAAGGGAACACAAACUGAUUGGAAUAGUGUUCCAUAAUCUGAAAAAUCUGAUUGGUUCAAUAUGUUCCAUUGAAAUCAUAGUUGUAGUGACACAAUUUUAUGCGGUGUUCUUUGAUCCAAGGUUAUGAAAAUUGAAUAUAGCUAGUGAUCUCUCUAGGUUCCAUUGGAUAGCAAUAUGAUAUGUCAUAGUCAUGAAAAUUGCAUAUAGCUAGUGAUCUCUCUAGGUUCCAUUGGAUAGCUAUAGUGAUCUCUCUAGGUUCCAUUGCAUAUGUUCUAUUUGAAUCCUAAAGAUAAGUUUCUCUUUAGUUCUAGUGAAACAUGUUUCCUUAUUGCAGCAGUAUGUAACAUUUGUUCCAUUUUAAUUUGUUUCUGUUGCAGGAGUGACAAGCAUUGUCCAGAACUCAUGGAGUUCCUUCGCAGCGGCAUCACUUUUGCUUCCGUUGACAUAAGGAAUGACAAGCUGAAGAUGAGGCACAGCUUCGGUAUUGAGAUACCAGCUGGUUGCCUCGUUGAUCUCCAAACGAUAUUCAGGCUUCGACAUGACAGGACUUCGAUGGNNNNNNNNNNGUCACUUUUGCUUCCGUUGACAUAAGGAACGACAAGUUGAAGAUGAGGCAUAGCUUCGGUAUUGAGAUACCAGCUGGUUGCCUCCUUGAUCUCCAAACGAUAUUCAGGCUUCGACAUGACAGGACUUCGAUGGCUCAUAUGGCAGUUGCCUUGAUCGACGAGUCAUAUGGUGAUAUGAAGACCAGUUUCCCAAAGUCUCAGCACAGACUUUGGGAGAAGGGCCCACUUGAUGAUAUCAACAUUGAGUAUGCAACAAAAGAUGCAUACGUUUCAUACGAGUUGUACCGCAAGAUUCGAGUCGNNNNNNNNNNGUCAGCACAAACUUUGGGAGAAGGGCCCACUUGAUGAUAUCAACAUUGAGUAUGCAGCAAAAGAUGCAUACGUUUCAUACGAGUUGUACCGCAAGAUUCGAGUCGUCAACUAUGGCCAGCGUCACCUCGAGGAACGUGGACAUUCUGAUUUAGAUGAUUCAGACGAGUAGUGUUCUGAACGUCGAACACUUGUAUAUAUAUCUAUGGUAGCUAUUAUUAUGUACUGUUUGGGCUAGUAUCAUGUACUUCUUGGACCAAUUUAUAUAUGUCUAGUUUCUGUUUGUGCCAUUAUAGUUUCCAAAUUUGAAUGGUUUAGCCCUUUCUAACUUCAUUUGCUNNNNNNNNNNAUGAUUUAGAUGAUUCAGACGAGUAGUGUUCUUAACGUCGAACACUUGUAUAUAUAUCUAUGGUAGCUAUUAUUAUGUAUUGUUUGGACUAUUAUCAUGUACUUCUUGGACCAAUUUAUAUAUGUCUAGUUUCUGUUUAUGCCACUAUAGUUUCCAAAUUUGAAUGGUUUAGCCCUUUCUAACUUCAUUUGCUACUUUUGAAUGGUUUAGCCCUUUCUAAUUUCAUGGUAUCAUGCAUUUUGACCACAUAUAUAUACAAAAAGUCUUCAGUUCAAAUAAGUUCAAAAAAUGAAAUCCCUUUUGUAACAGAUCUGUUUUUGAUUAAAACAAUCAUUUAAAAAUGAAAGACCAUUAGUUCCACGUGGCGUGCAGCGGAACCACGUGGCGUGCCGCGAAACCACUUUUGUUGUGGGGGUCGCUUCUCCUUCUUCUCCUUGUGCUAGAUAUUGGUUAUGCACUAGGGGAAGUAGGAGUAGCGACCAUCAUCGACGGUUGAAAAAUCAGGUGAGCUAGUGUCCACCAUAUAUGAGAGAAGAAGAAAUCCAUUUGUGAUGUGCCUUUGAAUGGUGCAUUUUGAACACACAAAAAGUAUGNNNNNNNNNNCUUUUUUAUUAAAACAAUCAUUUAAAAAUGAAAGACCAUUAGUCCCACGUGGCGUGCAGCGGAACCACGUGGCGUGCCGCGGAACCACUUUUGUUGUGGGGGUCUCUUCUCCUUCUUCUCCUUGUGCUAGAUAUUGGUUAUGCACUAGGGGAAGUAAGCGACCAUCAUCGACGGUUGGAAAAUCAGGUGAGCUAGUGUCCACCAUAUAUGAGAGAAGAAGAAUGUCGUCUCUUAUUGUGGGGGUCGCUUCUACUUCGAGAGAGAUUGUCCAUUUUGUGAUGUGCCUUCGAAUGGUGCAUUUUGAACACACAAAAAGUAUGGAGUUCAAAUAAGUUCAAAAAAAAUGAAAUCCCUUUGUAAGAGAUGACUUCUCGUUCGAAACCCUGCUACUUCGAGAGAGAUUGUCAGUUUUGUACACGAACUGCACCCAGUUUUUGACGUAGCCCUCUCAACUUUUUAACACAUGCUAUGUGGGUGAAAUGAUGANNNNNNNNNNNNNNNNNNNNNNNNNNNNNNNNNNNNNNNNNNNNNNNNNNNNNNNNNNNNNNNNNNNNNNNNNNNNNNNNNNNNNNNNNNNNNNNNNNNNGCGCUGAUUUGGGGAGGCAUCAUUUCAGGCGCAUCCGCAGAGUAGCAGUAUUGGUUUGUUCAAUUGGUGCUGUGAUUUGUUGCAUUGGGAAUUGGUAGGCUCGACUUAGCUUGAUUGCUUCCAUUCUAGAUGAUUGGUGUGAGUUCUCUGGGCUGUCGUCGGAAAUUUUACUGCUAUUUCAAGAUGCCUGGAACCUGUAGUGAGUUUUAUAUGUUGCAUUGGGAAUUUGUAGACUGGACUUAGCUCCGAGUAGGUUGUUUGCUUUUCCAUUCUAGAUGAUUGGUCAAUUCUUCGGGGCAUCGUAAUUUUUACUGCUACCUCAGGAUGAUUCAAGUUUGUGAUGAAAUUGUAUAAGGUGGAGUAUGUUUGCCGAUAGUUGUAGCCGGAUUAUACCAUGGAAUACACGGUGUAGUNNNNNNNNNNUAUCAAGUCUUUCUAAAAGUUGCCAAAAACGACAGGCUGUACAUAUCAAGGCAGAUUUAUAUUGCCGUCACACAAUUUUUUUAACUCUGUUUAAAUAUUAUUGCUCCCUCAUGGCUGUGCUGGAUGCCUGACUUUCUCCAUUGCAGUGACAAGCUCUUCAGUUUGGAUUAACUUCCCAUUNNNNNNNNNNNNNNNNNNNNNNNNNNNNNNNNNNNNNNNNNNNNNNNNNNNNNNNNNNNNNNNNNNNNNNNNNNNNNNNNNNNNNNNNNNNNNNNNNNNNUUCUUUUCUGAUAAUGCCUGGGCAUCUUCUGACUCCUUGUACUCUUGAAAUGCCUUCCAGUGAUUCGCCUGCUUGGCUAGAUACCCCUCGAAUACUGGCACUUUCUGUGUCUUCACAUAGUUUUUCCAUAGCUUCUUCUUCCAGCUACGGAACAAUUCGACCAUCUUCUUCAGAGUCCACUGCUUGACUUUGGCCCUUAGUUUGUCUGCGGCGUCUUCAUUCUCACAUUCUGGCAGGUUGAAAUGUGACAUGAGAUCAUUCCAAAGAUUAUCUUUGUACCUUUCGGCGACAUAGUCACUAUCGGCUGCCCCUUUGCGCUUGUUCCACUCCCGAACGCUGAUCGGGACGUGAUCCCUAACGAGAACUCCGCAUUACUUCUUGAAUGUGUCAGCAACAUUCUUAGGAAGCUUGGGUUCGCCCAUAGGAAAUAUCACCUCAAAUGUGUAAUGCGUCCGUGCAUUCCAACUUUAGAUAUAACGACGAAGAUUCAGCUGGUUCAACGUUGGGGCCCUCUUCGAUUAUAUCUUUCAGAAGUUCUUCCUCUUCGAGGUUCCUGAUAUGUGGAUCCAUAGUUCUGCAAAAAACGGAUUCUCUUAACCUUUGUACCAAAAAAGAAUUAUUCUAUCAGGAACUCCGUUCCAAAACAACUUAAGUCCCGGGUCGUGGCUCCACCCGGGACUCCUAGAUUUCUGCAUAGUAUUCAAAGUAGGAGUACUUUUCCAAUUUGAGCAUUCAAUAAGCAAAACCAAAUCGUAAAAUAAAGUAGUAUUCAAAUUAGCAUGCAUUCAAUUAUAAGCUAAUACAUCAUCACUUUUGUCCGUACAUCGUCGAAUAUUAUCACUAAUACUCCUCGAAUACUAUCAUACAUAUAGCAUCACUAAUACAUCUAGAACCGUAGCGCCCGACGGGUAUCGGCGCGGGCGGUGGACACCAAAGAGAAGGAACCAUCACAGGAUCAUAGCUCCAGUGAGAUCCCCGAAGAACCUGUCAGGUAUGCUCGAACCUGCCCUCCAACGCAACCAUGUAGCGACGGACGUGCUCAUCCUCCUCGCUGAAACAGUGACGUACCACCUCCGCGGUGUCCGGAAGCCUCGGCACCCUCACUGGCCCACGCGACCGCCACCAAACAAGGAUCGGGUCAACGACGGGCUGGCUCCUCACCAACCUACGCCCCCCGGAAGGUAGCAUCUCCCAAUACCAGCCGGGCGGAGCCCAGUCCCGGACAGGACCCCUCUGAUCAAGCAGGUGUCCUCCGCCGAGUCGACGACGAGGAUGCGGGAUAGGCAUCGUAAAAUGAACUAAAAAAAUAAACUAGUUCUAUUAAUUUUCUUGCUAAAAAUAAACUAUUAACACUUAAGCAUAUACAAUAGCAAAAUUAAACUAUUAACACUUAAGCAUAUACAAUAGCAAAAUUAAGCAAUAAUCUAAGAAACACUAUUAACACUUAAGCAUAUACACUAUACAAUAGCAAAAUUCCUCCUCUUCUUAUUUUCAUUUUUCUUCUCCUCCUCUUCUUUUCUUCUGUUCUCCUCCUCUUCUUUUCUUCUUUUCUUAUACACUAUACACUAUAGCAAAAUUCUCCCUCUCCUUAUACACUAUAAACUAUAUAUACUAUACACUUAAGCAUAUACACUAUACAAUAUACACUUUUUCUUCUUUUCUUCUCCUCCUCUUCUUAUUUUCAUUUUUCCUAAUCUUAUUUUCUUAUUUUUGUUCAUAUUUCUUCUUCUUUUAACCCUAACCUAAUUCUAUAUAUUACUAACCCUAUAAUCUAGCACAAACCUAAUAACAAUAGGAAUUAAAUGACAAAAAAAUAUUUUUCUUUUUCUUCUUUUCUUCUCAUUUUUCUUCCUUUUUCUCCUUUUUCUUCUUCUCUUCUCCUUUUUCUUCUUUUCUUCUAUACUGUCCGGAGUGUUGGGGAGGAGGGGCGGGGGGCUUACCGGCCAGAGUUGUCGACGGCGCUCGGCGAGGAGGACGGCGCGACGGCGAGGAGCACGACGCGACGGCCAGGAGGACGGCGCAAGGGCGAGGAGGACGGUGAGGAGGACGGCGCGACGGCGAGGAGGACGGACGACGGCGAGGAGGACGGCAGGCGGCGGCGAGCAGGACGGCGGGCAGCCUGACGGCGUCGGUUAGUUCGUCGUUGUGCCGCGUCGGGCAGGAGAACGAGAGGAAGAAGAAGAGAAAUGGACGAAUUGGGUUGGAAAUUUUCGAAGACCCGCUUAUAUAGGUGGAUCUAUAGUCCCGGUGCGUGGCUCGGGCUGGGACUAAAGAUCCCCUUUAGUCCCGAGUGGUGCCACGACCCGGGACUAAAGGCCUAUUUUCGGGCAGACCAAGAGGCGGGAAGCAGGGGGUCUUUAGUCCCGGUGCGUGGCUCCAGCCUGGACUAAAGGGUGUCUUUAGUCCCGGGGCGUGGCUCCACCCGGGACUCAAGCCCCUCCUCGGCUGCACGAUAAGUUUAGUCCCACCUCGCCCAGCGAGGGGGACUAACACUUGUUUAUAAGCCCCGUCGCAGCUUGUCCAUCGAGCUCCUCUCUAAAGCAGGCUUACGGUCCUAAACUUACUGAAAAUUGAAACUAUAUUCGAAACUGUGGAGAAAUUUCAAUCUGAAUUCAAAGUGAAUUCAGGUUGAAUUUUGUCCAUGAUUUCUCAUAUAGUUUCAAUUUUUUUCUAUGAUAAUGAAAUUUGAGAAUUAUUUUUGCAUAUUUGAGAAUUUGACAAAACUAUGAUAAUGAAAAGUGUUUCAAAUUGAAUAAAUAAUGCAAAACUAUUUUCUAUUUUCAUAAUUAAUAAUUUUGACUAUCCAAACUAUUAUCUAUUUUGUUAUUUUCAAUUAAAAACUAUGUUUAUUAAAAAUUCUUUUUGCAUAUUUGAGAAUUUGACAAAACUAUGAUAAUGAAAAGUGUUUCAAAUUGAAUAAAUAAUGCAAAACUAUUUUUAUUUUCAUAAUUAAUAAUUUUGAAUAUCCAAACUAUUAUCUAUUUUGUUAUUUUGACUUCAUUUGGUAUAUUCGUGCAUUUACUUUUUUUUUGUAGCUAGUUGACAGUGAAAUUGAAAAGCAUUACAAAUGAACUCUGAAAAUGUUGAAAGUUGGCAUGCUAUCAUCAUUUCACCCAUAUAGCAUGUGUUAAAAAGUUGAGAGGGCUACGACAAAAACUGGAUGCAGUUCGUGUACAAAACUGACAAUCUCUAUCGAAGUAGCAGGGUUUCGAACGAGAACUCAUCUCUUACAAAGGGAUUUCAUUUUUUUUGAACUUAUUUGCACUCCAUGCUUUUUGUGUGUUCAAAAUGCACCAUUCAAAGGCACAUCACAAAAUUUCAACAAUUUCUGACUUCAUUUGGUAUAUUUCGUGCAUUUACUUAUUUUUUUUGAGCUAGUUGACCCUGAAAUUGAAAAGCACUACAAAUGAACUCUGAAAAUGUUGAAAGUUGGCAUGCUAUCAUAAUUUCACCCACAUAGCAUGUGUUAAAAAGUUGAGAGGGCUACGACAAAAACUGGAUGUAGUUCGUGUACAAAACUGACAAGCUCUCUCGAAGUAGGAGGGUUUCGAACGAGAACUCAUCUCUUACAAAGGGAUUUCAUUUUUUAACUUAUUUGAACUCCAUACUUUUUGUGUGUUCAAAAUGCACCAUUCAAAGGCACAUCACAAAUGGAUUUCUUCUUCUCUCAUAUAUGGUGGACACUAGCUCACCUGAUUUUUCAACCGUCGAUGAUGGUCGCUACUCCUACUUCCCCUAGUGCAUAACCAAUAUCUAGCACAAGGAGAAGAAGGAGAAGCGACCCCCACAACAAAAGUGGUUUCGCGGCACGCCACGUGGUUCCGCUGCACGCCACGUGGAACUAAUGGUCUUUCAUUUUUAAAUGAUUGUUUUAAUCAAAAACAGAUCUGUUACAAAAGGGAUUUCAUUUUUUGAACUUAUUUGAACUGAAGACUUUUUGUAUAUAUAUGUGGUCAAAAUGCAUGAUACCAUGAAAUUAGAAAGGGCUAAACCAUUCAAAAGUAGCAAAUGAAGUUAGAAAGGGCUAAACCAUUCAAAUUUGGAAACUAUAAUGGCACAAACAGAAACUAGACAUAUAUAAAUUGGUCCAAGAAGUACAUGAUACUAGCCCAAACAGUACAUAAUAAUAGCUACCAUAGAUAUAUAUACAAGUGUUCGACGUUCAGAACACUACUCGUCUGAAUCAUCUAAAUCAGAAUGUCCACGUUCCUCGAGGUGACGCUGGCCAUAGUUGACGACUCGAAUCUUGCGGUACAACUCGUAUGAAACGUAUGCAUCUUUUGCUGCAUACUCAAUGUUGAUAUCAUCAAGUGGGCCCUUCUCCCAAAGUUUGUGCUGACACUUUGGGAAACUGGUCUUCAUAUCACCAUAUGACUCGUCGAUCAAGGCAACUGCCAUAUGAGCCAUCGAAGUCCUGUCAUGUCGAAGCCUGAAUAUCGUUUGGAGAUCAACGAGGCAACCAGCUGGUAUCUCAAUACCGAAGCUGUGCCUCAUCUUCAGCUUGUCAUUCCUUAUGUCAACGGAAGCAAAAGUGAUGCCGCUGCGAAGGAACUCCAUGAGUUCUGGACAAUGCUUGUCACUCCUGCAACAGAAACAAAUUAAAAUGGAACAAAUGUUACAUACUGCUGCAAUAAGGAAACAUGUUUCACUAGAACUAAAGAGAAACUUAUCUUUAGGAUUCAAAUAGAACAUAUGCAAUGGAACCUAGAGAGAUCACUAUAGCUAUCCAAUGGAACCUAGAGAGAUCACUAGCUAUAUGCAAUUUUCAUGACUAUGACAUAUCAUAUUGCUAUCCAAUGGAACCUAGAGAGAUCACUAGCUAUAUUCAAUUUUCAUAACCUUGGAUCAAAGAACACCGCAUAAAAUUGUGUCACUACAACUAUGAUUUCAAUGGAACAUAUUGAACCAAUCAGAUUUUUCAGAUUAUGGAACACUAUUCCAAUCAGUUUGUGUUCCCUUCAACUAAUCAAAAUUGUUUCACUACAACUAUUUGAAGCGAACCAACUAUGAUUCCAAUGGAACAUAUUAAACACUAGUUCAUUCUAAUACGAAUUUUCAGAUUAUGGAGCACUAUUCCAAUCAGAUUGUGUUCCCCUUCAACUAAUCAAAAUUGUUUCACUACAACUAUUUGAAGGGAACCAACUAUGGUUCCAAUGGAACAUAUUAAACACUAGUUGAUUCUAAUACGAUUUUUCAGAUUAUGGAACACUAUUCCAAUUAGAUUGUGCUCCCCUUCAAGUAAUCAAAAUUGUUUCACUACAACUAUUUGAAGGGAGCCAACUAUGAUUCCAAUGGAACAUAUUAAACACUAGUUGAUUCUAAUAUGAUUUUUCAGAUUAUGGAACACUAUUCCAAUUAGAUUGUGCUCCCCUUCAACUAAUCAAAAUUGUUUCACUACAACUAUUUGAAGGGAACCAACUAUGAUUGAAACAAAUAAACUUACAAUGUCAUUAUCUUGGAUCAAAGAAAGCCUCAAAACUUACCUCACCCAUUGGAAGAUCAAGACAUGGCCUGCAAAGCAUAUUUGGAUGACGGCAACACCGCUUUGAUCAGACGUGUACUCCAGAUCAAGCCCGAAGAACUUCUCAUGAUCCUCUGCGUGGUCAAACCAUCGUUCCUUCAACUGUUGAAGAAAAAACGGCACCUCCCUGCUCAGGUUCGUGUACACGACACGGAGCUUGGUCGUGCCAUGCGCGACCACCUCAUGAAAGCUAGUUGGCAUGGUGGAAGAAGAGAAGGGAAGAAGAGAGGAGAAGAACAGAGAGGGCGACGCGAGAGAGAAGAAGAACAGAGAAAUGGUGACUGUACGCUUCGGUUCGUGCUUUUCAUCGCCCGAAAAGACGCGGGAUGCAAACCGUUUGGGCCUUUAAUCCCGGGUUGAGCCACCAACCGGGACUAAAGAGGUAUACUUACGAGUACAAAAAUAAGAAUGGUGAUCUACGCAUAAAUGGAUGUGAACUAGUAAUGAUUAAGGAGUGAUCCUGAACGCCUACUUACGAGUCAAACAUAACCCCACCGUGUUCUCUCUCGGUUCAGAACUCAUGAGUAGAGACAGUCACGGUUACGCACAUGGUUUAUGUAUUUUAUUUGAGUUUAAUUCAAGUUUGCUAUGACCGGGUGUUAAACAAAUUUCCAAGUUGCCACAUAACUGCAGGCACGAAUUUUCAAAAGAUUUAACCCUUAAGGGGUGCUUCAACUCAUCCAUCACAAACUAACCACAAGCUCUGUGGAGAACCUCAACCAUGGAAUAACCAGUAGUCUCCUCGAAAUCCCGAUGGAAAACCUCAACCUCGAGAUAGCCCAAAGUAUCCUCGGAAUCCUAGUGCGCAAGACGUUCAAGAAAGGUUAAAAAAUCCAGCAAGACCGCCCGACUUGUCGACAAACCCAAUAGGAGCCGCGUAUCUUGUUCUCAGAACAUGGUAGAUAAGCAAUGCAUACAGUGGCCUCAUAGAACUCCCACGAGUUUAUUACUAGCUAGGCGAAAGCUUAUAGAUAGAAUUUUAGCAGUAGCGUGGUAUAAUCUAGUAGUGGUUGCCCCGGGUGGCCUCGCACAGUGCUCUAUUUUGGACCAACACUCAUGUAGAGCACUAGACGGGGGGUUGAUUAAAUAUACACGGGAUGAUCAAUGCCCUAUGCAAAUUUUUGUUAGUUGUUAUUAAGAAAAAAAUACCAAUGUUGGGCCUUGGCGGAAUAGUUUUUUUCCCUAAACGAAAAUCAAGGGGGUCCCUAUAACAACCCUAAGCAUGUUAGUUGCAUUCAAUAUGGAACAUAACACCGAUACACAAGUAACUAGGGCGAUAAAGGUGGAACAAAACACCGAGCAAAAUACCAAGCCUUCCACCCUUUACCAAGGAUAUAUGUGCAUAAAAUUAAAUAGCAAUAAUAUUGUGAUACCUCAAGACAUCCAUGUUGCCACAUGGAAACAAUCUGCACCUGCAACUAACAACGUUAUAAGAAGGACUGAGCAAGCGGUAACAUAACCAAACAAUGGUUUGCUGGGAUGUGAAGGGGAUAGAGGCUUUUCAUGGCAAUGUUGGGAGGCUUUACAUGCAAGUGGUAGGUAGCGAGACAUAAUGAUAGAAGAGAUACAAUUAGCAUGGCAAUGAUAGUAGUGGUAUCCAAGAAAAUGGUCAUCUUGCGUGAGGUCUCUCUUGGAAGAAGAAUGAAUCCUUGAAGUACACGAACAUGCAUAGUCGAACGAAUCCUCACACUCCAAAUCGGUUUGGGACUCUAUCGAUAAGAAACAAUCCAGAAACAACAAUCAACACACGAUAAAUACCAUAACAUAUACAUGACAUGAUGCACAAUCAAAUAUGAUUAAUGUCCGUACAACUAUGCAUGACAUGGCAAAGCACAAUAAUCAUCUUCUACACAUUAAGUGAAGCUCAAUAUGCAACUAGUUGCAUAUUGACGAAGUUCCAUAUUUUAAUUACUUAGUUCACUCUCGUUGAUAUACACGACAAUAUUAAAUGUUAUUAACAUGGCAAGAGGUAAAGCAUAAUGAAACUAUACUAUCUAUGCAUUUUAAUGAGGUCCAAAACAACUUAUAGUAUUUCCGAAAUGACCCCAUAUGUUAAUUUUGAAAUUGGUCCAGGUCUGAACUGAACAUAUUUUAUAUUUAUUAAACAGGUAAACAAAAUACACCAUGAGAUUCUACUAGUCGUUCUAGGCGAUUUACAUAUAUAGAUGAUUUAAAAUGGAGCUACGGUCUAAAUGCAUGCAAACAACACCCACAACCAUUUUAAAUCAUGGAUACAACAAUAUAUUAUGUAACUACAUGAAAUUUGAAGCAAGUUUCAUAUAUGACAUGUUCAAAACGGAGCAACGGUUCAACAACUACAACCAACACAAGUUCUAGCUAUAUUUGUCCAAAACAACAACAUGACAUUUUGCACAAAGCAAAACAACAAGUUACAGGAAUCGAAAAUGCACAAACAAGACAUGGGGCAGUAAUUUACAUGAUGCACAACAAUUCAUCUCACAGGAGCUAAUUGAAUAGAAGCAUGGUUUACUAGGAAAUGAGCUCACAACAUGGCUACUUGAACACAGUUUUAGACUUAGUGAAAGUAAAAGUUUUUAACAAAGUAGUUUUAUUAUGAAGGCAUAUUGACAGCAAGAAGAACAUAUGCUACAGAGCAUAUAAUGGCAUGAAAAUCUACAACAUGGUAGUAGGCAUGAUGCACUAGAAAUAACUCCAAAGGAACAGCAUCAAACCAUGCUCAGAAUCAUGGCUAGCAUCUACCCAACAUGGCAAUCUAAACUUAGCAGUUUCUCCGACUUAGAAAAAUUAGCAUGGUGCAAGGAACAAGAGUUUUAUCAGAUUGCCAUGUUUGAUAGCAAAAUUAACUAGGAUUCAGAACCUAUACUUGAAAACUAAUGGCACAAACUAAAAGAAGAUAACAUGCUUGACAAUUCCCUCCAUUAGACUAAUCACAUAGGAGUUGUAGAUUAAGGACAAUUGACAUGGAAACAUAGCAAAAAAAUAUAGCAGAUCCCAGAGAUAGAAUUAUUUGGACCCUCAAACAGCAACAUUUUUAUGGCAGGUUCGUAAGAUCAAAACUAUAGCUAAAUACGAAAUUCAUGGCAUGGAAAACCUACUAACAACAAUUAGACAUGGCAUACUCCAAAUCUCUCCAUUGUCACACAUUCAAAAGAAGCAUGGUUUGCUUAAUUCGAACUUCGCAAAAUGGAGCUUAACGUUAACAUAUUAGCAGUUUUAACAUGAUAGCACGUCUAGAGCAACAUAUUUACAUGAUAGAGAUAAUUUACAUGGCAAUCAGAGGCAUAGAAUCAAAUUAGACAUCACACAGAACAAAUCUCAUGAAGGUGCCACAUGCAAAAGACCUACGGAUUAGAUGGAACCAUCCUCGCAAGUUUGCAGGUUUUAACAGUUUUUGUUGAUUACCAUGAUGAAUCCUAUUGCCCAAGGAAUUGCUACUGUCAUGUAGAGUGCAUCGAGUAGAAGAAUUUACAAGUUUAGAUCACUGCAAUCCGAUGCACGGUUUAUGAGAUAUGCAUCACACAAAAUGCAAUGCUCCCGAUAAAACAUGCAGUUCCAGACUUAGCCGUUUCAGCACUGUUUGUCACAUAGCAUAAUUAUCGAACAGUUCACACGAUAACCAAAAACGUUCGUUCACUAUUCAGAUUUAAACGAUGAACGGGCGGGGCUUAACGGUUUGCUCACCUCGGGCCACAUGAGUCGGUUGGACUGGAGAUGGACCAGCGGAGGUGGGCCGAGGCGAUGUCAAGUUGGGCCAUCGAGGCUGGGGGCCACGCGUAGAGGAGGCCAGUGCCUUGUCUCUUUGAUCCAUCCCGAGUGGGACGAGCGAGUGGCGGCGCAGGGCAACGACAGCUGGCCGACGGCGGGGAUGCGGCGGGGCGGAGCAAAGCGGCGACACGGAUGCGGCGGCAUGCUAUGAAUGCGGCGGUGCGGCGCGGUUGCGGCGAGGCUCGUGGUGGCUCGCUGGCGGCAGCGCAGCCAUGCGCGCCUCGAGGCCGGCGAGUGCAGGGGCAAGGUGGAUCCGUCUGGAGGGAGCUCUAACUCCGGCAUUACUGGUAAUGCCGAUCUUCACUGUACUUUAUGUGGUAGUAUAAGUCGGUUGCCGUUGCAGUAUCUUCAUCGUCCGCACUUGCUUUAGUCCGAGUGUCAGGGCACGUCCGACUGAUCGAAGGUGGUCCGAAUGACUUUGAACAUCCGAGUGAGAACCUGGUGCCCGACUGAGCCCGAGAUUGUGCCGAUAGCUUUGAGGACAUUGAUGUCCAUGUGAAGCCUUGGGUUGGCCCUAAGAUUUAGGUCGGUGGCCCUGGCCCUAAUAUACAACCCCAUAAGUCGGUUCCAUCUUUCUUGCCGGCAUAUUCGGAAAAAAUUACUCACCAGUUUAAGCACCCGGUGGCUGCUCUCUCCAACACCUAAAGUUGUUGGGCGUCAUCGACCCAUGUGGCACAAGCGUGGAUGGUCAAGCACCCAUGGCGCCUGCUUAAUAGGAAUGACAUAUGCACCUUGUUUUUCAGAAGCCCAUCCAAAACGAACCUCAAAAUUAAACGUGCAUGACUUGAAGCAAUUUGAGGAUGAGUGGCUGACUCAAAAGUUAAUCCCGGAUGAGCACGUAUGAAAAAAAGUGUUUGAAAAAGAUUAGUAUUUUUCUACGAGGCCUGUCUAAUUCCUAGAUGACACACUACUAGUUUGGAAGAUAGGUUUCCAAUAAUCAACCCUUUUCUGCACAAAUCACUACCACCCAAGGGCAAUGCGUUGCCAAAUACUACCAGGUUGCAUUACCUGUAAGGACGUGAUUGAUUGCAAUUAGUACAUCCGUCACAGUUUAAAAGACACGCACGUGUAUCUAGGUCGUCAAUUUAACUUAUAUAAAAUCUAUUGUUUAAUAUAAAAAUUAUAUUAUUAGAAAAUAGAACAUCUAAAGCUUUUGAUGAUAUAUUUUUUUAUAAUAUAUGCUUAUCAUUAAGUUGGUCAAAUUGACGACCAAGAUACACGUGCCACACUUAUAUACUGAGAUGGAGAGAGUAUGUCCGGAAACGUUUCCAUUGGGUUGAUGUGGACGCCGGUUAUUUUCAGUGGGGGUGAACAUGACAUUUGGGCUUAAUAGGAAUGACAUACUUCUCAUAGCAAUAAGAUGCAUCUUCUUUUUCGAAAGUCCAUCCAAAAGGAACCUGAAAACUAAACGUGCAUGGCAUUGGUGCAGUCGGUCAGAGAUUGGUGGAUCAGCCGGUCCAACAUCGACAUGCCAAACCGAAAGGCACGGGCCUUCCUUACCAUGUUUAUAUCUUGGGUCGUCUAGAAUGAACGAAACGCUAGGGUCUUUCGCAACAAGUUCGCGUCGUCAACAACCUUGUUCAACAACAUCAAGAUAGAAGCUUGGCUUUGGGUCGUCGCUGGCGCAAAAAAAUUAGGCCACAUCAUUCCGGAAGAGUAACAUCUUUAUACUUGGCAUGUUUGUAACAAAAUAAUAUCCCCUCUCUUAUUCAAUAUAUGCAGCAAAUCUUUUGCCCGUCUUUAAAAAAUAAAUUAGACGUACAUGACUUGAAGUAAUUUGAGGAUGACUGGUUGACUCACAAGUUAACCCUGGAUGCACAUCGUGUGGAAAAAAAGUGACCGAAAAAGACUAAUAUUUUCCUUGGAGGUGUGUCAAAAUCCUAGAUGGCUUUGGUUCGGGCCUGACCAGCCCAUUAGUCCCGGUUCUUCACGAACCGGGACCCAUGGGGGCAUUAGUCCCGGUUCAUGAGCCCAGGGGGCCGGCCGGGGCCUCGUGGGCAUUGGUCCCGGUUCGUGUGGACCCAUUUGUCCCGGUUCUAGGCACGAACCGGGACCAAUGGGCCGCGCUCCUGGCCCACAUCCAUUGGUACCGGUUCAUGCCUUGAACCGAUUUUGAAGGGGGGCUUUAGCCCCGGUUUAUGCCACGAACCGGGACAAAUAAUUUGCCUAUAAAUCCUUCAUUAUUUCUGAAACAAAUAAAGUCUAUCUAUUCUAGAUACAAUUUUAAUUUAAAAUACGUGUAUGUGAAAAAAAGACUUUCGGUUCAUUUAGAUUUCAUAUUUAAGCUCAUAUAUACACAUCCUAUCUAGUAAUUAUUGUGUGUGCCUAGUAAACAUGCCACGCAGGCAACCCAAUUCCUAUGACAAUAUCAUUUGGUCGUAAUUGACCAGAAAUAUUUUCACAAACACUCCUACACAUUCUAAUGACCAUUUUGUGCAAUGGGGUUCUGACCUUUUGACAUGGAUGGUCAUAAAAUUCUAGGGUUUGGACCCUCCCACACCAUUUUGCAAAUUUUGGUCAUAGACCUAUGACCAAUUUAACCACGGUCAUUAUUUUUGGUCAAAAACAGACAUAUUUCUUGUAGUGCAAUUGGGUGUUCUAGCUUACGUCCUAUGCACAUGAGGUGUUCGAUGAAAUGCCCGAGCCACACUAGUUAAGUUUUAUCCUCUCGAAGCUCGACCUCGAAGCUCCAUUUUUCCCGAGAUUUGUCUAGAUUUAGCGGUCCGUCACGCCCCGUCCCCGUUUUCACCGCUGGGGCACGUCCAUGUGUACGUCUGCAAUGUCAUGUGCAGGCUCCUCCGCAGACAGUGAGGUAAGUCGAUUUGGUUUUUCGGUUGACAUUGGAUUUGGGGAUUUCUCAUCUGGGGUUUCGCGGGAUGGGCGUAAUAUGCGCCUUUUUGGCUCGUAGGUUGAUGGUUGUGGGAUUGUGCAGUUCCAAUCCGAAUUUUUCAUUCCCAAUCCAAGUUUCUACGGCCUUGAGGAGCGCUCGAAUCACCGUUGUCCGGGGCAUGGGCUAAUUCCUGCUCGCCGUGUUUAUUGGGGUGGAGCAAGCACGGGAAGAAGGUUUUUGGGUUGUCCACUCGAUGUAAUUCCUCAAAACAUCAUUUGGUACUCUGUUUUCAUCGAUUUAUUGCAAAGUUAUGAAUUUCACCUAAUUAUGUGAACUCUGAUUUAACAGCUUCCUGAUGAGUGUGAUUGGGUUGUUUGGAUUGACCCCCCUCCCACUGAGCUAGUGGGGCAAGCUUUUGAGGAGCUUCAUGUUGGCCGUGAACGUAGUUGGAUCAAAGCUAGUAGGAUGGAGAAGAAGGUUAUGGAUCCGAACAAUGAAAACAAGAAAAUGCAAUUGAAGUUGCAGAAAAGGAAUGAGCUCAUGGAAACAAUGGGUUUUCUCUUUGUUCUUGGCAUCAUCAUUGGGGCUAGUUUAGUUUCUAUUUGAUCUAAGCAAACCAAUUAAGUGGCAGUGUGUGUGUUAUGUUUCUGCUAGUGUGUUGUACCCUAGAUGUAAUUCUAUCAUUUGUGCACUGUUGUGAACUUGAACAAAUGUAAUGUUGUGCCCUAGAUGUAAUGGAUAUCAUGUGUUGUGUUAAAAUUGUCACCACUUCCAACUUGGAACCUUUUCAGAGUUCAUUUCAAAUGCUUUUCAAUUUUAUGGUCUUAUAGCUCAAAAUAAUCAGUAAAUGCAUGAAAAAUAACAAAUGAUGUCAGAAAGGGUUGUAAAUUGUUGAUGUGCCUUUGAAUGGUGCAUUUUGAACACACAAAAAGUAUGGAGUUCAAAUAAGUUCAAAAAAAAUGAAAUCCCUUUGUAAGAGAUAAGUUCUCGUUCGAAACCCUCCUACUUCGAGAGAGAUUGUUAGUUCUGUACACGAACUGCAUCCAGUUUUUGUCGUAGCCCCCUCAACUUUUUAACACAUGCUAUGUGGGUGAAAUGAUGAUAGCAUGCCAACUUUCAACAUUUUCAGAGUUCAUUUGUAGUGCUUUUCAAUUUCAGGGUCAACUAGCUCAAAAAAAAAAUAGUAAAUGCACGAAAUAUACCAAAUGAAGUCAGAAAUUGUUGAAAUUUUGUGAUGUGCCUUUGAAUGGUGCAUUUUGAACACACAAAAAGUAUGGAGUUCAAAUAAGUUCAAAAAAAUGAAAUCCCUUUGUAAGAGAUGAGUUCUCGUUCGAAACCGUGCUACUUCGAGAGAGAUUGUUAGUUUUGUACACGAACUGCAUCCAGUUUUUGUCGUAGCCCUCUCAACUUUUUAACACAUGCUAUGUGGGUGAAAUUAUGAUAGCAUGCCAACUUUCAACAUUUUCAGAAUUCAUUUGUAGUGCUUUUCAAUUUCAGGGUCAACUAGCUCAAAAAAAUAAGUAAAUGCACGAAAUAUACCAAAUGAAGUUAGAAAUUGUUGAAAUUUUGUGAUGUGCCUUUGAAUGGUGCAUUUUGAACACACAAAAAGUAUGGAGUUCAAAUAAGUUCAGAAAAAUGAAAUCCCUUUGUAAGAGAAGAGUUCUCGUUCGAAACCGUGCUACUUCGAGAGAGAUUGUCUGUUUUGUACACGAACUGCAUCCAGUUUUUGUCGUAGCCCUCUCAACUUUUUAACACAUGCUAUGUGGGUGAAAUGAUGAUAGCAUGCCAACUUUCAACAUUUUCAGACUUCAUUUGUAGUGCUUUUCAAUUUCAGGGUCAACUAGCUCAAAAAAAAUAAGUAAAUGCAUGAAAUAUACCAAAUUAAGUCAGAAAUUGUUGAAAUUUUGUGAUGUGCCUUUGAAUGGUGCAUUUCGAGCACACAAAAAGUAUGGAGUUCAAAUAAGUUCAAAAAAAAUGAAAUCCCUUNNNNNNNNNNNNNNNNNNNNNNNNNNNNNNNNNNNNNNNNNNNNNNNNNNNNNNNNNNNNNNNNNNNNNNNNNNNNNNNNNNNNNNNNNNNNNNNNNNNNACUUAUUUUUUUGUAGCUAGUUGACCCUGAAAUUGAAAAGCACUACAAAUGAAGUCUGAAAAUGUUGAAAGUUGGCAUGCUAUCAUCAUUUCACCCACAUAGCAUGUGUUAAAAAGUUGAGAGGGCUACGACAAAAACUGGAAGCAGUUCGGGUACAAAACUGACAAUCUCUCUCGAAGUAGCACGGUUUCGAACGAGAACUCAUCUCUUACAAAGGGAUUUCAUUUUUUUGAACUUAUUUGAACUCCAUACUUUUUGUGUGUUCAAAAUGCACCAUUCAAAGGCACAUCACAAAAUUUCAACAAUUUCUGACUUCAUUUGGUAUAUUUCGUGUAUUUACUUAUUUUUUUUGAGCUAGUUGAUGACCCUGAAAUUGAAAAGCACUACAAAUGAACUCUGAAAAUGUUGAAAGUUGGCAUGCUAUCAUCAUUUCACCCACAUAGCAUGUGUUAAAAAGUUGAGAGGGCUACGACAAAAACUGGAUGCAGUUCGUGUACAAAACCGACAAUCUCUCUCGAAGUAGCACGGUUUCGAACGAGAACUCAUCUCUUACAAAGGGAUUUCAUUUUUUUUAACUUAUUUGAACUCCAUANNNNNNNNNNNNNNNNNNNNNNNNNNNNNNNNNNNNNNNNNNNNNNNNNNNNNNNNNNNNNNNNNNNNNNNNNNNNNNNNNNNNNNNNNNNNNNNNNNNNGUGACUUCAUUUGGUAUAUUUCGUGCAUUUACUUUUUUUUUGAGCUAGUUGACCCUGAAAUUGAAAAGCACUACAAAUGAACUCUGAAAAUGUUGAAAGUUGGCAUGCUACCAUCAUUUCACCCACAUAGUAUCUGUUAAAAACUUGAGAGGGCUACGACAAAAACUGGAUGCAGUUCGUGUACAAAACUAACAAUCUCUCUCGAAGUAGCAGGGUUUCGAACGAGAACUUAUCUCUUACAAAGGGAUUUCAUUUUUUUUGAACUUAUUUGAACUCCAUACUUUUUGUGUGCUCGAAAUGCACCCUUCAAAGGCAAAUCACAAAAUUUCAACAAUUUCUGACUUCAUGUGGUAUAUUUCGUGCAUUUACUUAUUUUUUAAGCUAGUUGACCCUGAAAUUGAAAAGCACUACAAAUGAACUCUGAAAAUGUUGAAAGUUGGCAUGCUAUCAUAAUUUGACCCACAUAGCAUGUGUUAAAAAGUUGAGAGGGCUACGACAAAAACUCGAUGCAGUUCGUGUACAAAACUGACAAUCUCUCUCGAAGUAGCACGGUUUCGAACGAGAACUCAUCUCUUACAAAGGGAUUUCAUUUUUUUGAACUUAUUUGAACUCCAUACUUUUUGUGUGUUCAAAAUGCACCAUUCAAAGGCACAUCACAAAAUUUCAACCAUUUCUGACUUCAUUUGGUAUAUUUCAUGCAUUUACCUUUAUUUUUUGAGCUAGUUGACCCUGAAAUUGAAAAGCACUACAAAUGAACUCUGAAAAUGUUGAAAGUUGGCAUGCUAUCAUCAUUUCACCCACAUAGCAUGUGUUAAAAAGUUGAGGGGGCUACGACAAAAACUGGAUGCAGUUCGUGUACAAAACUAACAAUCUCUCUCGAAGUAGGAGGGUUUCGAACGAGAACUCAUCUCUUACAAAGGGAUUUCAUUUUUUUUGAACUUAUUUGAACUCCAUACUUUUUGUGUGUUCAAAAUGCACCAUUCAAAGGCACAUCACAAAAUUUCAACAAUUUCUGACUUCAUUUGGUAUAUUUCGUGCAUUUACUAUUUUUUUUGAGCUAGUUGACCCUGAAAUUGAAAAGCACUACAAAUGAACUCUGAAAAUGUUGACAGUUGGCAUGCUAUCAUCAUUUCACACACAUAGCAUGUGUUAAAAAGUUGAGGGGGCUACGACAAAAACUGGAUGCAGUUCGUGUACAGAACUAACAAUCUCUCUCGAAGUAGGAGGGUUUCGAACGAGAACUUAUCUCUUACAAAGGGAUUUCAUUUUUUUUGAACUUAUUUGAACUCCAUACAUUUUGUGUGUUCAAAAUGCACCAUUCAAAGGCACAUCACAAAAUUUCAACAAUUUCUGACUUCAUUUGGUAUAUUUCGUGCAUUUACUUUUUUUUUUUGAGCUAGUUGACCCUGAAAUUGAAAAGCACUACAAAUGAACUCUGAAAAUGUUGAAAGUUGGCAUGCUAUCAUCAUUUCACCCACAUAGCAUGUGUUAAAAAGUUGAGGGGGCUACGACAAAAACUGGAUGCAGUUCGUGUACAAAACUAACAAUCUCUCUCGAAGUAGGAGGGUUUCGAACGAGAACUUAUCUCUUACAAAGGGAUUUCAUUUUUUUGAACUUAUUUGAACUCCAUACUUUUUGUGUGUUCAAAAUGCACCAUUCAAAGGCACAUCACAAAAUUUCAACAAUUUCUGACUUCAUUUGGUAUAUUUCGUGCAUUUACUAUUUUUUUUGAGCUAGUUGACCCUGAAAUUGAAAAGCACUACAAAUGAACUCUGAAAAUGUUGACAGUUGGCAUGCUAUCAUCAUUUCACACACAUANNNNNNNNNNNNNNNNNNNNNNNNNNNNNNNNNNNNNNNNNNNNNNNNNNNNNNNNNNNNNNNNNNNNNNNNNNNNNNNNNNNNNNNNNNNNNNNNNNNNCAGAACUAACAAUCUCUCUCGAAGUAGGAGGGUUUCGAACGAGAACUUAUCUCUUACAAAGGGAUUUCAUUUUUUUUGAACUUAUUUGAACUCCAUACAUUUUGUGUGUUCAAAAUGCACCAUUCAAAGGCACAUCACAAAAUUUCAACAAUUUCUGACUUCAUUUGGUAUAUUUCGUGCAUUUACUUAUUUUUUUGAGCUAGUUGACCCUGAAAUUGAAAAGCACUACAAAUGAACUCUGAAAAUGUUGAAAGUUGGCAUGCUAUCAUCAUUUCACCCACAUAGCAUGUGUUAAAAAGUUGAGAGGGCUACGACAAAAACUGGGUGCAGUUCGUGUACAAAACUGACAAUCUCUCUCGAAGUAGCAGGGUUUCGAACGAGAAGUCAUCUCUUACAAAGGGAUUUCAUUUUUUUUGAACUUAUUUGAACUCCAUACUUUUUGUGUGUUCAAAAUGCACCAUUCGAAGGCACAUCACAAAAUGGACAAUCUCUCUCGAAGUAGAAGCGACCCCCACAAUAAGAGACGACAUUCUUCUUCUCUCAUAUAUGGUGGACACUAGCUCACCUGAUUUUCCAACCGUCGAUGAUGGUCGCUUACUUCCCCUAGUGCAUAACCAAUAUCUAGCACAAGGAGAAGAAGGAGAAGAGACCCCCACAACAAAAGUGGUUCCGCGGCACGCCACGUGGUUCCGCUGCACGCCACGUGGGACUAAUGGUCUUUCAUUUUUAAAUGAUUGUUUUAAUAAAAAAGAGAUCUGUUACAAAAGGGAUUUCAUUUUUUGAACUUAUUUGAACUGAAGACUUUUUGUAUAUAUAUGUGGUCGAAAUGCAUGAUACCAUGAAGUUAGAAAGGGCUAAACCAUUCAAAAGUAGCAAAUGAAGUUAGAAAGGGCUAAACCAUUCAAAUUUGGAAACUAUAGUGGCAUAAACAGAAACUAGACAUAUAUAAAUUGGUCCAAGAAGUACAUGAUAAUAGUCCAAACAAUACAUAAUAAUAGCUACCAUAGAUAUAUAUACAAGUGUUCGACGUUAAGAACACUACUCGUCUGAAUCAUCUAAAUCAUAAUGUCCACGUUCCUCGAGGUGACGCUGGCCAUAGUUGACGACUCGAAUCUUGCGGUACAACUCGUAUGAAACGUAUGCAUCUUUUGUUGCAUACUCAAUGUUGAUAUCAUCAAGUGGGCCCUUCUCCCAAAGUCUGUGCUGAGACUUUGGGAAACUGGUCUUCAUAUCACCAUAUGACUCGUCGAUCAAGGCAACUGCCAUAUGAGCCAUCGAAGUCCUGUCAUGUCGAAGCCUGAAUAUCGUUUGGAGAUCAAGGAGGCAACCAGCUGGUAUCUCAAUACCGAAGCUAUGCCUCAUCUUCAACUUGUCGUUCCUUAUGUCAACGGAAGCAAAAGUGACGCCGCUGCGAAGGAACUCCAUGAGUUCUGGACAAUGCUUGUCACUCCUGCAACAGAAACAAAUUAAAAUGGAACAAAUGUUACAUACUGCUGCAAUAAGGAAACAUGUUUCACUACAACUAAAGAGAAACUUAUCUUUAGGAUUCAAAUAGAACAUAUGCAAUGGAACCUAGAGAGAUCACUAUAGCUAUCCAAUGGAACCUAGAGAGAUCACUAGCUAUAUGCAAUUUUCAUGACUAUGACAUAUCAUAUUGCUAUCCAAUGGAACCUAGAGAGAUCACUAGCUAUAUUCAAUUUUCAUAACCUUGGAUCAAAGAACACCGCAUAAAAUUGUAUCACUACAACUAUGAUUUCAAUGGAACAUAUUGAACCAAUCAGAUUUUUCAAAUUAUGGAACACUAUUCCAAUCAGAUUGUGUUUCCUUCAACUAAUCAAAAUUGUUUCACUACAACUAUUUGAAGCGAACCAACUAUGAUUCCAAUGGAACAUAUUAAACACUAGUUGAUUCUAAUACGAUUUUUCAUAUUAUGGAACACUAUUCCAAUGAGAUUGUGCUCCCCUUCAACUAAUCAAAAUUGUUUCACUACAACUAUUUGAAGGGAACCAACUAUGGUUCCAAUGGAACAUAUUAAACACUAGUUGAUUCUAAUACGAUUUUUCAGAUUAUGUAACACUAUUCCAAUUAGAUUGUGCUCCCCUUCAACUAAUCAAAAUUGUUUCACUACAACUAUUUGAAGGGAACCAACUAUGAUUGAAACAAAUAAANNNNNNNNNNNNNNNNNNNNNNNNNNNNNNNNNNNNNNNNNNNNNNNNNNNNNNNNNNNNNNNNNNNNNNNNNNNNNNNNNNNNNNNNNNNNNNNNNNNNAGUACCACCUCGCCCAGCGAGGGGGACAAACACUUGUUUAUAAGCCCCGUCGCAGCUUGUCCAUCGAGCUCCUCUCUAAAGCAGGUUUACGGGCCUAAACUUACUGAAAAUUGAAACUAUAUUCGAAAUUGUGGAUAAAAUUAAAUCUGAAUUCAAAGUGAAUUCAGGUCGAAUUUUGUCCAUGAUUUCUCAUAUAGUUUCAAUUUUUUUCUAUUUUCAAAACUAAUUAUUUUGACUAUCCAAAAUAUUAACUUAUUUUGUUAUUUUCAAUUAAAAACUAUGUUUAUUAAAAAUUCUUUUUGCAUAUUUGAGAAUUUGACAAAACUAUGUUAAUGAAAAGUGUUUGAAAUUGAAUAAAUAAUUCAAAACUAUUUUCUAUUUUCAUAAUUAAUAAUUUUGACUAUCAAAACUAUUAUCUAUUUUGUUAUUUUCAAUUAAAAACUAUGUUUAUUAAAAAUUCUUUUUGCAUAUUUGAGAAUUUGACAAAACUAUGAUAAUGAAAAGUGUUUCAAAUUGAAUAAAUAAUGCAAAACUAUUUUUUAUUUUCAUAAUUAAUAAUUUUGACUAUCCAAACUAUUAUCUAUUUUUUUAUUUUCAAUUAAAAACUAUGUUUAUUAAAAAAUUCUUUUUGCAUAUUUGAGAAUUUCACAAAACUAUGAUAAUGAAAAGUGUUUCAAAUUGAACAAAUAAUGCAAAACUAUUUUUUAUUUUCAUAAUUAAUAAUUUUGACUAUCCAAACUAUUAUCUCUCGAAGUAGCAGGGUUUUGAACGAGAACUCAUCUCUUACAAAUGGAUUUCAUUUUUUGAACUUAUUUGAACUCCAUACUUUUUGUGUGUUUAAAAUGCACCAUUCAAAGGCACAUCAGAAAAUUUCAACAAUUUCUGACUUCAUUUGGUAUUCUUUGUGCAUUUACUUAUUUGUUUUGAGCUAGUUGACCCUGAAAUUGAAAAGCACUACAAAUGAACUCUGAAAAUGUUGAAAGUUGGCAUGCUAUCAUCAUUUUACCCACAUAGCAUGUGUUAAAAAGUUGAGAGGGCUACGACAAAAACUAGAUGCAGUUCAUGUACAAAACUAAAAAUCUCUCUCGAAGUAGCAGGGUUUCGAACGAGAACUCAUCUCUUACAAAGGGAUUACAUUUUUUAGAACUUAUUUGAACUCCAUACUUUUUGUGUGUUCAAAAUGCACCAUUCAAAGGCACAUCACAAAAUUUCAACAAUUUCUGACUUCAUUUGCUAUAUUUCGUGCAUUUACUUAUUUUUUUGAGCUAGUUGACCCUGAAAUUGAAAAGCACUACAAAUGAACUCUGAAAAUGUUGAAAGUUGGCAUGCUAUCAUCAUUUCACCCACAUAGCAUGUGUUAAAAAGUUGAGAGGGCUACGACAAAAACUGGAUGCAGUUCGUGUACAAAACUGACAAUCUCUCUCGAAGUAGGAGGGUUUCGAACGAGAACUCAUCUCUUACAAAUGGAUUUCUUUUUUUUGAACUUAUUUGAACUCCAUACUUUUUGUGUGUUCAAAAUGCACCAUUCAAAGGCACAUAACAAAAUUUCAACAAUUUCAGACUUCAUUUGGUAUUCUUCGUGCAUUUACUUAUUUUUUUUGAGCUAGUUGACCCUGAAAUUGAAAAGCACUACAAAUGAACUCUGAAAAUGUUGAAAGUUGGCAUGAUAUCAUCAUUUCACCCACAUAGCAUGUGUUAAAAAGUUGAGAGGGCUACGACAAAAACUGGAUGCAGUUCGUGUUCAAAACUAGACAAUCUCUUUCGAAGUAGNNNNNNNNNNNNNNNNNNNNNNNNNNNNNNNNNNNNNNNNNNNNNNNNNNNNNNNNNNNNNNNNNNNNNNNNNNNNNNNNNNNNNNNNNNNNNNNNNNNNUAGCACGGUUUCGAACGAGAACUCAUCUCUUACAAAGGGAUUUCAUUUUUUUUGAACUUAUUUGAACUCCAUACUUUUUGUGUGUUCAAAAUGCGACCAKUCAAAGGGCACAUCACCAAAUUUCAACAACUUUUCUYGACUUAAUUUGGUAUAUUUCGUUGCAUUUACUUAUUGUUUUUGAGCUAGUUGACCCUGAAAUUGAAAAGCACUACAAAUGAACUCUGAAAAUGUUGAAAGUUGUCAUGGUAUAAUCAUUUCACCCACAUAGCAUGUGUUAAAAAGUUGAGAGGGCUACGACAAAUACUGGAUGCAGUUCGUGUACAAAACUGACAAUCUCUCUCGAAGUAGCACGGUUUCGACCGAGAACUCAUCUCUUACAAAGGGAUUUCAUUUUUUUGAACUUAUUUGAACUCCAUACUUUUUGUGUGUUAACAAUGCACCAUUCCAAGGCACAUCACAAAAUUUCAACAAUUUCUGACUUAAUUUGGUAUAUUUCGUGCAUUUACUUAUUUUUUUUGAGCUAGUUGACCCUGAAAUUGAAAAACACUACAAAUGAACUCUGAAAAUGUUGAAAGUUGGCAUGCUAUCUUCAUUUCACCCACAUAGCAUGUGUUAAAAACUUGAGAGGGCUACGACAAAAACUGGAUGCAGUUCGUGUACAAAACUAACAGGCUCUCUCGAAGUAGGAGGGUUUCGAACGAGAACUCAUCUCUUAUAAAGGGAUUUCAUUUUUUUUGAACUUAUUUGAACUCCAUACUUUUUGUGUGCUCGAAAUGCACCAUUCAAAGGCACAUCAANNNNNNNNNNNNNNNNNNNNNNNNNNNNNNNNNNNNNNNNNNNNNNNNNNNNNNNNNNNNNNNNNNNNNNNNNNNNNNNNNNNNNNNNNNNNNNNNNNNNUGAGAGGGCUACGACAAAAACUGGAUGCAGUUCGUGUACAAAACUGACAAUCUCUCUCGAAGUAGCAGGGUUUCGAACGAGAACUCAUCUCUUACAAAGGGAUUUCAUUUUUUUGAACUUAUUUGAACUCCAUACUUUUUGUGUGUUMMAAAUGCACCAUUCHAAGGCACAUCACAAAAUUUCAACAAUUUCUGACUUCAUUUGGUAUAUUUCGUGCAUUUACUUAUUUUUUUGAGCUAGUUGACCCUGAAAUUGAAAAGCACUACAAAUGAACUCUGAAAAUGUUGAAAGUUGGCAUGCUAUCAUCAUUUCACCCACAUAGCAUGUGUUAAAAAGUUGAGAGGGCUACGACAAAAACUGGAUGCAGUUCGUGUUCAAAACUGACAAUCUCUUUCGAAGUAGCACGGUUUCGAACGAGAACUCAUCUCUUACAAAGGGAUUUCAUUUUUUUGAACUUAUUUGAACUCCAUACUUUUUGUGUGUUCAAAAUGCACCAUUCAAAGGCACAUCACCAAAUUUCAACUAAUUUCUGACUUAAUUUGGUAUANNNNNNNNNNNNNNNNNNNNNNNNNNNNNNNNNNNNNNNNNNNNNNNNNNNNNNNNNNNNNNNNNNNNNNNNNNNNNNNNNNNNNNNNNNNNNNNNNNNNCGAUCCAGGAAUCGUCGUAGAAGUGACGACGAUUUCGAUCAAAACGUCGGUGCUGUUCAUUUCUGACGCUCCGUUUUCGACGCUUGGUUUUUCGUCGUGAGAUCGUCGUAAACUAAAAACCGUGACGAUGUAGCGACAAAAAUAUAGCGUCGUGUAUUAGCAUAUUCCUUGUAGUGGUGCCUUUGAAUGAUKCAUUUUGAACACACAAAAAGUAUGGAGUUCAAAUAAGUUCAAAAAAAUGAAAUCCCUUUGUAAGAGAUGAGUUCUCGUUCGAAACCGUGCUACUUCGAGAGAGAUUGUCUGUUUUGUACACGAACUGCAUCCAGUUUUUGUCGUUGCCCUCUCAACUUUUUAACACAUGCUAUUUGGGUGAAAUGAURAUAGCAUGCCAACUUUCAWCAUUUUCAGAGUUCAUUUGUAGUGCUUUUCAAUUUCAGGGUCAACUAGCUCAAAAAAAAAGUAAAUGCACGAAAUAUACCAAAUGAAGUCAGAAAUUGUUGAAAUUUUGUGAUGUGCCUUUGAAUGGUGCAUUUUGAACACACAAAAWGUAUGGAGUUCAAAUAAGUUCAAAAAAAUGAAAUCCCUUUGUAAGAGAUGAGUUCUCGUUCGAAACCCUCCUACUUCGAGAGAGAUUGUUAGUUUUGUACNNNNNNNNNNNNNNNNNNNNNNNNNNNNNNNNNNNNNNNNNNNNNNNNNNNNNNNNNNNNNNNNNNNNNNNNNNNNNNNNNNNNNNNNNNNNNNNNNNNNUUUUUGUCGUAGCCCUCUCAACUUUUUAACACAUUCUAUGUGGGUGAAAUGAUGAUAGCAUGCCAACUUUCAACAUUUUCAGAGUUCAUUUGUAGUGCUUUUCAAUUUCAGGGUCAUCAACUAGCUCAAAAAAAUAAGUAAAUACACGAAAUAUACCAAAUGAAGUCAGAAACUUUGGUUCGAAAUUUCGUGAUGGUGCCUUUGAAUGGUGCAUUUUGAACACASAAAAASUAUGGAGUUCAAAUAAGUUCAAAAAAAUGAAAUCCCUUUGUAACAGACGAGUUUCUGAAUGAAACCCUCAUACUUCAAAAGAGGUUGUCCGUUUUGUACACGAAGUGCAUACAGUUUUUGUCGUAACCCUCUCAACUUUCUCGCACAUGCUAUGUGGUGAAAUGAUGAUACCAUUCUAACUUGGAACCUUUUCAGAGUUCAUUUCAAAUGCUUUUCAAUUUCAUGGUCUUAUAGCUCAAAAUAAUCAGUAAAUGCAUGAAUUUUGUUACAAACUUUAAUAGANNNNNNNNNNNNNNNNNNNNNNNNNNNNNNNNNNNNNNNNNNNNNNNNNNNNNNNNNNNNNNNNNNNNNNNNNNNNNNNNNNNNNNNNNNNNNNNNNNNNCUCGUCUAGAAGAAUAUUAUUAGCUUUAAGGUCCCUGUGGAUUAUCCUUGGGAUUGAGUCCUCGUGAAGAUACAGUAUUCCCUUGGCAAUUCCAAGAAUGAUGUUGUACCGUUGCUCCCAGUUUAGAGUAUUUUCCUCACUAGCAUCUGUUGCCAAAAAGAAUGAUGUUCAAUUUACAUACUAGCUGAUGCCGAAAGAUUUUCAGAGUUCAUUUGUAGUGCUUUUCAAUUUCAGGGUCAACUAGCUCAAAAAAAUAAGUAAAUGCACGAAAUAUACCAAAUGAAGUCAGAAAUUGUUGAAAGUUUGUGAUGUGCCUUUGAAUGAUGCAUUUUGAACACACAAAAAGUAUGGAGUUCAAAUAAGUUCAAAAAAAUGAAAUCCCUUUGUAAGAGAUGAGUUCUCGUUCGAAACCGUGCUACUUCGAGAGAGAUUGUCAGUUUUGUAAACGAACUGCAUCCAGUUUUUGUCGUAGCCCUCUAAACUUUUUAACACAUGCUAUGUGGGUGAAAUUAUGAUAGCAUGCCAACUUUCAACAUUUUCAGAGUUCAUUUGUAGUGCUUUUCAAUUUCAGGGUCAACUAGCUCAAAAAAUAAGUAAAUGCAUGAAAUAUACCAAAUGAAGUCAGAAAUGGUUGAAAUUUUGUGAUGUGCCUUUGAAUGGUGCAUUUUGAACACACAAAAAGUAUGGAGUUCAAAUACGUUCAAAAAAAUGAAAUCCCUUUGUAAGAGAUGAGUUCUCGUUCGAAACCCUCCUACUUCGAGAGAGAUUGUUAGUUUUGUACACGAACUGCAUNNNNNNNNNNNNNNNNNNNNNNNNNNNNNNNNNNNNNNNNNNNNNNNNNNNNNNNNNNNNNNNNNNNNNNNNNNNNNNNNNNNNNNNNNNNNNNNNNNNNAAGAGGAGGAAUUUUGCUAUUGUAUAGUGUAUAUGCUUAAGUGUUAAUAGUGUUUCUUAGAUUAUUGCUUAAUUUUGCUACUGUAUAUGCUUAAGUGUUAAUAGUUUAAUCUUGCUAUUGUAUAUGCUUNNNNNNNNNNNNNNNNNNNNNNNNNNNNNNNNNNNNNNNNNNNNNNNNNNNNNNNNNNNNNNNNNNNNNNNNNNNNNNNNNNNNNNNNNNNNNNNNNNNNNNNNNNNNNNNNNNNNNNNNNNNNNNNNNNNNNNNNNNNNNNNNNNNNNNNNNNNNNNNNNNNNNNNNNNNNNNNNNNNNNNNNNNNNNNNNNNNNNNNNNNNNNNNNNNNNNNNNNNNNNNNNNNNNNNNNNNNNNNNNNNNNNNNNNNNNNNNNNNNNNNNNNNNNNNNNNNNNNNNNNNNNNNNNNNNNNNNNNNNNNNNNNNNNNNNNNNNNNNNNNNNNNNNNNNNNNNNNNNNCCUGCUUGAUCAGAGGGGCCCUGUCCGGGACUGGGCUCCGCCCGGCUGGUAUUAGGAGGUGCUACCUUCCGGGGGGCGUAGGUUGGUGCGGAGCCAGUCCGUCGUUGACCCGAUCCUUGUUUGGUGGCGGUCGCGUGGGCCAGUGAGGGUGUCGAGGCUUCCGGACUCCGCGGAGGUGGUACGUCACCGUGUCAGCGAGGAGGAUGAGCACGUCCGUCGCUACAUGGUUGCGUUGGAGGGCAGGUUCGAGCAUACCUGGCAGGUUCUUCGGGGAUCUCACUGGAGCUAUGAUCCUGUGAUGGUUCCUUCUCUUUGGGUGUCCACCGCCCGCGCCGAUACCCGUCGGGCGUUACGGUUCUAGAUGUAUUAGUGAUGCUAUAUGUAUGAUAGUAUUCGAGGAGUAUUAGUGAUAAUAUUCGACGAUGUACGGACAAAAGUGAUGAUGUAUUAGCUUCUAAUUGAAUGCAUGCUAAUUUGAAUACUACUUUAUUUUACAAUUUGGUUUUGCUUAUUGAAUGCUCAAAUUGGAAAAGUACUCCUACUUUGAAUACUAUGCAGAAAUCUAGGAGCCUCAAAUUGGAAAAGUACUCCUACUUUGGUUUUUGGUACAAAGGUUAAGAGAAUCCGUUUUUUGCAGAACUAUGGAUCCACAUAUCAGGAACCUCGAAGAGGAAGAACUUCUGGAAGAUAUAAUCAAAGACGGCCCCGACGUUGAACCAGCUGAAUCUCCGUUGUCAUAUCUAAACCAGGACGUUGUAAUGGAGGUCGAGCGACACGAAGAUGAAGCCGAUGGGGCAGGAGAUAGGUCCAAUGACGGAGAAGGUGAUAGCUCCACUGAUGGAGAAGCCGGUGAAGAGGAGAAGUCCGGCGAGGUAUACAUAUGAAGUUCGACAAUCACUUGUAAUAUGUGAAAAAUAUUGGAGAUAGCUCUAUAUUGCAUACAUAUACAUUCAUUUGACGUAUGUUUCUCCCUCUUAGGCCUCCACAUCGAGCAAAACUACGGAACGAGGCCCGACUAGAAAGUUGGAUGCACUGACGCAUUACACAUUUGAGGUGAUAUUUCCUACGGGCGAACCCAAGCUUCCUAAGAAUGCUGCUGACACAUUCAAGAAGCAAUGCGGAGUUCUCGUUANNNNNNNNNNNNNNNNNNNNNNNNNNNNNNNNNNNNNNNNNNNNNNNNNNNNNNNNNNNNNNNNNNNNNNNNNNNNNNNNNNNNNNNNNNNNNNNNNNNNNNNNNNNNNNNNNNNNNNNNNNNNNNNNNNNNNNNNNNNNNNNNNNNNNNNNNNNNNNNNNNNNNNNNNNNNNNNNNNNNNNNNNNNNNNNNNNNNNNNNNNNNNNNNNNNNNNNNNNNNNNNNNNNNNNNNNNNNNNNNNNNNNNNNNNNNNNNNNNNNNNNNNNNNNNNNNNNNNNNNNNNNNNNNNNNNNNNNNNNNNNNNNNNNNNNNNNNNNNNNNNNNNNNNNNNNNNNNNNNNNNNNNNNNNNNNNNNNNNNNNNNNNNNNNNNNNNNNNNNNNNNCUAUGUCGCCGAAAGGUAGAAAGAUAAUCUUUGGAAUGAUCUCAUGUCNNNNNNNNNNNNNNNNNNNNNNNNNNNNNNNNNNNNNNNNNNNNNNNNNNNNNNNNNNNNNNNNNNNNNNNNNNNNNNNNNNNNNNNNNNNNNNNNNNNNCCCCCCCCCCCCCUCUCAAAAGUACACCCAAAUAAAUACGGUUUUAUCACGGUAUCUUUCAGCGGUGUUUUUGGCUUCAUGGCCAAAAUUUGCCGAAUUGUUUUUCAGUUUUUAAUGUGAAUCUCCAUAGAAGGCUGAUGGAUCUGUUGCCAAAAUUUGGCACCAACAUUAGCAAUCCCAAAAUUUGGCGAAGUUUGACACUGGUUUGUUGUCAAUCACUAUGGCAACUCGUUGGCAAGGCAAAUGUUAGCACGGUGAAGAUUAAAACUCACCUCCUGUGGAGGCCGGCGGCGGCGNNNNNNNNNNNNNNNNNNNNNNNNNNNNNNNNNNNNNNNNNNNNNNNNNNNNNNNNNNNNNNNNNNNNNNNNNNNNNNNNNNNNNNNNNNNNNNNNNNNNNNNNNNNNNNNNNNNNNNNNNNNNNNNNNNNNNNNNNNNNNNNNNNNNNNNNNNNNNNNNNNNNNNNNNNNNNNNNNNNNNNNNNNNNNNNNNNNNNNNNNNNNNNNNNNNNNNNNNNNNNNNNNNNNNNNNNNNNNNNNNNNNNNNNNNNNNNNNNNNNNNNNNNNNNNNNNNNNNNNNNNNNNNNNNNNNNNNNNNNUGGAGGCCGGCGGCGGCGGCGCCGUUGUCAAAACCGUGGUUACGGCAACAGGUGCAGGUGCAGGCGCAGGCGCUAGUGCUUCGUUGCCCGGUGGUGAUGGUGCUGGCAGCCGCACCAUGACAGGUCCAUCAAAGAAGGAAUAGGUCUGGUACCGGAAGCUGCACCUGACCUGAAAAGCUCGGGCCCCUGUGCUGUCCACGAACCACUUCGGCAACAGCACCAUCAUCUUGUCGAGGCACCGCCGGCACUGCAGCGCGGUCAGGUCCGGCGUGCACUGCGCCCAGCUG